GAAGGCAAAUAUUUCAUUCAUUGAUAGAAUCCAAGAUAUUUAAUGAGUAUACUUCCAUACAAAGUCAUCAAUUAUUUUCAUCAAAUGCAGAAUGACAUGUCAACCAUUGUGCUUUCACCCCACAAAUUUGCUAAUUUGAAGCACAAUGACAUCUUUUAAAUACACUCUAGCUAUGUUCAACUAUAUGUCUGUUAUGUAUAAGCUUUUCAUAAUUUCUUGUCAUUUAAAAACUUUUGUUGGUAUUGAACUCAAGACACCAAUGAAAACAUUUUGAGGCAGUUUGCAUACGUACAACAGAGCAAACUAUCACAAUUGAAGAAUACCUUUUACCCAAGAUGUGUGACAUAGAUACACUGCUGGCAUACAAGACUUUUCACAUUUUAGACAGCCAAAGUUUAAGUGCAAAAGUAGUAAACUGACCAUGAGUACCUAGUCUUUUAGAUUACAAAAACAGAGUUCUUUUUCUCCAAACAGAAAUAUCUUAAAACAAAGGAAAGAAAAUGGAGUAACAAUUUCACAACAAUCUUUUAAAGAAACAAUGACUUUGACAAUGAUUAUGGUUCCAAAAUAAUACCAAGCAUUAAAUUAACACAUAAAUGUUGAGAAAAAUACGAAGAGCAGAGAGAGAGAGAGAGAGAGAGAUCGUAAAUAAUACUUCAGCCAAGAAUAAUCUCAACUCUUACUCAAAUCACAAGCAGAUAAAGAAAAAUGAUAUCAACAUAUAUUCCUAUUAGAUUACAGUAACAUAUCAAUAAAACACCCAAAAAAAUCAAUAUAACAGCAAUACCAUAGCAAUACAAAAGCAAUACCACUACAAUACAAUUGCAAUAAAAGCACAAUACGAUUGCAAUAGAAAAUCAACAAUCCUUCCUCACUAUGAUAUAAUUAUAAGUUCAUUGAAAAUCCCAAUACCAAAUGCAAGAAUCAAUCGACAAAGAACAAACACAUUUGUUGUUUCAGACAAACAAAAUCAAUCCCAAUACUUCAUUUUCUACACAAAAUACAGACGAAAUCAAUCACAAUUCCAAUUUCAGUAAUCAAAUUCAAUUUAACAUGAAAACUUACAUAUUCUCAGCAAUUCAAUUUCUGGAGAAGCUGUUCUUGAAGAGGGCAGGUAAACCCAGACUUCAAAAUCCCCCAAAAUUAGACCAAAAUGCUCAAACAAUGGCCACCUAAUGCCAAGACAUGUUGUCAUAUUCAGAAAAGAUGAUUUUGUUUGGGUUUGUUUAGGUUGCAGAAGGGAUUCAAAGAGAGACGAAGUUGGGGUUUGGAUUUUGGUAGAGAAGAAAAUAGAGAGGAAGGGGAAGAAUUGGGUUUUGAGGGCAAAGCUGUGGGUUUUGUAGGUUAUUCUUGAUCUUCUUCUUUGUGAGAAGAGGCGUAGUUAGCUAGAUGGAGGGAGAGAGAGAGAGAGAGAGAGAGAGAACUAAAUUUCAGAAAAAGUGAUAUGUGUGCAAUAAGUGGACAAUAAAUAUAUAUUUAUAGGUAAUAGUUGCAAAGAAAUUGGGGAAGGGUGGUAUUUUCAGUUAAAAUUAUAAAAAGGGUGGCAUUUUGAGCUAUUUUCCAUAAAACUACCAUAAAAAGAAAGACUUCGUUAUAGUUAGCAAUAAAAUUAGUUGAAUGGAAAAUGGGUAGAAAUGGUCAGUUCAUUUUUCUUUCUUUCACAAUUUCCUCUAUUUUGUUGGUACAUUUCAGCUAGGGUUUUUUUAGGUUAAAGGGGGGAAGGGGGAGGGAGAUUUACUAAUCAGCCAAUAAGAAGAUGACACGUGGAAAAAGAAAUAUUCCUUAGGUCAAACUAAUUACCCUAAUUAAAUUUAAUUAGGAAAAUUAUCUUUGAUUUAAGAUAGGAAUAUCUCCCUAAAUCAAGGAACCAAUCUCUACCAAAUCUCUUGGAGUAAUUCCUAUUAUCUUUUUGGGGAAAAAUAAUCCUAACCAAAUAAGGAUUAUUCUCCCAAAACCCUAGCACACAAGGAGACUAUAAAUACAUAGCCACACAACACAUUUGAGGUAACGCUUUCUCACCCGAAAAAACCCUCUCUCUCUCUCUCCUUGCAGUCGGCCUCUCUCAUCUCUCUCUCCUAACACGGCCACAUGCCACCACACAUGGCUAAGGCCACCUUCGGCUCACCUUGUGAGAGAAAACUCCAUCCAUUUUAGCUAUUGCCGUAUUUUUUCUCAAAGAUCCAAUUGAACUAACUUAGGCAUCGGAGGGCCUUCACCCAACACCCCUUGGGUGUGAUAUAUUUACUCCUAUUUAUUUCGUAGGAAUCGAGGAAGAGAGAGAAUGAAGGUCGAGGAAUCAACCUGUGAAUAUUCUCCGUGAGGAAUUUUGCUCGAACACAUUGGUGCCUAGAGGUUUCAAACCUGACACCACUGAACUUAGGCCAAACAUACUUUUCCACUAUGGUAUGACCCUAGCACUACUACAAAAAGUGAAAAAGACGACCAGAAAACAACGACGGUCUAAGUGAAAACCGUCGUGGUUUAUAAAAAGACGACGGUUCUAAAAACACCGUCGUGUAAUACAACCUUAGACAACUAAAAAAUGGAGUUUCAAAUGGCUGUUCAAAAACAACGACGUACAUAAUUAAACAACCGACGUCUAUUUGAAACAGAUUUCCGCAGUGUAAAAUCAAUGCCAACAAAGAACGGCAGAAGUUAUGAAUCGACCGACGUAGAAAGUAAAGACGACGAUUUCAAUAAAAACUGCCGUUUUUACUCAUAAAAUAAGACGACGAGGUUUUCGUAUAAGACGCCGUAUAAUUACAAACAAAUCCACGGCUUUAAAAUACAAAAUAUCGCCGUAUUAAAUUAAUUUACAACGACGGAAAAUAUAAAUAUAUCGACGUCAUUCUCGUAUAGUUCUACUACGUUAUCUUUAAAUCGUACAAUAAAAUUUAUCGUCGUAUUUAUUCAUUUUAUACGUCGUACCUUUAAUUUUAACGGUCGUCUUAAUAAGAAUUUUUGUUAACAAUUUUUUUCUUUGAUUUUCUUAUCCUACGUCGGUAGAUCUACUUAAUGACAAGAAUUGAAAUAACCACGACGGUUUAUAUAGAACACCGCCGACAUAAUCAGUUUUGUCUGAGAUCCCAAGGGUUACGAAAUCUUACCAGAUGGAACUCUGUUCCACAUCAUAAUCUUAACAGAUGACACAGAUUUGCAAAUAUUGCGUCGUGUUAGUUUACAAAUUCUAGAACAUUAAUUUCCCUCAUUUUAAAUUUCCUCGGGAAAGAAAAAUCUAUUUAUCACGCUUUGGAAUUGAAAACUAAAACUGAAAGAAUACGGGAAAAAAAACUCCAUUUAUAAUUUAAAAUUAAAAUCCACGUCGGUUCUAGUACACUUAACGACGUUUAACAAAAUAAUCUACGUCGGUAAUUAUAAAUCUACCGCCAUCGUAACUUAAUAUAGACGACGAGAAAAGACGACGGUAGAACAGAAAACCGCCGUUGUUUCAGUUUCUUUAACAUAUCUUUCUGCAGGACUUGUGUAGUUCAAAGCAUUGACAAUGUCUUCAUCAUAUCUCCCAGAAACUACUGAUUCAAUUGCUCAUGCUUUAGAGGCCAUCUGAAGCCAUUUCUAUUCUUUAUCGCAUUCUUGAAACCCAUCUUCUUCUUCUGAAGCUCUACGGAUAAAGGAAGAGGCUAUCACAAUAAAUCCGACGGAUCUUCUUAGGCAAGAAAAUCAAGCAGAGGAUCAGGCACAUCUGAUCUUCAGAUUUCCCUGAGAAGCGAACUUUCCUUCGACAGCGAGUGGAGGCCAGGCUUGCAUCUCUUUUGAUGGAAAGCAAGGAGUAUUCAGAAGCACUAAGUGUCCUAUCAGGCUUGAUCAAGGAAGUGAGAAGGCUAGUUGACAAGCUUCUUCUUGUGGACAUAUAUUUGAUGCGAGUAAGCUCAAUUUCUCUUUGAGAAAACAUCCAAAUUAUUAUCUUUGAGACAUGAGAGACUGAGAGAGGAAGAACUUGGAACCUUAAAUGUAAACCGAAAAUGAAUGAAAGCGACAAAUUUAUAGAAUAAAUUUUUAAAACCAACGGCGGUCCUUACAAAAACACCGCCGUUUAAAUUGUAAAAUCAACGUCGGUAUGAUCGACGUAUAUUACAGAAAUCCACGUCGGUAAAUUAAUAAAAACGACGUGUUAAAUAAUAUACCAUGACGCGAGUUAUUACUUAUGUACUUUAAUUUUUGAGUUUACUACGACGGUACCUACAAACUACUGUCGUAUUUAUUUACCACGUCCGAAGUUAAAUGUACCGUCGUAUUUUGUAAUUUAUACGUCGUAGUUAUAUGUAACCGCCAUAUUAUUUUUUUGAAAUGGUUUUAUAUGUAAGCAACUUUUCGUCUACUUGACUUACACAUUUGUUGUUUUUAUAUUCUUAUUUUAUUUAAAUCUGUCAUCCAAAAAGAACUUUACAUAUUGCAGAUAUUAAUUUCCUUCGUUUAAAUUUCCUCCGGAAAAAAAACUCUAUUUAUAACGCACUGUAAUUGAAAAAUAAACUGAAAGGUCACGGGAAAAAAAAUUCUAUUCAUAAUUUAAAAAUUAAAAUCCACGUCGGUUAUAUUAAACCUAACGACGUUAAAUGAAAUGAUUCCACGUCGAAUGAAAAAUAUUGCGUCGUUUUAGUUAAAAACGACGUAGUUAAAUGUAACCGCCGUAUUAUUUUUUUGAAAUGGUUUUAUAUGUAAGCAACUUUUCGACUUACACAUGCACUGUUUCCAAACCCGAUUAAAAAUUUCAAUCUCCCAGAGAAACCUUUUCGUCUUUUUUCCUUGUCAGAGCAUUGUCAGAGUUUCUCAUCGUCUUCCUCUCGUCUUCUUCGUCGUCUCUGAACUUAAACAUCGAUCAUCUUCCUCUUGCUUUCAUUGCACGCAAAAGGUAAGCUUUCAUUUUCACUAUUUUGGUUACUGUUUUGCAUGCUCAUACGUUUUUUGUUUGAAAAAUCUUUUUACCUUUUUUCUGGCCAAAAUCAUUUUACUUCUUUCCAAGUUUGAUAAAAUAUACAGACAAAGAGAGAAAGUUUCCAACUUUGAAGACAACUACAUCAACUAAAUAAGACGACGGUAGACCACGACGGUUCGUCAGUUGUUCUAGCGUCGUCUGAAAAUUGACAAAGUUGUUUUUAAAAUAAUAGUCUUUUUUUAUAUGCUUGUUUAAUUGCAGGUUUGAUUUCGCUGAACAAUGGUUUUUGUUUUUCCCUUAUUUGAUAAAAUAUAAAGAAAAAGAAACUAGGGUUGGUAUCUAAUAUAGACGACAAAAUAUCUUAUUGUUUUACGUCGUGUGAAUGUUAAUACCACGACGGUGUAUUACUAUUGACGUCGUAUGAACAUAAAUACCACGACGUUAUAUAAAUAAUAGUUUACCACGACGGUGUAUUACUAUUGACGUCGUGUGAACAUAUAUACCACGACGUUAUAUAAAUAAUGGUUUUAAACAUUUAUUACGUCUGAGAUUAUUUCAUUGCGUCGUCUAAAAUCAUAUCAUACGUCGUAUUUUUUUAAUACCGUCGUUUGUGUUCUUAAUGUUUUCCUGAAAUAUUUUCACUUGCAGUUUUGUCUGUUAAAAUGGUUUCUCAACAACAAACUAAGGAUUCUGGCUCCAAGAAGCUUGGAAUGGUAGCUCCUCAAGAUAAGUCUUCGAAGGAGAUGAAGUCUUCGAAGAAGAUGAAGUUUGCUUCAUCAUCUGCUGAGACAGAACAAACCAGCCAGACAACAAUCUCAGAUGAUUCAAAGACUGGUCGAGGUAUGAGCACAAUGCCUCGUGUUGUGAAGAGAAAGCUUCAGAAACUGAGGCCAAUUGUUGAGUACAAUAAAAGGGGGAAAGGUGUUGGCCAAGCACAUAUUGAGAUGCAGUCGUAUAUUGGUGUGUUGGCACGCUCCAGGAUCCCACUUGUGGACAAGAAAUGGUCCCAAAUCCCCAAGGAUAUAAAGGAGCAGAUUUGGGAAGCAGUUGACAUGGCUUUUGUCGUAGGCCAAGGGGGCAAGACCUCUGUUUUAGCUUCUGCUUCCAAGAAAUGGAAGGAUUUCAAGUCUACACUAACGAGGCAUUAUAUCCUUCCAUACACCAAUGACAGGGAGAAAUUAAGCCAACCCCCUGAAACAUAUAAAUUCAUAGAGAAAGCACAAUGGGAUGCCUUUGUAGCUUCAAGGCUAUCCAAAGAUUUUGAGUCUGUGCAUUCUCAACAUGCACAGAUUAGGGAGAAACUCGAGUACAAUCAUCGAUUGUCUCGAAAAGGAUAUGCUGGAUUGGAGGAUCAAUUGGAGGAAACCAUGCCUGGGGUAGAAAUUGAUCGAUCUACCUUAUGGAAGAGAGCUAGACAGGACAAACAUGGUAACAUCCCUGAUCCAAAGGUGGCAGAGAAAGCAAAAUUAAUUGUAAGCCUACUAUCACUCUGUUUUAAAUUUUUAUUAAACUGUGAAUUAUUCUUAUUACGUCGUAUGUUAUAUUUUUCGUCGUGUGAAUGAUAUUACCACGUCGAAAAGUUUUUAAAAACGUCGUUAAAGGUCUAAAUAGGAAUCACUACUAUGUUUUCUGUAAUUACAGCAUAAGACGUCAGUGGUUCAUUUUCGCGUCGUGUGAAUGAUAUUACCACGUCGAAAAUUUUUUUAAAACGUCGUUAACGGUCUAAAUAGGAAUCACUACUCUGUUAUCUUUAAUUAUAGCAUAAGACGUCGGUUGUUUAAUAACCGUCGUGUGUUUUUUUGUUUAUCUUUUUUUAGGAUGAAUUGCAGAAACAAGUCUCGGAAGGCAAAGUCAGAGUAGAUGGCAGCAAUGAUGUGCUGACCAUGGCUUUGGGCCCCGAGCAUCCAGGCAGACUGAGGGGAGUUGGUGCUGGUGUUUCCCCAAGGCAAUAUUUCAAUUUGCCCAAACCACAGAGGGUGAGCUUUGACGACCGUUUGAAGGACAGUUUAAGAGUUCUCCUUCAAGAAGAGACUAAAAAGAUGGAGGCUAAGGCAAGGGAAGAGGCCUUAAGGAUGGAGGCUAGGACAAAACAAUUGGUAGAGGCUGAGAGGGAGCAUUUCCUGAGUCAGCUUUCCCAAUUAAUUCCCAAUUUUGAUCCAAGCAUGCUUAAACCAAGAAUUAGCCAAAGCCCCAAAAAUCCAAUGUCUGACAAAGCUAGCUGCUCUGGAGGUGAUGUGAGAUCCCUACAUUUGGAGGAUGAUACUGCCAAAAUGGGGAAACAUCAGCCAGAUGAAGAGAAGGAAGAAGAAAAAAGAGAUGAAGAGAAGGAAGAAGAAAAGGAGAAAGAAGAUGAAGAAAAGCAUGACGACAAGGUAUGUUCACAUAACUUUGCCUUUUUUAUUUGUUUUUCAAAAUUUCAGACGUCGAUAUUUUUAUUUAAUCCGUCGUUUGUUUAAAACUUAGACGGCGGAAUUUUUUUAAGACGUAAUAAAAUAUUUAAACGACGGUUUUUGCACCGUCGUUUAAAUGGUUUCAGACGACGCUUUAUUCAUAAAACCGUCGUCUUUAUUGAAUUACCACGACAGUUUUUUCACCGUCGUUUAAAUACUUUUAAGACGACGUUUUAUUACUUAAACCGUCGUCUUUAUUGAAUUACCACGUCAUUUUUUUUAUUUCUUUAAACAGGUUAUUGAAGUUGGUGCUUAUUCAAAAAUGGAGGCGCCAUCUUCUUUAAAAACCCUUUGUCGUUUUGUGGAAACGACACUCCUGCCUGAGGAUAAGACAGUCCAAUUUACAAUUGAUAAGGAGGUGUUUGGUGGUGAGCGCGAUACCUUCCUCCUGCCUGAAGAUAUUACACAAUUUGCAGGCAUGGAAGAAAUUGGAGCUACUGUAUUGGCUGUAUAUAUGAGGUUUGUACUUCUAAAAUAAUAACUCGUUGGUUUAUAUAUUGCGUCGUCUUAACUAACUAACCACGUCGUCUUAACUAACAACCGUCGUGAUAAAUAUAUUAUAACGUCCUCAUCUAUUUCAGUACGUCGUGUGAAAUAUUAUAAUACGUCGUUUUUUUAUACAUAACCGUCGUGUUUUGUGUGCUGACUUGUUUAUAUUAUUUUAUUUGUUUAGGUACUUACACGAUGUUUUGAAAAAAGCCAAUAUGUGCAGUAUGGUUGGCUUUAUCGACCCUGCUACAGUUAGUGCCAACUCUGGCACAAUAACUGAAAGAUCACGACUCGUAGCAGCUCGACUUCAGAAGACAGACGGUGAACAGAUUUUCAUGAUGCCUUACAAUCCAGGGUUAGUCUCCUUAGGAUUUUGUUUUUAUGAUUUUCAAUAAAUGACAGCUUAUAAACUAACCACGUCGGUGUUUUAUUUUAUUUAGUCGUUUGAAACUACUAACCACGUCGGUAUUUAUUUAUCGUCGUGAUAAAUAUAUAAUGUCGUCGUUAGCUACUUUACUUCGUCGUGUGAAAUACUAUAAUACGUCGUUUUUGUAAAUAACCGUCGUUUUUAUAUUAAUUUUGUGCAGCCGUCAUUGGAUUUUGCUGAUUGUAAGAGCAAAGAGAGAAACCGUCUAUUUUCUGGAUCCUCUGCCAGGAAAUCGUGUGGUCGAUGAAGAGGCCAAAAACAUCGUGAACAGUGCUUUAAAAAUAUAUAAUACCCACAUAGCCCGAGCAGGACGUAAAAAUGUAAUUUGGAAAACUCUCUCAGGCACACCAAAGCAACCCAGCAAUGUCGAAUGCGGGUAUUAUGUAAUGCGCUUCAUGAGGGACAUCAUCAUGGAUCCUUCCUUGGGGUUUGAGAAUAAGGUAAGAAGAAAUUACCUUCAUACAUUUCACGUCGUUUUUUGUAUUAUCAACGACGGUCGUGUAAAAUUAACGUCGUUGAAUGGAUAUACUACGUCGGUUAUGAAAAAUAUCGUCGUCUGUGAUUGAAUUUCUUUUUAUUUAUAAACCCUAAUAGUCAUUGUUUAUGCAGUAUGCCAAGGGAAACCAGGAAGCUUCAUACCCCCAAGAAGCCAUUGAUGAAGUCCGGAAUGAAUGGGCAGAGUUUGUUUUCCAAAUUAUUAAACAGGGCAAUUAUUGAACACUUGAUAUUUAUGUAUAAUGUACCAAUUUUCUCUAUAAUAUGUAAUGUAAAAAUUUGUUGAGGUUUUCUUAAAUUAAAAAAAAAACAAACAUACAAAUUGCUUAACCGACGUGUAAUACUUUUCCAACGACCUAAUAAAGUCAAUAACCGUCGUAUUUUGUUUUUGCGUGUUUUAAACAAAUACGACGUAAAAAAAUAGUUAGACGACGUUCUUUGAACAAUUGAGUCGUUAAUGGUUUACAAUAUCUUCAAUUUCUUAAGGGUUCAGGGUAUAAUCGACGACGUUUAUGUAACGACUGCGGUUAAGUCGUAAAAUAUAUAUUUUACGUCGUAUAGUUAAAUAGCCGCCAUGGUUUCUCAUUUUAACGACGUCAUUUUAACGACUUAGUAGUCUAUUACAAUUUACAACGUCUACAAUUUAUUUAACACCGACGUGGUUUGUUGUAUGGUAAGAAUAUUUUAUUAUUUUUAUAUCAAAAUAUUCAAAAUAAAUAUAAAAUAAAUCAGAAAAUUGAAAAGUCAACUCCUAUGAAGUCAUUGAUAUAUUUUCUUCCACAUAAACCUUGAAAAAAUUCAUUUUGAAUAACAAAAAUUUAAAAUGACCAUCCAAAACAAAAUUGUUUUGAUGAGUCAUAAAAUCACUUCUAGUUUUAUGGUUUAGGGUUUAGAGUCUAGGGUUUAGAGAUUAGGGUUGUUAUUUAUUGGGGUUUAUUUUUAAAGUAUAAUUUUUGGGUAGUCUAGGGUAUAUGUUAGGCUUUAAAACCAUAAAACCUUUUAUAAACUUAAUUUUUUAAAUUGUAUAAUUUAAUUUUAUGGGUUUAGUGUAUUAAUUUUUAACGACGGUGGUUGGGUCGUGGAAUACAUAUUUUACGUCGUACAGUAAAACAUACGACAUGGUUUACGCUUUAAACGACGUCAUUUUAAUAUGUAAGUCGGUUUAUAUAAUUUACAACGUUUUUAAUUUCUUAACACCGACGUGGUUUCUCAUUUUAACGACUUAGUAGUCUAUUACAAUUUACAACGUCUACAAUUUAUUUAACACCGACGUGGUUUGUUGUAUGGUAAGAAUAUUUUAUUAUUUUUAUAUCAAAAUAUUCAAAAUAAAUAUAAAAUAAAUCAGAAAAUUGAAAAGUCAACUCCUAUGAAGUCAUUGAUAUAUUUUCUUCCACAUAAACCUUGAAAAAAUUCAUUUUGAAUAACAAAAAUUUAAAAUGACCAUCCAAAACAAAAUUGUUUUGAUGAGUCAUAAAAUCACUUCUAGUUUUAUGGUUUAGGGUUUAGAGUCUAGGGUUUAGAGAUUAGGGUUGUUAUUUAUUGGGGUUUAUUUUUAAAGUAUAAUUUUUGGGUAGUCUAUGUUAUAUGUUAGGCUUUAAAACCAUAAAACCUUUUAUAAACUUAAUUUUUUAAAUUGUAUAAUUUAAUUUUAUGGGUUUAGUGUAUUAAUUUUUAACGACGGUGGUUGGGUCGUGGAAUACAUAUUUUACGUCGUACAGUAAAACAUACGACAUGGUUUACGCUUUAAACGACGUUAUUUUAAUAUGUAAGUCGGUUUAUAUAAUUUACAACGUCUUUAAUUUCUUAACACCGACGUGGUUUUUCAGUCGUCGUUAUAUAAAAAAUUCAAAAUAAAUUUAAAAUUAAUCCGAAAAAUGAACGGCCUUACGUUCUUAAUCCGAAAAAUGAAGUUUCCGUCGUGGAAUAUUAAAUUUACGUCGGUACUUGUAGAACUUUCGCCUUGGUUUUUCUUUCGACGUUUUAUAACGCGCGCGCUCUAAAAAUUUUCGCGCGACCUAAAUUUUUUUAGAUUUGGCUCUUAUUCUUAUACUUUGAUCCCUGAAACCUAAAAUUUCAGAUUUCACGCGACAUAACAUUUCGCUCUCUCACUUCUGCUCUAAUUAAAAGUUGCACUCUCCAGGCUCGUCGAAUCUGUGAGCUCGUCCAACCUGUAAGUACAAACCCUAUCUUCCCCUUGUAAAUUCAUUGAAUGAUAUUAGGUUGUUUUGUUAAAGGGUUUUAGGUAUAUGCUUUGCGAUCUGUUAAUAAUGUGCUUAUAGGUAUGGGUUCAUGGAUUUUCUGUUUAAUGGGUUCAUGACAAGAUCAAAUAAAGGUGUACUUUUGCUGGAAAUCAACACAAAAAGACACAUCACCAACUUCCAAAUGAUUUCCAGCAAAAGGACACCUUUAUUUGAUCUUGUCAUUUUCCGCUCUGGAGAAGGUGCAAAGUGCACCAAUGCUUAUAGGUAUGGGUUCAUGGAUUUUCUGUUUAAUGGGUUUAUGGAUUACAUUAUCUGUUAUGUUGAAUUGGGAAUGGAUUUAAUUUUGUCGUAUCUUUUAAUCACCCUAUGUUAUGUUGAAUUGGGAAUGGAUUUAUUGUUUUCAUGCUUGGUUUCAUGUAUAUGUUGGUUUCUUGCUUGGUUUCAUAUAUAUGUUGUGUUCUUAAUGGGUUUUGUGUUCUUGAAAAUAAACUGAGACACGACGAAUUUUAAGGCGUACGACGACGAUUACACGACGGUGUUUUUAAACUACCGUCGUUGUAUUACUUAUACACGACGGUUUUUUCAUAAACCGUCGUUUGUAUUACGUAUAAUAGACGACGUCUGUUGAAAAUCCGUCGUCUAUAUAUGCCAAAUACGUCUGUUUUUGAUUAAAACCCGUCGUCUCUGUUGUUUAUUACUUGCGAUUAGAUCAUUGUAUAAUCUGCUAUAGUGAUGGUCAUUGCCUGUAUUUUCACUUUAUUAUAGAUAAUAGGUUAUAGUGUCGGAGAUGGAUAAGUCAUGGAUGCACUCGGAUAGAAGAUCGAAGGCAUAUGAGUUUGGGGUGGAAGCAUUUUUGAACUUUGCUGUAGAAAAUCUUCUAACUACAACACAUAUCCGUUGUCCAUGUGUUAAAUGUGUUAAUUUGAAGUUGUUUGGGGUUGGAAUUAUAAGGGAUCACUUAUACUUUAAUGGAAUUGACCAAAGCUAUAAGAAUUGGACAUUUCACGGAGAACCUUGGGAAGCAACUACUAAUGCUAGCAGAAAUGUUGAAGAAGAUGAUGGCCAUAGUAGGUACAGUUUUGUGUCUGAAGAAAUUGAUAUGGAUGAUAAUGAUUUUGGUGAUUUUGGUUCGGAUCCGUAUGAGUUUGCCAAUGUGAUUGGGGAUGGAGAUCAACCAGUGUACCCUGGUUGUAGAAAGUACACGAAGUUAUCGGCAUUAGUGAAGUUGUAUAAUUUGAAGGCAAAACAUGGGAUGAGUGAUGUCUGUUUUACAGAAUUAUUGAUACUUCAAGGCGAUUUGCUUCCAGAAGGAAAUACAAUACCAACCUCCAUGUAUGAGGCUAAAAAGACUUUGUGUGCAUUGGGGCUGAGUUAUGAGAAAAUGCACGCAUGCCCCAAUGAUUGCAUCUUGUAUAGGAAGGAGUAUGAGGAUUCAACUAAUUGUCCUACUUGUGGUAUCUCAAGGUGGAAGGAAGGCAAAGAUUCAAUCUUGAAAGAGGGUGUGCCAGCGAAGGUGGUGUGGUAUUUUCCCCCAAUUCCAAGGUUUAAAAGGAUGUUUCAAUCACAUGAGACAGCUAAGAGUUUGACUUGGUGGCAUGCUGCUAGAAAAUCAAUUGACGGUCAGAUGUCUCAUCCGGCGGAUUCCCCGUCUUGGAAACUUCUUGAUGAUAAAUGGCCUGAGUUUGGUAAUGAGCCGAGAAACUUGAGAUUGGCUCUUUCAUCUGAUGGAUUCAAUCCCCACAGUUCUCUAAGUAGCAGAUAUAGUUGUUGGCCGGUUAUCUUAGUUACAUAUAAUCUCCCUCCAUGGCUGUGCAUGAAACGAAAGUUCAUGAUGUUAACCUUAUUGAUUUCCGGUCCUAAACAACCCGGAAAUGAUAUAGACGUCUACUUGGAGCCUUUGAUUGAUGAUUUAAAAUCCUUGUGGGUUGGGAUUAGAGGAGUGUAUGAUGCACAUAAUGGAGAAUACUUUACACUCAGAGCUGCAUUAAUGUGGACAAUUAAUGAUUUCCCCGCCUAUGGAAACUUAUCUGGUUGUGUUGUUAAAGGAUAUAAAGCUUGUCCAAUAUGCGGCGAUGAUACACCUAGUCACAGGUUGAAAAAUGGCCACAAAAUUUGUUACAUUGGGCAUAGAAAAUGGUUACCAAUCAAUCAUCCAUAUAGGAGGCAACGUGCAGCUUUUAAUGGGAAACCUGAAUAUGGCAUACCUCCAGAGCCAUUAACCGGAGAAUAAGUGCUGCAUAUGGUUGAAAAUGGUGACAGAGUUUGUUGGAAGAAGAAAUCAAUAUUCUUUGAUCUCGAGUAUUGGAAAUACCUUCCUGUGAGGCAUGCCCUAGAUGUUAUGCACAUUGAGAAGAAUGUUUGCGAUAGUAUCAUUGGUACAUUGCUGGAGAUCCCUGGAAAAAAUAAAGAUGGGAUUGCUGCUCGAUUAGAUUUAUUGAACAUGGGGGUCAAAACUGAUUUGCAACCCGAGUAUGGAGAAAGACGUACUCGUUUGCCUCCUGGGCCUUGGAAUUUGUCAAGAGCAGAGAAGAGAGAGGUUUGCAAUUCUUUCUAUGGUAUGAAGGUCCCUGAAGGUUAUUCUUCAAAUAUUAAAAAUCUUGUAUCUGUACAAGAUUCAAGACUUCUUGGCCUUAAAUCACAUGAUUGUCAUACCUUAAUGCAACAAUUGCUCCCUGUGGCAAUUCGUUCUGUUUUGGAGAAGCCUGCAAGGUAUGCAAUAACUCGUUUGUGCUUCUUCUUCAAUGCUAUAUGUGCAAAGACUGUUGAUGUUUCCAAGCUAGAUAAGUUGGAAGAAGAUGUAGUAGUUACUCUGUGUUUGCUUGAGAAGUACUUUCCCCCUUCAUUCUUUGAUAUCAUGGUUCAUCUAGUAGUACAUCUUGUCAGAGAAGUUCGUCUAUGUGGGCCAGUAUAUUUUAGGUGGAUGUAUCCGUUUGAAAGAUAUAUGAAAGUGCUGAAGGGGUAUGUUCAGAAUCGUACUCGUCCCGAAGGUUGCAUUGCUGAGCGGUAUAUAGCUGAAGAAGCGGUAGAGUUUUGUACUCAGCAUUUAUCUGAUGUUAGUACAGUUGGAGUGCCUUCAAGCCAAAAGAUGGGAGUUUCAAAGCCAUUAUCAGGUUGCACAGUGAGCGUAGUUGAUCAGGACCUGUUGAAUCAAGCACAUCUAUAUGUCUUGGAGAAUACGGAGGAAGUCCUACCUUAUAUCGAGUACGUAUGAGUUUUAUUCUUUAAGUUUCCAUUUAAAAUUAUUUCUUAUGUUUAUCUUAUAUAUUUGGGACCGUAAUGCUUGAAUUUUUCGUGUCAUGUAGGCAACAUAUGAUCCACAUCAAGACUGCUUAUCCAAAAUUUAGAAAGAGAACAAAGUGGCUGCAGGAUAAGCACAAUAGCACUUUCAUUCAAUGGCUACGCUUCAAGGUAUAUGUUGUUGAAUAACGUAUUUCUCUUUUAAUUUUCUUCUUAUUUAUAUGUUAGGAUGAAUUAAGAUAUGAUUAAUUUGCAGGUUCAAAGUGAAGUUGAGGAAGACAAUCAUGGCGUAUCAGAAAAUUUAAGGUGGCUAGCAGCUGGUCCAAACAUGUCAGUGCCAUUAUAUAGGAGCUAUCUUAUUAAAGGUAUUAAAUUCAAUAUCAAGGCACAAGAUGAUGUGCGGACAACUCAAAAUAGUGGAGUUUAUUUACUUGCACAUACCAUGCAAGUUGCUAGUGCCAAGGAUAAAAACCCAAUUCUCUCAAAUAUGGGUUUCUAUGGUGUCAUUCAAGAAAUUUGGGACCUUGACUACCAAAAGUUUACAAUCCCAGUCUUUAGGUGUGAUUGGAUAGAUAGUUCUGGUCUUGUAGUCGACGAACUUGGAUUUACCCUUGUAGAUUUGAGUAAAAUUGGACAUAGGAAUGACCAAUUUGUUUUGGCUUCUCAAGUCAAACAAAUAUUUUUUGUUGACGACCCGAUGCAUCGUGGUUGGUCGGUAGUGUUAUCAAUGCCUAGUAGAGAAUAUAAUGAUGUUAUUGGUGAUGAAGUAUUAGGUGAUGUGAUAAUUGAGUGUGAGCCAUUUACUAGAGGGAUGCCAAAUGUUGACACAUUUGAUGAACUGGUAGGUGAGUUAGGCGGUCAAAAUAUUCGAGAUGGGUGUGAAGAUAUAUGGAUUGAAUGAUGCUUAUGUAAUUGGCAGUGUAUGACAUUAAUUUUGUAAUAUAUUGUAAUGUGAUUUCUUCACUUUCUACGUUCAAAUAAAACACGACGUUAUUGUGAAUCAGUUAUUCAGCAUAUUUACCGACGUCUUAAAGCAACGUAACAAUGAAGAACCACGACGCUAUUGUGAAGCAAUUAUUCAGGAUAUCACGUCGGUGAAGGAUAAAGAACCGCCAUGUAAUUCAAAAUAACACGACUCCAAUCCCAUAAUACCGACGUCUAAAAAACGAGAUAUAUAAUCUGAACGUUAAAAAAUACGACGUCAUCAUACAUUUUCCACGUCGCAAGUUCUUUUAUAAACGAAGAGGAACGAAAUUAAUUCCGACGGAAAUUCAUUAUAACCGCCGUCUAAUAACAAUUAAACGACGUUAUUUGUAAUACGGCUCCCAUCAUAAUCUACGCCGUCUAUAUGUUCUGUAAUACGGCUCUCAUUUAUUUGGAACCGACGUUGUUUAGACGUUCAACGUCGUCUAUAUUAUUAAGUGCGUCGUGAGUAAUGAAUACAUAUAAAUACAACGUCGACUAUAUAAAUGUAUACGUCGUAAAUAAUGACACUGACAACUAUUUCCACGUCAUCUUUUUUAGAAAAAUCGAAGUGGAAAAUUUAUUUCACGACGGUUUUUUGUAAAUAAGAGACGUUGUAGAACUUUAGCAGACUAAACACGUCUGUUUUUAUUGUUUUCCGACGUUGUUGUAUUUAACAACGUCUAAUAUUUAUGGUCGUUGUUUGUUUCUGAAAAUAGGACGUAUAAAUUUUUUAAUACGACUCUCAUAUAUUUGUAACUGACGUUGUUUAGUUUUUCAACGUCUACUAUAGAAACACAUACGUCGUAAAUAAUGACACUGACAACUAUUUCCACGUCAUCUUUUAUCGAAAAAUCGAAGUGGAAAAUUAAUUGUACGACGGUUGUGUUUAUAUGUGCGACGUAGUAGGUAUCAAUAACGUCGUCUUCUAAUGUAUUUAAAGACGUCAUAUUUUUUAUUGUCGUGAAAAUUAUAUUUAACGUCGGCGUAUUUUUAUUGUCGUCGUUGUAUGUCUAUCUUGCGGCUUUGUUCUCUUAAUAUGUGUCAUAUUUUCCCUUUUUAACGACGGUGUUUUUAGAGAAUUGGUCGUCUAUUAUCAUCCUCGAUUGCUUUUUUUAGAUCUUUUUGCAGUACAAAGACGUCGUUUUGUAUUUUUUGAUGACGUUGUAUUGUUUAACAACGACGGUUAUUUAGCGUCGUGGUUUAUGAGGGAAAAGAUGACGGUGGAUUCCACGACCAUUGAAAAACCAAAUACACGACGGUGAUUUACCGUCGUCUUUUUGCUUUUUUGUAGUAGUGAAAUAUUUUAGCAUAUUAUCACAAAAACAUAAGUGAUAUGAUAUUAAAAGUAACUACUAUUAAAAUGAAAGUAUAUGAAUACAUGAUGAGGUAAAUUACUUGAUUGUACUUCGUAUUGCCAAGAUAGAGAUUACCCUAUAUGCUUAGCAGAACAAAAGUUAUGAAAGAAUUUUCAGUCACAAAGGAGUCUAAAUGGUGAAGGAAUCGAAUUUAAAUUUUUUUUUUUUUGGGGUCAAAGAGGGAAGGGCUUGGACUCUAAUCCUUGGAUGAGAGAGUACUGCUGGCAACCAACCACGAAAGCUACAAGCCCCUACGAAUUAAGGUAUUGUUUAGCAGUUCUUAAAACAUGCUUUCACAUUCCUAUGUUUGAUAAUUACAUAUUAGUUUGAGUUUUAGGUACUAUCCACAAAAUGAGUUUUCGAAACCCUAGGGAAGAAAUAGUUUCCCUAUGUAUGGUGUCCAAAAAGUAGAACUCUAUCCAUUUCUUGGUAAAAAUACGUUCCCAUAUAUCUAUCUCAAAUAGGAAUUGUUAGGUGUGUUUGACGUUUUUCCAUGUGAUGAUUUUAUUGUUUUUUUGGAGGACUUGUUGAUUUUAUAAUAGCUCUUAAGUCAACAAACUAAUUUGACAAAGACAUGCUUGGAAGCAUGAACAUAAUUUGGGUAGGAUCCGGUAAACUAUCAAUCAAUAGGAAUAUUUAUCGUUUCACUUAGUUAAUAUCUUAAUUCACAGUAUGAUAAUAUAACAUGUCUAACUAUCUGACAAGAUGAAAAGAUUAAAGAAGAAAGAGAACGGAAAAAAGAAAAAAGAAAGAGAAAACAGAGAGAGAUAUAGAGAAACUUUGGGCUAAAAUUUGAUUUAUCUAAAUUUGGCUUACAAAUUAAGCCUACUCUCAAAAAUAGGAUUGGACUGGAGCCCACUCCAGCCUUAACGUAGGUCCGCCCUUGAUUAUACCAAUUUCCUUCAUCAAUUCCUUCAUCAAUUCCCUGAGCCAAAACAACUCACAAAUACCUUUAGUCGUCCCUCUCUAUUAUGCUUUUGCACUCGCCAAGCAACCAAGUUCCCUCCAACAAAUGUAAAGUACUCAUAAGUUAAUAGUAUGCUAGUUAUACUUCAUGCCCAAUCUGCAUCUGUAUAGCCAUCAAUUUCCGGAUGAUUAUGCUUUGAAAACACUAAAUCUUUACCAGUAUGUGCGUUUAAACCAACCUAAAAAUGUGUUUACCUCUUGGAAACUCAAACCAUUAGGUCCGAUACAAGUCCCGAGCAAACAAGCUUCUAUCAUAAAUUUCAGACUGAUCAGAUAAUUCUAUUAAUACAGAUUUGAAGAAAUCAAAUCAAAUACACAAAACUUGUAGUGAGGACAUAAUAUUUUGCCAUUCCAAUGCCUAUGUCACGAAAAUUACAGCAAUGCAGAUUAGGCAUGACUCUUUUUAAGGGAUUUUCAAUUUAUGAUUCAACUAAUUAAGGUAGCGUUUGGGAUUGCGGUGCUUAAAGAAUAAGCGGCUUUAAAAAUAAUUUUUCCAACUGAAAGUGUUUGGUAAAAGAAAUCAAGGCAGCUUAUUUUAAAAUCUCGGGUCAUCCAAGCAAUUUUUCAAAGCAGGUUGGACCUAGCUUCUCAAAGUUGCUUUGAAAAAAAAAUAGCCGGUUCCUUUUAAUGUUUUUUUCAUUUUUCCCAUAACGCCCUUACUACUUUUCCAAAAUGACAGCCCUUUUUCCCUUCAUUCCAAAAUCUGUUUCAUCUCAUCUCUGCACGUAUCACACUCUUCUUCUUCCUUCUUCUUACUGCAAGUUGGGUCAGUUGUUGCGAGCCAUAAUAGCUGCUGCAAUUUCAUCAGCAAUCAGUCUGAAUUAAGUUGAAUUUUAUGUGUUGAUUCGUAAAUUUUAUUAAAUUGAAUAAAAAUAGAGUAAAAAACCCUAAGAUUUGUAUUUGGGCGGCGUGGGGGGCUUAGGUGGAGAGAGAGAGAGAGAGAGAGAGAGAGAGGUGGUUGUUGGGUGAGGUUUGUUCUGUGGGGUUGGCGUGGGGGAAAGGGUUGGGUGUGGUGAUAUGGUAUUGGAAUUGGGUGGGGUUAGGGGAGGGGCCUGGCCAGUGUUUACGGCAGGAGAAGGAGAGGAGGGAAGGGGUGAGAGUUAGUAGUGGUAAUGGGGAAGCAGCUGCGAAGAGAAGAUGGGGAGGGGUUGCUGUGUUGCUGAGAGUUUUUUUUAGAGACUUUUAGUUGUUUUUAGACUAUUUUAAAUUUUUUAAUAUUAUUUCUCAUUUUCAAUUAAUUAUUAAGUUUUUUAUUAUUAACAUUUCAUGGCUCAUUUUCAAUUAAUUUUUCAACUAAUAUUUUAUAUCUCAAAGCUUUUUUGGUCAUUAUACAUACUCAAAGUGCUUAUGUAUAAAAGUUUACCAAACACGUUGAUUACUCACAAUACUUGUUUAAAUACAGUUUACCAAACGCCUAGCUGCUUUAUUUCACAGCUGAUUAUUCUUGUAGCAUAGCAGAAGCAGUUUUUUUUUUUUAAAAAGCACAAUAAUGCAAAACUAGCCCUAACACUAAGUAAAAACAAAAACAAAACAAGACACAACUGAGAACUAAAAAAGGUGCAGUGAUUUGGAAACAAACAAGCAAUUAAAGAAAACAAAACGAAACGAAACGAAACAAGCAAGUCAAGAUAAAGUAGUGUAUCAAGUUAAUCAAAUGCUGGCAAGUAUAUGAAUCAAAAGAUAGUAUAUCUAAGUAAGCAAGGAUAUCGUCCCACUAGGAUUGAUUUAAUUCUUAAUAUUCCUACCAAUUAAACUUAAACUAAUUUUAAAUUGAGAAACUUUGAUGGAUAAAAUUUAAUUGAAUUUGCAAUUGAGAAACUAAAAUUAAAUAAAGCAAUUAAAACUAAAGACAGAGUUGCAAGGCACAAGAGAUUUAGGAAAACCAAGAGAGAAAGAAACUAAAGCAUCCGAUUUCAUCGUAACCAAUCCCACCCAAUCCCUUAGCAUAACAAUUCCAAGUAAUUCCCCUUAUUGAUGGUCAAUUUCCCUAAACUAUUCAAUUGGAAUGGCAUCUGGUUACAUCAAAAGUAUCUUUGCAUGCAAUCCUCUAUGACAUCUAGAUGAAUUUGACAAAUAAAGACCAAUUAAGCUCUAUGAAAAUUAUGUAGUGAUCACACAAACCCUAAUUGCAUGGCAUCUACAAUUAGUCAUUCAUGGUAUCAAUUGCAAGAAGCAAAACUCAAGUUAAGUAUGGCACCUACUCAAGUUAGAUGGUGAUGAGACAUCCAAACCAAAUUAAACAUUAAAUACAACAAAAGAUACUCAAUAAAAAGGAAAAAUUUUGAGAUUAAUAUUAACUAAGAAAAUUGAGUAUUCAUGAUUGGGCUGCAUCGUAGCCCUAGCUAAGAAAAUUAGUUCCUCAUAAUCAUAAUAAAAAUAAUAUAAGUUUAGAAAAACCCGUAAUUUCUCUUCCUUCUCUUUCCGUCAGCUUCUAUUUGCUCUUGAACUCGUUAAUAACGUGGCACCUCACCUUCCACAAUAAGGAAUGAUAUUUUUUAAUAAUUUGUGUUUACCGAAUUGUCCCUCCACAACUAAAAGAAUUUAAAAAAAAUUUGACAUAAAUUGAGGAUUAUCCUUGAAUUGCUUCAAAUUGAAACCACAUGGACAAAAUUAACCAAAUUGAAACGAUAGGGACCAAAGUGGUAAAAGUGACAAACUACAGAGAACAAAAAUGAUUUUGUAUUAAACAACCAACUAAUUGAAAGGUUGUUGGUAAAAACACCGGUUCCCCUUCGUCACAACAAAUAAACCCGAUAGAAGAAAACAAAUAAUAAUACAAGAAGCCAAAGAUGACAAUGAGUAAAACACAAAAGAGAACACACCAAGAUUUAACGAAGUUGAACAAAAUCCUGAUUACGUCCCUGGACAGUUUGUCAGUUCUUCACUACGAGAAUAGUAACCGUGCAAAAUACAUAUUGAGUUAAAUCAAUGUAACCCAACAUAACGCUCAAGAGUUUUAUACCCAAACCCGAGCCCCUUAUACACCCACUCACAGUAUUUCCGAACUCACUCUCUCCCCAAGAGAUAUACCCUCUCUUGAACACCAUGCUUUCUCACCACAACUCCCUUGUAUGUAAACAACACACACACCACCGGAGUUGUUGCUCCCCACUUGAUACCCAAUUGAACCCAAGAGAAACCACUCUUGAUUUUCCUGGAGUUCGUGGGACUGCUUGCUUGCAUCUCACAAGCAGCCCACUCCCACUUACAUUGCCGUAAGCCUCAACUCUCACUUUGGUUUGACCCACAAGCACACACCGUUUGCAUGCUCCACACACUAAAUGAAUCAGCUGCUGCAUAUUAAUGGGCCAUUGCUCAAUGUGAAAAGCAAAGCUUUUCCAAUACUCCUCCUAUGUCGGCAGCAGCAAUGAAGACCAGCAUGGCUUCCUCCGAAAGCCAAACCAAAGUCAGAACUUGUUGCCCCAUUUACUACUUGGGUCCCAAUGAGAUUUUUACCAACAACAAUCUCCACCUUGAUAAAAAUACCAUGCACAACUUGCACCAUCACCAAUACUCAAGUAGAUUGCAGUUCUGUCCAGUAAGGGUUGUUUCUAUCCGAUAAGGCUUCUCCUGGCUUUAUAUGACUUUCAACGGCUUUCAUUUAAGUUUAUUUAGGUCCAUUUGAACUUGUAUUUACUUUCUUAACUUUUGCAUUCAAGGCUUCUAUUGUACUUUAUGUCCGAUAAUAGUCUAAAAUCAUCAUUCCUCUUGAGUUUAUUUCAUAACAAGUGAAAUAUUGAAGUCCUCUUAGUUGAGGCAUAGAAAGAACCUAUUUAAAGCAAGAUCCCCCUCUUUAGAGCACAAUAGCUUUGUUUAGAAGUUAAGAUGAUCACAUGAACCCAAUAUAUUCACAAAACUAUCACCACAUUAUCACCUCUUUCUACUGGAAGAGUAAAACACUAGUAGUGGCACGCCUGUCGCAACCAAAAAAGAGCAGAUUUUAAGCCAAUUCUUGGGCUUUGAUCUCUCUCCUCUUCACUUUCUUCACCAGGAAGAGACCAUAACAGCUAAAGUAUAGCAUGCUAGAAACCAUGGGUAUCACAGUGUUCAAAACACGACAAACACAGUGAAAUUGUGGAAAAUGAACUAACCCUAAAUGCAGAAGCUCGAGAUACAUACACAGUAAUUUAUGUCUUAUACAACACAUAGAUACAUAUUAUACAUAGGAUAAUAGUAAAGUACAAGCUAGCUCUUGUUUGCAUACUUGCAGUACUAGUGCCCAUGGAAUGCACAUUAAUUACUUUUGUGCCAUUAAUGUAAGUUGAUAUAUGUCUUCAGUUACAGCCUUUGAAUCUUUGAAAAUCCCUAGCAGCCCCUUCCCUGAUAAUCCAACACAAUAAGCACCUUUCUCAUUCUUCCAGUGGUUUGGGUACUUCCCUUUAGGCUUUCCAUCAUCUGUAAGAAGGAACUUAUAGUCCUGCAUCCACAAUUAAAUAAUUAAUUAGUAUAUAUAUAUAUAUAUAUAUAUAUCAGUCUCGAUCUCUUGGACUACAGGAGUCCAUGAGAUUGUGGUCACCCACCGUUGGAUAUUAAUCCAAUGGUUCAAAAAAGUUUCUUAAAAGAAGUGCAAGAGUGAGUGAACCGUUGAAUUUACAUCCAACGGUGAGUGACCACAAAUCUCUUGGACCCCUGUAGUCUAAGAGAUCAGACCUAAUAUAUAUAUAUAUAUAUAUACACAUAUCAUACCAAAUUAGAUAACAAUUACUCAAUAUAUAAAAUCUUUGCUCUCAGUUUAAUAUUCAAUAAGAAAUAUAAAAUUACCUAAAACUUCUUGUGCACCCCCACGCACGGGACCUCAUAGUGACCUCGGAUUCUCUAGUAGUCCUUACAUAAAUUAAGUCAUGUUCAAAUGGUAUAUUGAUAUCUAUACAUGACUUAAUCAUACCUACAUGUCAUUUAUACACACUUACAUACACAAAUCAAACAAACUUAGGUAGCAACCACAUUACUUGCAAACAUACAAACCUUGAAAUCAAAUGAUAUAAUCACAUAUACAAUUACUUAUUUACAUACGUAUAGGCACACAUUUAUAUGUAUUUAUCAUGAUUCCAAAGCAAGUCUAGGAUAAUUACCUUGCAGAUAGCACCCCACAAAACCACUUGAGAUAGAAGCCUUAAACAUGUGUUAACCUAUAAACAAACUCAACUAAUAAGGCCCUAUACAAAGGCAAAGUAGUUUGCCAACACUGGUAGUGUGUACUCAAAUAAUUUUCAUAAAUUCUACCCAACACAAAACUAAUAUUCUUAAAUUAGACAUACAGGGGGUCUUAGGGUAAAAAUUUGAAAACAAAACUCCACUGUUUAGGCCCCGAAAAGAAUACCAAAAAUGAAACUCUAAAUUAUAAUUUUAGUUGUCAAACGGCAGUGCUCAGCCCCCACAUGAAUUUUACAGAAAUACUAGAUGUCCAAAAAUCAUGAAAUUUCAUAGCUAUGAAUCAGAGAUCGUAAUCUACUUAUUUUAAAAAUAUUGAGUUGUUUUAUUAUUGAAUAUCAGCCCAUAAAAGACUCCUAAUCUAAUCUUGAAGACAAUCUAUUAAGCCAUCAGAUCCUCACCCAGUCCAAUUCAUAAAAUUGUUAUAAAAUAGGGAGCUUUGGUCUAAAAUCAAUAGGGAGUUCCAUAUUGUGAUAGAUAGGAAAAUAAUUUCACCUAAUUUACUUGAGGUCAAUGACUAAUAAAUCAACCUCAAAUUACAAAACUACAACUAACAAAUCCUAUAAAUUACAAUGAUUGCCAUUACAGCUUUUUUUAAUAAUUUCGUUAAUUCAUUCGAGUUCAACCUCCAGUUGUCCACCAAUCUGUGAGCCAAGCCCAACUCCUACAGCAAAAACACAAGAGACAUUAGCUUCCACCUUCAAACGACAUCAACUCCUACAGCCCAAGCCCAAAACAACAACAAAAACUGCUACAACAUCAAAAUCGGAACUCACGCUAUGACUUCAAACACACUCAACCCAUCUUCCCACUCCUCAUUUCUUCUCCAUCACUUCACUUUGAAAAUAUUGCAAAAACACUCACCAUUUCGCCCUCAAAUUUCUCUCUAAAAUACAAAAGAAAUCAGAAACUCCGAAUCUACGAAAAGACACUGCAACGCAUUCGGAAACUAUGUAAGAAACUCUCUCUCACUCCGUCACUAAAUCAGAAACUACAUCGUAGUGUCUAAUGGGUCUAACACAUUUGACUUUGUUUCUAAAAUCUUCUUCGCCUUUUUCGCGAACUACAUAGUAGUUUUAGGGAUUUUAGGGAUUAGAGAUUUUAGGAAUUUAGGUAUUGUGGAUUAUGGAUUUAAAAAAAUGCAUGACUUUUUGGAUUAACAACUACUUUUGGUUUGGGCAUUUUAACAAGCACAUGGAAGGCGUACCACAAUCAUUUUUGGGUUUAUGCUUGCAUGCAACGUAGUUUAUGUUUUGUGUUUUGGCCUCACUAGUCCUAAUGUUUUUCAUUUUUCAUACUCCAUUAUGAUUGGUUUAAUUCGUGUUGCUUUUAGGAUAGUGCAUUGAAGUUUCUGCCUUCAUUUUUUGAUUUGAUUGAUUGUUUAAUUGCUUCAAAUUGUGUGUCAAUAUCAAACAUUGCAUAGUAGUUCAAUUGUGGUUUCAUAUGCAUUGUUUGUUUGCACUGUUUUGUAUAUUUUAUUGGUUUUCAAUUGCUCAUUUGAUUGUCUUCCUUUAUAAUUUUGGUUUCGAAUAUCUUUUUUUACUUGUUUUGUAUUUUGGGUUUAUGCUUGCAUGCAAUGUCCUUUUUAUUUUGAGUUUUGGUGUUUGGUUUAUGCAAUGUAGUUUGUGUUUUGGGUUUUGGGGUUUAUAAGCAUGCAAUGUUUUGGGUUUUGAAUUGCUUUUGUUACUUGUUCUAGCUAGCAUGAUGCUUACUAGGUGCUACAUUAUAGUUUCUGUUCUACACAGACUGCAAUGCAGAGAAAACCAAACUGCAAUGCAGAGAACACCAAAUUGCAUUGCAAUUUGUUUUCUGCAUUCUAGUUUAUGUUUUCUGCAUUGCAUUUUAUACUUUUGCACUGUAGUUUAUGUUUACUUGUCCUAAUAGUGUUUUCAUUCUUGUUUCAAAUCACAAAUGGCACUAGAACAGUCACCACAAAAGAAGGAAGCUCAAAAUCAACCAAAGCCAAUAAAUAAAUUAAUAGCUCGAAAGACAAAAUCAAAGCCAAGUUAUGAUAGAAAAGCGAAGCACCCAGACUAAGUCCAGUUUCGGUGCAACGUCAAUGCAUUGAACAACAUCAUUAUAGACGUUAAAUACAAGCUAAAUGGCAGAAAAAAGGAACUCCUCCAGAAAUCACCUUUCUAGAAAUUGAUUGAGCUGUUUUAGAACGGAAGAGCUGACAUGAAGCACAUGAUUAAGUCGGACCUCGACUUAGAAAACUGCUCAAGCAGUUUGAUCCUACUACAAAGUCUUUCAAAUUUGGCACCAAAUCAUUCGAGAUCACAGCAGAUGCAGUGACUGAAAUUUUAGGAUUGCCAAAUGAAGGAAAAUCUGUCAAACUUGACAAUGAAAGAUACAAAUCAACCUUCAGAAUAAUGUACUUUGGAAAGGCAAAACCAUUAAAAGGACUCGUAGAAGAAGAAAUACACAAAGCAAUUGCCCUGACAAAGAAACCGCUGAACAAAAGCCUAAGACAAAAACAAAGAAGACCGCCAAGAAAAGGAAAGGAAAAAAACAAACUGGAAAAGAAGAAAAUGAGGAAGAGGAAGAGGAGGUUGUUGAUUACGACAAGAAUGUGGUCAGCCUAAUCUUGAUUCAGCUUUGUAUAACAUUGCUCUUCGCCAACUCUUCCUACACUUUGCACUGGACAAUUGUUGAGCACUGUGAGAAGUUAGACACACUAUCAAGCUACUCGUGGGCAAGAGCUGUAUCAAGCUACAUUAAUACCUCAUUGGUCACAAAACAAAAAGCAAAGAAGAAAUGAGAAGACUCUAUAGGGGCUGUUUGAGGUUUCACUCUCCUAAUAUUAGUAAGUCAAACAAAUUUUUUUGGUCGUUAUGUCUUGCUAAUAAAUUCACAAUCUACAUUGCAGUUUCUAACAUAGUAUCUAUAUCUUGUUUUUGAACUGUGCAGUUUCUGCUGUGUGAGAGGACCAAUAUAAUACAACCAAUCAUUGGCAAGGAGAAGGAAACUCCUGCAAUUGUUAAACGGAGUCUUGUUGAACUCCACACAAGAUUCAAUCAAAUCAAGGACUUAAAUGACAUAGAGGUAUGCAAUUUAUCGCAUGUUCUAUUUUAAUGUAUCUUGAAUGUGAAUCUAUUCUAAAUCAUUCUCAUUUUACAGGGUAUUUUCAAAACCUGUAAAAAAAAACAUAAACUAUCAGAGAAGAGGAAGAGGAACAAAUAUUUCUUCAUGAAGACCCUGUUGACAACAAGGUAAUUAGAAUCUGUAAACAGUGGCUUAUGCAUUGCAAUUUCUGUUUUCUGCAAUGUAGUUUCCGUUUCUUGCAAUGCAGUUUCUAUUUUUUCCAAUGUAGUUUCUAAUUAGUUUUGUUCAAUUUGCAGAAAAAAUAAAAUGAAAAUGAUGAAGACAAAGAAGAAGGAGAAGAAGUAGCAGGACAAGUACAACAUAAUAUGAUGAUGAUGAAAGUCCAGAAUUAAAAGAGAUGCGAAAAAAGAAAAGGUUUGAGAUUGCGGAAGGAAAAGAACCUGUUGGAAUUUAUGACUGCUUGGUUAAGUCUAUGACAACCCAAAUCAACCACCGCCAACGACAAGAUCCUAGCUGGGUUUGCCCAAAAAGCAUACAACUGUGGAAGGAUGAAAUUAAUCAAGAUAGUGAGAAGAAAAUGAUGGAAUUUUGGGAUAUAUCUAUCCAAGUAGAAAAGGGAUUAACCCAGCUAGCACAAGAACUUGAAGAGCAAAAAGAAGCAUUAAGAGAUGAAGAAGAUGUCAAUGUUACUUUGACAGUGGAAAGGAAAGACUUGCUCAACAAGAACAAAAAAUGAAAAAAAAGAUAGCACAGUUGGAAGGGAAAGAACCUGAACUUGAGGCACCAACUCAAAAUGCAUAACUUUCUGCAAGAAUCUUGGCAGAAUUGGAAAGCUUGAGAGCAGAACCCACUAUAUUUGAAAUUGAGCCUGACGUGCCUAAACCACAACCAGUUGAUGAUCAGAAUGUGGACCAAACCACUCAUUCAUGUCAACCUCCAUCUACAAUGCAGUUUGUGAAUAUUAUUAGUUCUCAACAGCAACAAGCACCACAAGAAGAGAAGAGAAGAAGAAACAAGAAGAAGAGAAAGAAGAAGAGAAGAAGAAGCAAGAACAAGAGAAAGAAAAAGAGCAUAAACAAGAAAAGAAGCAAGAUGCUCAAACUCUUGAUGUUCCCACAAGAAUAAAACAUGUGAAGAACAGAGAAAGAAAGAGGCAUCAAGCAUCAUGCUAUCAGUAUGAAAAAGAUAAGCAACCAAAGAAGAAGGCAAAAACGGGUGAUGAAGAAUUACAACAGUUCAAGCUUAUCUAUUCCAGGGAGCCGUCAACACAAGAGGAACCUCAAAAUCGGAUGAAGGUAUGAAUUACUGCAGUUCAAGCUUAUCUUUUCUGUUUUUUGCAAUGCAGGUUCUGUUUUCUGCAAUGCAGUUUCUAAUUAGUAUUGUUCAAUCUGCAGUCAACACAAGAGGAACCUCAGCCUGAUGCCACAUAUCCAAUUCCUCAUUCCCCACAAGGAACAAGCAUUAAUGAUAAAAUAAUUCUAGGUCAAGAAAAAUAAGAUGAUGAGGCUAAACCACCCAAAAAGAAACCAAAAAAAAAAAAAAAAAUUUAAAAACAUUAGGAUGGGGAAAGAGAAAGGUGUGGCAAAAAAUAACCAAAGAGGACCGGGAAAGAAUUGAAGUAUACUAUUGAAGUACUGAAACAAGGUAAUAUCCCUAACCCAAAAGAACAAUUAUUUCAUCUUUUAAUUACAAUUAAAGUGACACUAAUAAUGUGAAUUUCAUGUAUUCAAAUCCACAUUGAUAACUUGUAGGAAGGACACCAUGAUGAAAAAAUUUCCAACCGUGAUAUCAAAGAUAUUAUAUGGGACUUUGAACUAUCACAACGUAAGUCUAAACUACUAAUUCUAAAACACACACUGCACUACUUCUUAUUUGUGCCUACUAUAUUACACAUUAACAAUUCCAUUUUUCUCAAAUUAAUGUGAAACAGGUAUUUAAGUUUAUAUACAAAUAGAGGAGGGGAAAAUAGAUCCCAUGUAGAUAGACAUUCCAUAGUACAUGUCUACAUGGACUUGGGUAAGAAUAAUUUUCAAAAUUCAAAAUUGAUUAAACAAACACUGCACUGCAGUUUUCGAAAAAAUAAUACUAACCAAUUGCCAUUCAAUGCUUGCAGUCAUACAUGUAAAACUUCAUGGAGCCAUCUUGGCAUAGAGCCAUGUAUGAACCUUUGUUGGAAAGCUUGGAAAAUGAAAUGUGCUAUUUUUCCCAAUCAUUUCAAGCACCGAGUUCCACUACACCCUCCUGGCGUUUCACAAAUUAGAACAAAAGUGGAGACACUACAAUCCAUUAAGGUCACUAGGAGCAAGAAAAGAAGAAAGAUGUGUUGACAUUGCUCAUGAUAUUCUAAGUGGAAUGAACCUAUCCUAAUUUCACAGCACAAACACAACCUGCAAUGCAGUCAGUUAUUAUACCUACUGUCUAAUUUUAGACCAAAACUAUAAAAUGCAAUGCAUUGAUUACCCUUUUUUUCUUCUUCUUCUCUAAACAGGUUAAUGUUGUUGAAGGGUGGCUGCAAUACAUGAGACCUAGAGCACAAGCUUUCUUACAAAGUGGGACAAUACUAACACUUGCGAAGCAAAAGGACGAGCCCCCUACACCUAUACCAGAAUCCACAAAUGAAGAACGGACUCUCAAUUGGAUUCUGUAACGUCCAUGUCAGUUUACAUUUGAGGAGGACACAGACUGUGCUCAACAAAGUUCAUCUUCAUAAGAAUUGUUUCUACUUAACUAUUCAAUAGAAUUUGAAAUCAUUCCAAACCAAAAACUAAUCGCAUACUCGUUUGUAGGUUGGAUUGUGACAUGUUUGUCAUGUUCUACAUGGAUCAAAUAACACAGGGACAACCCAUUCCAAAAAACUGUUGACAAGAAUUUCAUGAACGAAUAUAGGGCAAAAUACAUCACAAAACUCCUACAUCAUAAAAACUGUCUGAUUAAUCGUAUCUUGUUAUUUGAUUUUAGUAACUCAAGACAAUAUCUAUCUUAAUUUUUCUAGAUGUUUGUAAAUAUUUUGAAAUGAAAUUAUCUUGUUAUUGGAUCUUAGAAAAGAUUUGUUAUAUAUCUCUACUGUCAUGUAAUCUUAGAACAGGAUGUAAUACUGUAGAAACUGUAUAUUCGAUUAUAAUACUUGAGAUAUUACAACCAAUAUUUAUACACAAACUAUAAGAUAUCUUCCUAGUGGUUACAAUGAAAAGGGAAACCCAUUAAAUUCUAAUAAAGGCUAAUAACAACAUAACAGCUAAAACACUAAUGUAUUGUCAUUAAAGACCCUUAACUAUAGUAACUCCCGUAACCCCUAACACUCCCCCGCAAACUUGACGCCAGAGAGGUGACAAGUUUGGAAAUAAGACGUGAAAAUAAGGAAUAUAAUAAAGAUGACAAAUGGAAACAAAAGAAAAUUCAUCACAUGAAAAGCAGAAAGGGAUGUGUAUAGAGAGAAAAUAAGGAAUAUUUGAAGGGAAUAAAGGGGUUAAGAAAGGGUGCAGCACAACAGUAGAGGAUAGGAGGUGAAACCAACUUGGGACACAGAGAAAAGAAAACGAGAGCAUGGGCAAGUUCGAAUUUCAAAGCACCAUAAAAACAAUAAGGUAUGGGGAAGAAAACCACCGUGGAACAGAGAAGUAAUUAAGAAAAGAUUAUCACAAGAGGAUAGAGGCCCAUAUAGAUUAAAAUAAAGAGGGAUGGUUGACCCAAAAAACAAUAAUAAGGAAUAAAGGAGGAAACCAAGUGAGACAGAGAAAGGAAAAUAGAGUGUGGGCAAAACACAAAGUUAAAAUCUUUUCAAAAUAAAGAUGGAAAAAUGAGAGAAAGAAAGAGAGGAGAACAUAGGUUGAGCAUAGAUAGAGCGUGAGAGGCCGAUACUAAGGCAGCAACACAGUGAUAGGGCUUGACUGGCCGAUACCAAGUCCGCAACAUAGAGGAAGAAACAGGGGUUGUGCAAAGGGAACACCCGCAGUGUAGCAUGGCAGAGAAGGCUCAGCAAGCGUUGAUGAGGCUCAUGGAGGAAAGAGAGACGGCUCGGUGAGCAAUGACAGGCAACAUCAACAAAGAAGGGGAAAGUAUGGAUACCACAAUAGAGAAACCAUCAGAAAUACAUGAGAAAGAGAAACCACAAUUACAGACUAGGAAAAGUGAAAGGAAAUGAAGUUUUUAUUUUUUAUUUUUUAUUAUUUAAUAACUAAAAAUUUAUGGAUAUGAGCACGAGUGUUUGGGCAAGAGAGAGAGGAAGCUUAAGGGAAUGAAGGGGAAGCAUGCGUGUAGAGAAGAGAGAGAUAUUGGAAAAAUGGAGGGCUCAUGACACCAAAGAGAAAGAGAUGGAGCCUUGAUAUAACCAGAGAAAAAGAAAGAGUUCAAGAAGGAGUUUUGAUAGAGAAAAAAAAAAGGAAUGAGAUCCUGGAGAGAGAGAAAGGAUAGAGCACAUGAGGGAUAGACAAUGGUUGUGUAAAGGGACUAACGACAGUGAAGCACAGCAGGACAGAGACAAAGGCCGGCUAGGAUAAGGCUUGGUGAGCGAUGACAACUGACAAGGGGGAGAAGGUGCAAUCUUCAAUAGAGAGCAUAAGAAGGAGAAAUGGCUCAAUCUUCAACAGAGAGCAUUACAUGGAGAAAUGCAUGGCUCAAUCCUCAACAGAGAGCUAGACAUGAAGAGAGUGAAAGAUAAAGGCUCAUCAAUGAGCAGAGAGCUUGACAGGGAGCAUUGAAAAAUAAAAGGAAAUGGUAGCAACAGAGAGAAAGACAAAAAAAAUUACUGAUUAUAGAAGGGAGGAGAAGAUGGAGAACUAUACAAAAGCAAACACCCUUUCGAGUGAGGAGAGCCAACGACCCUCAAAGUUGGCAAAUGAAGGAUCGCUAAUUGGCAUUAGCCAUUAGCUCUGAUACCAUGUAGAAACUAUAUAUUCGAUUAUAAUACUUGAGAUAUUACAACCAAUAUUUAUACACAAACUAUAAGACAUCUUCCUAGUGGUUACAAUGAAAUGGAAAACCCAUUAAAUUCUAAUAAAGGCUAAUAACAACAUAACAACUAAAACACUAAUGUAUUGUCAUUGAAGACCCUUAACUAUGGUAACUCCCGUGACCCCUAACAAAUACCUACUGUUAUAUUUAAAAAAAAAAAAAUUCUAAAAAAUAAACAGUUGCUGACCAAAAACUGGAACAAAUGGAAACUGCAAAAUAGUUUAUGACCAAAAAUCAAACAAAUUUGAAAAGAAACCAAAAGACAAACCAAUGAUCGAAGUACUAAACUAAGUUCAAAUGCAACUUAAACAGAAACUACACUACAAUUUUUGAUAAAGAUGUGGCAACAAUUAUCAGCAUGAAACCUUGAAAAAACACAUCUAUCAUAACAGAUGCUCAAAUCCAAAUAAAGUUCAAAAUGCAGAGAGAAUUUUAUAAAUUUCAAUACACAAUAUACAAAAAAUCUUGCACAAAUUCAAUCACAUGCUUCAUAAAAAUUCUACUGAACAGACCAGAAACUGCACGACAGUUUCUAAUAAACAACAACCAUUAAGACAAGUAAACAAAAGCUCCCAACAGCAAAGCACUCAUUAACACAAGUAAAAAAAAAAAAAAACUAAGAAACACAACCAUUUACAAAAAAUUCCAUAAUCUCCAUUAAUUUCAAAACACUUGUACCAAUAUCCAAUGAUGACAUAUAUUUACCUAUUUCUCAUUAGUAGAAACUACAAUGCAUAUAUUUGUUAAAAAUGCCCUAAACUAUCAUCUAAAAACAUAAAAUAAAAAAAAUGUUCAUAUCACGGCGUUGCAAGUCUUUUUAUUGUGGCCUUCAACACUACAUCGACUACAUUUCAACGGCCUUAUAGCUUCAGCAAAAGACUUGAUUCUCUUUGUUGGUGGUCUUCCAGCUAGCCUCUUAGUGAUUGGAGGAAGGACAACUGAACUAACUAAACUUUUGCUGCCCAAGCCCUUCCCAAUGUUCAGUAUAGGAAAAACAAGACUUUUAUAGGCUUUCCGAAAAAAUUCAAAUUUGAAGUAACACUUGACUUCUUUCGAAGUCCUACCUACGUCUACCUUAUUAUUCAAAUCUCUCUCCAUCAUAGGACAAAGAAUUGUAGUCCACUUCUCUGAUUCGAUACUACGGUUAUAAUUCAUCACCAUUAACUUCUUUCGAAGUCCAUCAAUCUACGGUUAUAAUUCAUCACCAUUAACUUCUUUCGAAGUCCAUCAAUCAAUGGUAACACCGGCAGUUGAUGCAGUUCCCCAAUCCAGUUAUUAAAGGAUUUUUCCAAGCUAUUCGCCAUCUCACCAUAGCGCUUUCCAUCAAAAUAUGCAUUGGCAUAGUGCUCCUUAGAAAGAUUAGCAAUAAAAGACUUCACCUUAGCACUACCAACUACCAUCCAUUGCAUCUUGAAACUCAAACUCCGUAACUACAAAUGCACAUCUAGCAAAAACUUUCAACACCCUUUCUUGAAGUACUUUCCCAAAACCUGACUUUGCAUAUUUUGAAAUUAAAUUCUACUUCAAAUGGAAGUAGAAAUGGGAGUGAGGCCAAGCAGGAAACACAAUAGCGAUUGACUUUAACAGACCUUGGUUAUGAUCCGAAAAAAAAUUCACCACUCGGGCCAUUGGUAAUAAAAUGCCUGACAAAUGAUUGAGAAACCACGUCCAAUUAUCCUCCGUCUCUUAAUCGACAACUACAAAUGCUAAUGGAUAAAACCCAGAAAAACAAAACAAAACAAAACAAAAAGAAUUGGUAUUAGGAUGACAAUACAAAUCAGAAACUGUAAUGCAUGUUCUGAUUUAAUUUUUUAAUUUCAAUUUUGCAUUUGCACAUAGAAUCAUGUUAAUCGCUUAUGGCUCAGGGUUUAGCUAUCCGGUUAACCCUUGAUAAUCAAAACAAAAAACACAAAACAAAACAAAAAUAAAAAAUAAAAAAAUAAAAAAUCAACAUAAACUGCAAUGCAGUUUCUAAUCAAAUUGCAAGACAACAACUAAAUCACAAAAUCAACUCAAAACAAAACCUAAUAUUAUGAAAAACACCAAAAAUACUAUGAAAAUUAAAGAUAAACAAAAACAUUCGAAGAACACAUACCUAAAUAGCAGCCAGCACCUCACUAUAGAACCACGACAAGAGAACAACGCCUAACACUGAAAAAUCAAACACAAAUAAAAAUUUAAGAUCUGAUCACAGAAAGAGCAAUGGAACAUAAAAGAAAUGGAACACCCCGAACCAAAUAUAGAAACAAAAUCAAUGAGCAAAAUCGCUCAAAUAUAAAAACAAAUUGAACAAAAAUCAAAACCUAAAGUUCAUACCUCAAAUCACACCAAAAUGCACAAAGAAUAGCAAUCACGAAACUGUUGAAAAUAAACAUGCUUUAUUAAUUAGAUUCAUGAGUUAUGUAUUUAGUUAAUGUAUAAGCAUUUGGAAAGACUCUAGAAGUUGAUUGGGUGCAUGUAUUCAAGACUAGGAAGUAGUGGGGGGCUUUAUUACCUUCAGUGGUUGUAAUUGCUAUAUAUGCCAAAGUCAUGUAAUCGGUUGGCUGCACCCAAGAAAUAUGAAAUAAAGUAUCUUCUCCCAAAUAUUGAUUAUUGUGAGUUUUAUGAGUGAGGGUCCAACACCUUCCAACAAAUUGGCAUCAGAGCCAUAAGAAGUUUAGAAGAUGGCGAACAAUUCGAUGGCUCCAUUUCAAGUUCCUCUACUGACCAAAGAUAAUUAUCACAAUUGGAGUGUUAGAAUGAAGACUUUGAUUGGCUGCUAUGAUGCUUGUGAGGUCGUAGAGAGAGGAAUUGGCGAACACGGAAAUGAAGCAAAUUUGACUAAUGCCCAGAGAGAAGCAUUGAAGGAAACAAGGAAGAAAGACAAGAAGGCACUCACCCUCAUCCAUCAAGCCUUGGAUGACAGCACAUUUGAGAAGGUUGCAAAUGCGACAACGACAAAAAAUGCAUGGGAGAUUUUGCAUAAUUUUUAUAGAGGAGUUGAUAAAGUAAAGAAGGUGCGACUCCAAACCCUUAGAGGGGAGUUUGAAAGCCUACAUCAAAAAGAAUCCGAAUCAAUUUCAGACUAUAUGUCAAAAGUUCAAGCCAAUGUCAACCAAUUGAGAAGAGAUGGAGAAGAAAUUAGUGACACCCGUGUAGUUGAGAAAAUUCUUCGUUCAUUAGAUUCAAAAUUUGAGCAUAUUGUUGUUGCUAUUGAAGAGUCCAAGGACCUGGACACUAUGACGGUUGAUCAACUUUCUGGAUCAUUGAAAACUCAUGAGGAAAGAAGGAAGAAGAAAAUUCAAGAACCAGUUGUGGAGAAAGUCUUACAAACAAAGCUCACUUAAAAUGAUGAAGAAAGCUCAAGAAGUGGAACAAGUCAUGGUCGUGGAAGAGGAAGAGAUGGCAGAGGAAUAAGAGGUGGAAGAGGAGGAAGAAGUGGCAGAGACGAUUUCAAGUCAAGUCACAAUAAAGGAAAAGAACAAAAUUCGUAUUCGUCAAGAGGACGUGGAAGAUGGAGCAAUACAAAUCAGCAACGAAAUUUUAGGUACGAAAAAUCACAAAUCCAAUGUUAUUCCUGUGGACACUAUGGGCAUAAAGCUUUUGAUUGCAGAGGUGGUGAUGGAAACGGCUGAGGGAAGUCCAAUUAUGCAGAAGCAGACAAAGAAGCCACUUUGCUGUUGGCCUACAAAUGUGAAGGAAAAACUAGACAGAAUGGAGAGUUAUGGUAUUUGGACACUGGAGCAAGCAACCAUAUGUGCGGAAAUAAAGAUUUACUUGUUGACCUUGAUGAAAAGUUAGGUGGCAAGAUCACUUUUGGAGAUGAUUCGAAGAUUUCAGUUCAAGGCAAAGGUAAAAUAUUAAUUCGUUUGAAGGAUGGCAGCCAUGAAUUUAUUUCAAAUGUUUAUUAUGUGCCUAUUAUGAAGAGUAAUAUUUUGAGUUUGGGCUAAUUGCUAGAGAAAGGAUACAAUAUGCAGUUGAUUGAUUGUAGUCUCUCAAUUAGAGAUGAAAAAAACAGGUUAAUUGCUAAUAUUCCAAUGACAAAGAAUAGGAUGUUUUUGUUGAAUAUUCAAAGUAAAGCUGCAAAGUGUAUGAAGGCUUGUUUCAAAGAUCCUUCUUGGCGCUGGCACUUGAGAUUUGGGCAUGUGAAUUUUAGUGAUUUGAUUUUGCUGUGCAAGAAAGAAAUGGUGAAGGGCUUGCCAUCAAUCAAUUCUCCAGAUCAAUUAUGUGAAGGGCGUCUACGUGGGAAGCAAUCUAGAAGAAGCUUUCCUAGAGAAACAAGUAUAAGAGCAAGAGAGCCAUUGGAGCUCAUUCAUGCAGAUGUGUGUGGCCCUAUAAAACCAAGUUCAUUUGGUAAGAAUAAUUAUUUUCUUCUUUUUAUUAAUGAUUAUAGUAGAAAAACAUGGGUGUAUUUUUUAAAAGAAAAAUCUGAGGUGUUUGGUUCAUUCAAAAAGUUGAAAGUUUAUGUUGAAAAUGUUAGUGGCUACAAGAUCAAGGUGUUCACCCGUUUUCGUGUUUAACUCCCGAUAUGGAAGGGCGAAGUUCCCCACUAGCUUGGAGACCACUUGUUGGUCAACAAGUCAGCUUUCUUUGGUGUGCGAGCGUGCCACUGCUAGCAAUGUAAAUUCUAGCAGACUCAUUUUUAGAGUGGAUAACCUGCGCCUCAAGUUACUGACUUCUAAAACAAACGAUUGUGAAUUUGGGUGAGGAAUAUCUCCCAAGUAAGUUCUUUUCUUGCCUCAGACUGGUGAGGACUUUCACAAUUUAUCUCAGUAUCAAGAUGGUUGUUCUGGCCAGAAUAGAUAAUAAUAAAGUACUGUUUCAGGCAGAACUGCCUUUUACAAAAUUAAGAAUGGAGAAAUCAACUCUAGAAAGGCAAAAAGAUGGCUGGAAUCUCAUUUCUGCCUGGGUAGAAACUUCUGAUCCGGGCUGGACUGGGUAUGUCUAUGCUGGACUGUACUGUCAACAACUUUAGCUGCUUGGCUUCAGCUGUAAAUCGAUACCAAAGUUCGAUUUUGGCGGAGCUUCAAUCUACUUCAAGCCUUGGGAGGCUCUUGAGCGGGCAGAACUGUGACUUCUUCAGUCUGAAGGGACAGAAGUGGCUAUUCUCGAGGAUUUAGCAAGCUGGAACCAUGCUGUAAAAUUUGUUGAGGUUUUCAUAGUUGUGAAAACUCAGACUAUGUUUGUCUUGGCUUUUGCUGAACCAAAUUUGUAACGAGGGAUCUCGUUCUAGGAAAUUUGUUUUCUAAGUCUGAACCUUGGAAUUCUGAUUUAAGGUUGGUUUCUCUUGGAAUUUAAGUGAGCUCUUGGCUGUUUUUCUUGCUGUUGUUUUUUUUGGUUGAUGAGUUGAGUGUCCUUUCUUUCUUGCCUGCUUCUGUUUUUAUAAGAGACCCUCCUUUUGAAGGUGGUUUUAUAUUUUAAUAAUGGGCGGCAAAAGAUUUCUCAAAACGUAAAGCAGGAAAGAUUUUUAUCAAUUAUGGCAGAUAGACUCCCAGUGGUCACUUCCUAUAGCGAUCCCUUCCCUGGUUUCCUGGCUGACGGUUUUUCUAUUUUAAUGCCACCGUCUGUGUGAGCUGAUCCUAUGGCGGUUUUGAUUUUUCUUUUGUAUUUUCUGAACAACUCCCUGUUUCCUGCUUUUGAAAACGUGAUUUGCGAAAUCUUUUUAGAAGAUGUGUGUGCUUGAGCAAAAAAGUCUCUGAUCAUAGACGCCCUUGAUUUUUUCUUUCUCGGCUGUUUUNNNNNNNNNNNNNNNNNNNNNNNNNNNNNNNNNNNNNNNNNNNNNNNNNNNNNNNNNNNNNNNNNNNNNNNNNNNNNNNNNNNNNNNNNNNNNNNNNNNNNNNNNNNNNNNNNNNNNNNNNNNNNNNNNNNNNNNNNNNNNNNNNNNNNNNNNNNNNNNNNNNNNNNNNNNNNNNNNNNNNNNNNNNNNNNNNNNNNNNNNNNNNNNNNNNNNNNNNNNNNNNNNNNNNNNNNNNNNNNNNNNNNNNNNNNNNNNNNNNNNNNNNNNNNNNNNNNNNNNNNNNNNNNNNNNNNNNNNNNNNNNNNNNNNNNNNNNNNNNNNNNNNNNNNNNNNNNNNNNNNNNNNNNNNNNNNNNNNNNNNNNNNNNNNNNNNNNNNNNNNNNNNNNNNNNNNNNNNNNNNNNNNNNNNNNNNNNNNNNNNNNNNNNNNNNNNNNNNNNNNNNNNNNNNNNNNNNNNNNNNNNNNNNNNNNNNNNNNNNNNNNNNNNNNNNNNNNNNNNNNNNNNNNNNNNNNNNNNNNNNNNNNNNNNNNNNNNNNNNNNNNNNNNNNNNNNNNNNNNNNNNNNNNNNNNNNNNNNNGAAUCAGAAAUGUCUCCCCAAAAUCCGCGCUCAGUCUUCUUCAGCUUCAAAUCCUCCUGAUUACAUCACUGGGAGCGGGGUUGAUGCCCACGCGAUAGAGGUUAGGAGCAAGCUUCACCCCUUUGCCCAGAAGAAUCUGGACGAGAAUGUUCUCCAUUUGUUUGAGAACACUCUGGUGUUAGGGCCUCACUGGUUUGGUCCUGUUCCGGCUGAGGUGGCGGAAUUGCUGAAAAAGGAUGCUGAGGCACCUUUGUGUUUUGAAAGCACUUCUGCCCUAGCUUCUUAUUCUUGGGUUAGCAAGAAUUUGAGUCGAUCUUUUCCGUCCAGCGAGGUGAGGAACAGUCCCGUCAAAUGGGCAGACUGGAUUGACAGACUUCUCCCGAGAUAUGGGGGUCACUGGAGGAGAGCUGGGCUCUAUGACGCCAUUCUUCUGUCCAAGCAGUCGAUUAACAGAGAUGAGAACCUGCUUGCUGCUGCCCUGUGUUUUUGGAAUUCUGCCAGCAACACAUUUGAUUUCCGUGUGGGUCCCAUGGCUCCAACUCUACUGGAUAUGGCUCAGAUUUUUGGGUUUAGGCCCCAUGGCAGACCUGUUGAUGCUGUUGGAGAUUAUCACAGGCGAAAGAACCAAGAGAAAGUGGCCACUCCCUUCACUAUCUCUCCAGCCACGAUCAAUCAGAACUGCUCCUUCUCCAACUUUCUGAAGAGAUUCAGCGCUGAGAAGGACAAGGAUCAGCAACAUAUGUUGUUCCUUCUGUAUUGGCUGAACCGAUUUGUCUUCCCCAAUCGGUCUUCGGCAGUUCUGCUUGAAUACAGACAUCUGGCAGAAGCACUUCACAAUCACACUGAUGUGGGGCUUGGACCAACAGUUCUGGCCCACCUUUUCAAGAAUCUGCAUACUGCCACUCUGGAAAAUCCAUUGAACCUGUCUGCUCCUGGCGCAUUCUGGAUGAUCCAGAUCUGGCUGCAGGUAUAUUUCCCCGAGUUAAGGUUUCCAGACAUAGUUCUGCCUGAAGACCAAGUUCUGGCCCUUCCCCUGAUAUCGGCAGAAGUGCCCAAGCGCUCUCUUGAGGAGUAUUUGAUGCUCUUCAGGCAUUGUACCAAGAGGUCGGCUGCUCAGUGGCAAGUGGUGAUCAGAAGGACCUAUCCUUGGUUCCAGACUGGAUCUCGGCUUUUCGAGAAAGAACCAGAAGACGAGGCUGCCAGAACAGAUUUCAGAAAGAAGUUCUUGAGCAUUACUCUGCCUAGAGAUCUGCCUCAUGGUGGGGGCAAACCUCCAAACUAUCAUCUGGGGGCAGAAGUCUAUCAUCCUAACUUCUGUGCAAGGCAGCUUGGCUGUCCUCAGCUUAUUCCGCUGAAAUCAUACCGGAGUUGCAAUCGGGCCUCUUCUUGGAGGGAUGUAGAUGAUCUGGAGGUGCACAAGGAUGCCCGGUGUGCAGUGAACAAGAUAAAUAAUAGCACGGAUGCCCUCUAUCCCUCAUGGGAGCCAAAUUCCUGCAGUUCUGCUGAUUUUGACGCCUGGUGGCAAACCAGAUUCCAAAAUCUACCAGCUUCUGUUACUGCCCUCAAAACGCUUUUUGACGGUUGGGAGAACUGGCAUCUUUUUGCGGAGGGGGAGGCCAAAGCGCAUAUGAUCCAGACCAUCAAGGACAUUAAUGCGCAAAUCAUAGAAGGUAGAUACUUGAUUCUGUCUGGGACUUGUUCUGUCUUGAUAAUCUGUUUUUAACCUAUGUUCUGCCUGUUAUUAGAUCCUUCCCUGACAAAGAACGUGGGUGGACAGUCUGUCCAGGCUGGAGAAGUGAUUGGUAAGCCUUUCCUUUUUAAUUUUCUUCUGUCUUUUCCUGUUGGAUUGGCUUCUAACCUCUAACUGCUUGGUGCAGUCUCUUCUGUUAUUGCCGCCGGGGAUCUGGAGCUUCCUUCUGCUGAUGAAGAGGAUGAUGUUGAGGCAGAACAAACCCCUGCCGAGGCUGUUCCUUCUGGUAGAAGAAAAAGAAAAGGGCUUGCUCCCCCUCUGGAUAGUACCGCGCGGCCUGGCAUUCCUGGUAAGUUUAGAGCAUUCCAACUGUUCUCUCUGGAUUUAUUCUGUUUUCUCUUUUCUAAUCUUUUCCUUCUGUUCUGUCCAGCUGGGAGUCCUUCUCCUCCUCCUACUAAGUUAAAAAAGCUUAAGAAGAGGGGUGAAGUGGAAUACUUUGCCGCAGAAGAAGCCGCAGCAAUCCCAGCCGCUACUUCUGGGACGGACGAUGAGCUGCGAGAAGCCUUUGAGGAGGUGGAGCAGGAAAAAGAGCUGCGAGAGCUGGAGGAGGUGCCCCAAGAGAAGGUGGCAGCGGUGGAAGACGAGGUGAGUUUUAGUCUGUGACUCGCACUAGUUCCUCUUUUGCUUCAUUCCUUCUGUUCUGACCCCCUUUUUGUAGGAUGAAAUUCUUGCUGAGGUGAUAGCGGAGAGCAUUGCCUUGGCGCAGAAGCAACAAAAGGGUCCGAGUGCUGAGCUGACCAGCUCAGAACUGGCUCUUUUUGAGGAUGCUGAGGCAGAACACUCUAUUGCCGCUCCAGAGGCCGAGGAUCAGGUGGAGCCAUCUGCAUCAGACCCCGUGGAUCAGGCAGAAUUAACCGUUGUGGUCCCGGAGGUUGAAGUGGAAACGACUGCAGCUGCUCCUGUGGUUGUGGUAAUUUUCCUCCUUGACUAUUCAUGUUUUCCUGCUGUUCUGUCUGUUCUAACAGUUGUAGUCUUUCCAGGUGGAAGUGCCUAAGGCUACUGGUGUUCUGGCUACGGUAUCCAGCCCCCUAAAGCCUCCCAUUGUCGCUGUAAGUUUUUAAUAACUUUUGAGCCUCCUUUAUCUUCCACUUUCUGCCUGGUAUUAACUUAUGUUCUCUUCUGCAGAUGCCUAUUCAUUCCUUCCCAGGAUCAUCUGCCACGGCUUCUUUUGCUGAUCCAGAACUUGAAGAGUUUGAGGCCAUGGAUCUGGAUGCCCAAUUGGACAGACUGGAGAAACUCAGCUCUCCUCCAGGCAAAGCAAAAUCUAGGGCGGUGGAGGAAGCCAUGGAGAGGUUGAAAAUCUGGCAGUCCACCGAGCUGGAAUUUGAUGAAGAUACAGGGGCUCUUGAUCAGCUGAUGAAGGACCUGGACCUGCUGCAUAGACAGAACAUGGCUCCGAGGCCUAUUCUUGAGAUGGGCCUAAGCCUGGCCCGAGAUGUGCUUAACCUGCAUGAUCGCUAUGAAGAUCUUAGGCCUACGUUCAAAACUUCUGAGUUCUGCAAGGCCACACAUGAAGCCAAUCUGGCUGACUUUGCUAGGCAGAAAACAGAACUGGAUCAGAUGGUGGCUGGAUAUAAGGAGGCCAAGGCUACCGCGGAUAAGCUGGAGAAGCAGAUUGAGGAACUCCAAAAACAGUUGGCAGAAUGCAGGGAGGUGCAGAGCAGGCUUGGGGCUGGACUGAGUUCUAAAACUAAGGCCACUUUUCUUGUGCAAAGUAUGGUUGCAGCCUCCAGGCCAGCUUUGGAGAUUGCAGAGGCUUCAAUUCACCAGGGGGUGCUGCUCCAGAAAGAGCUUUCUGUCAAGAAAGCGAACCUGCAAGAGACUCUUAGAAAGCUAGGAUUUUAGCUUCUUCUUUCUUUUGUUCGAAUAAUUUGCCGCAAAGGUGGCUAUUUUAUAUAAGCUUUCAAAGCAUUUUUACUGCUUUUUAUUCUUGAUGAAAUAACCGGACAUGGUUUUGAAGGUACAGUAAAAACAGAACAACUUUAAAGUAAAAACAAACCUAAACAAAACUCCAAACAGAACAACCUUAAAGUAAAAACAAAUCUAAACAAGAUUCCUUUUCAAGAAACAAAAAGGUCAAUCUUGUUCCUCUCCUAUCCCGGGAUCUGUUUGUACAGCCUGCGAAUCCCACAUGGUUGGAUAGAACUUCUUUAACCAUUUGCCAUUGAUUGGGGCGAAGUGAACAACCCCAUCUCGGUCCUGCAACCUAUAUGCCCCCAUUCCGAGGAUUUGGUUAAUUAUAAAAGGGCCUUCCCAUGUAGGUGACCACUUUCCAUAUCCAGCUAUGUGUGUUCCAAGGGGCAGAAUUGCUUUCCAGACUAUCUCUCCCUCUUCAAAACUCUUGUUUUUGACUCUUUUGUUGUAGGCUCUCGACACAGCCUGUUUUCCUGCUAAGAGUUUGUUGAGGGUGUCAAUUCUGCUUGCAUCCAAUCCUUCCAAUUCCAGCAACAUGGCUUGAGAGUAAUCCUCCCCAGUGAGAUCGUGCUGGUGAGCAAUUCUAAGGGACUGGACUGCUAUCUCCAUGGGCAGAAUUGCAUCAUGACCGUAGGUCAGAGCAUAGGGAGUCAUGCCAGUUGCUUCUCUUUUUGACGUUCUGUAUGCCCACAAAGUUUCUGACAACUUCUCAUGCCACUGCUUCGGAUUUUCUCUAGCAUUUUUCUGAUGAUAUUGAUAAUCACCUUGUUACUUGAUUCUGCCUGUCCAUUAGCUUGAGCAUAAUAGGGGGUAGAUUGAAGCAGUUUGAACUUGAAUGUUUCUGCCACAUCUAGCAUAUCCCUAGAUAUGAAAGAAGAACCCCUAUCAGUUGUGAUUGAUUCCGGAAUGCCAAAUCUCUGUAUGAUCUGUUCUUCUAUAAAGAUGAUGAUCUCUUGAGAUGUUGUGGUUUUUACUGGCUUGGCUUCUACCCACUUGGUGAAAUAAUCUGUGGCAACGAUGAUGAAACAGUGCUGCUGGUUGCUGGCUGGAUAGAUUUUGCCAAUGAGAUCCAUUGCCCAUCCCCUGAAAGGCCAUGGCUUUACUACUGGAUUCAUGGGAACCGAAGGAACCUGCUGGAUUGGGCCGUGCCUUUGACAGGCUUCACAUCCUUUGGAAUAGUCGAUGCAAUCCUUCAUCAUGGUUGGCCAGAAGUAGCCAUACCUUCUGAUUAACCAGCACAUCUUUCUUCCUCCUUGGUGAGCUCCACAGAUCCCCUCAUGGGUUUCUCCCAUGACUUUCAUGUAUUCUGUCUUUCCGAGACACCUUAACAGUAUCUCAUCCUUACUUUUCCGGACCAAAUCUUCAUUCCACAUGAGAUAGUUUGUAGCCAUGAUCCUGACUCUUUUCUUAGAGGGCAGAGUGGGGUAUCGUAAGUAAGUCAUGAUAGGCUCCCUCCAAUCAUCUUCAGUGAUCGAGGCAGAAUUGACUUCUAUCUCCAUUCCUCUAGUCAGAACUGACGGUAGACUUUUCCUUCCUAUCUUGAUGAUCCUCUGGACGCAGUCUUCGGGCAUUUGUAUGCCUGAUGCUACCUGAGCCAGUUCAUUGGCUGCGAAGUUUUCCUCCCUUGGGAUGUGUUCCCAAGUAGCUUCUCUGAAUUCUGUCAAUAGAUUUCUAGCUGCCACUAGAUAUACAGCCAGAGAGGGAUUCAGACACUUAUAUUCUCCAGCAAUCUGUUUUAGGACAAGCAUGGAAUCUCCCAAGAUUUCCACGGACUGGACUCCUAAUUCUACCAACAUCUCGAGCCCUAUAAUCAAAGCCUCAUAUUCGGCCCUGUUGUUGGUGCAUUGGAAAUCUAGCUGGAAAGAAUAGCAAUGCCUGACCCCUAAUGGUUCUUCCAGAACAAUUCCUGCUCCUGAAGCCUUGUCUGUCUUCGAUCCAUCAAAAUAUAAUUUCCAAGGUGUGAGAUGAAUCGAGUAGAUUGGAUUGUUAAGGCAAACAUGAGCUCUAGUUAACAGAUCUGCAUUUGCUAUGUCCAAAGAAUCCAUGUCUUCAAUUUCCUCUCCCGGGUGAUCUGCCAAAAAGUCUGCCACAGCUUGCCCUUUGACAGCUUUCUGGGGGACAUAUCUGAGAGUGAAUUCUGUCAAAGCCAAAGUCCAUUUCCCAAUUCUGCCCCUUAACAUUGGUCUUGUCAGCAUGUAUUUGAUUAGGUCUGUUUUGGCAAUGAUAUAAAUAGUAUGUGGCAGCAUGUAGUGCCUGAGCUUUACAGCAGUGAAAUAUAAGGCCAGGCAAAGCCUUUCUAUCGCGGAAUACCUUCUUUCCACCUCUGUCAAUGUUCUGCUUAAAUAGUAGACUGCCUGUUCUUUUCCUUCUUUGUUAUCUUGAACUAGCAGACUUCCAAUGGAUACUUCUGAUGCAGAUACAUAAAGUUUGAGGGGUCUGCCCCUUUUUGGUGGGGACAGAACUGGUGGAUUUGAGAGGUAAUGCUUUAUUUCCUGGAAAGCCUGUUGGUGCUGUUCUUCCCAUUUGAAUGUCUGUUCCUGUUUCAGUCUCAACAGGGAGGAAAAAGGUUGGAUUUUUCCUGCAGAAUUGGAUAUGAAUCUCCUUAGGAAAUUGAUUUUUCCUAAGAGACUCUGAAGUUCCUUCUUGUUCCGAGGUGGUAGAGCUUCUAUGAUGGAUUUUGCUUUAUUUUUGUCAACCUCUAUACCUCUCUGGUGGACCAAGAAUCCUAAGAAAUUCCCUGCCUGGAUUCCAAAAACGACAUUUUUUGGGGUUCAUUUUUAGCUUGUGCUGCCUCNNNNNNNNNNNNNNNNNNNNNNNNNNNNNNNNNNNNNNNNNNNNNNNNNNNNNNNNNNNNNNNNNNNNNNNNNNNNNNNNNNNNNNNNNNNNNNNNNNNNUUAAUCACCACGUCAUCUAUGUAUACUUCCAAAGAAUGUCCUAUCAUAUCAUGAAAAAUAGAAUUCAUUGCCCUUUGGUAGGUAGCUCCCGCAUUUCUCAAACCGAAAGGCAUUACAGUAUACUCGAAAGCACCUAUAUGUCCAGGACACAUAAAGGCUGUCUUGUGGAUGUCCUGUUCUGCCAUCAUAAUCUGGUUAUAACCUGCAUUGCCGUCCAUGAAAGAUAGCAUCUGGUUAUGAGCGGCUCCAUCCACUAGCAUGUCUGCCAUUGGCAUAGGGUAUUCAUCUUUAGGAGAUGCCUCAUUCAGAUUCCUGUAAUCUACGCAGAUUCUAACUGCCCCUGUUUUUCUUUUGAGAACAGGUACAAUAUUUGCUAACCAAUCGGCAUAGACGGCUGGCCUGAUGAAUCCUGCCUUGAGCAACCUUUCUAUCUCUUCUUUGACCUUCAGUUCUGUGUCCAUAGACAUUCUUCUUCUGGCCUGUUUGACUGGAAGGUAGCCAUCUUUAAUUGGCAGCUUGUGCUCCACUAACUGCCUGUCCAAUCCCGGCAUCUCGUGGUAAUGCCAGGCAAAACAAUCUCUGAAUUCCUGCAAAAGUGCCGUGAUUUCAACCUUGAGUGGUUCUUUUAACAGCGCGCUGAUGAAAGUAGGCCUUGGAUCUUCUUCUGUCCCCAAGUCUAUCUCCUGUAGAGGAUCCUCUACUUCUGGCAGGGAGUCAUCUAGUGCUGCCGGUGCAAAUUCCAACACUUCCUCCUGUAAAACUUCCUCCUCUUGUUCUUUUGUGCUUUCAUGGGUGAAUUCUGCCAUAUUGAUGGCUGGAUUCUGUAUGAAAAGCCUCCUUUCUCCCCAGUAUAUCAACAAUCUUUUUGUGAUGGAUCGGAUUGUUGCAGCUCGAUCCUUGUCCAGUUGACUGGGACUAAACAUCAGAAUUCUGGAAGUUCAGCACAAGAAAGUCUAUUCCAGUCCUCUAGAGAACUGGCUAGACCUUCUUCAAUGAGUCUUUGGGCCGUGACGCCAUGGGGGCGGCCGUUCUGAUUGACUCCAAGGAAAGUGUAGGGACCGAGGUCAUCAUGAUAAUACCUUGCUUCAAAGCACAUGGCAGAGGGUAGGAAUGGCCGUGGAUCGGCCUCUAUAAUCUCCAUGCAGCCUUCUUCAUCCCAUAUUGCUAACUGCUGGUGGAGGGUGGAAGGGAUACAAAGGCUCUGGUGAAUCCAAUCCCUGCCGAAUAGUGCAUUGUAGGUGGUGGAGGUAGUGUCUAUAACAAAGAAUGCUAUUUUCAACUCUUUGCUUCCGACUACGACAUCUACAUCUAAGAUGCCGUGUAUUUUGGUGAUGCCCCCAGCGAAGUUGGUGACGGUUAAUCGUGUUGGAAUUAGAUCCCUCUCUGUUCUGCCCAACUUGGUCAGCAUUCUGUGGGGCAAUAGAUUAAUGGCUGCACCUCCAUCUACCAUGAUCUUGGAGAUAGGAAUACCUCCAAGAUUUGCCGUUAUAAACAGCGGUCUGAGGUGAUUUGCCAUUUCUCUGGUUGGCUUGGCGAAGCAAGGCUGCCCUGUAGCUGGUUUAUUGGCUGUUCUGCCUGUCCUAGGGUCGUCUGCUUGCGGUUCUGGCGGCUCCUCUGCUUCUGCCAACCUACAUUCAAAGCUCUCCUGGGAAAAAACGUCCCCUUCCAGAGUGCUUUCUUGUCCUUCGGUAGCCCUGAAUUCACCUGGUAGGAUGAAUACCAUGUUGAUUCCCAGAUCACCCUGUAGGAGGUUUUCUAAUUCUGCGCCAAAAGCUUCUGUUUCUGGGUCCAAUUCUUCACCAAAUUCCAUUAAUUCUUCCCCAUAUUCUUCCGUCCAGUCAUCCUGUUCUGUUAGUUCGAGAGGCUCUUUCUGAUCAUCCGCAGAAGGUUCAUAGUCUAAUUGCUCUUCUUCAUAUUCCUCAGCGUAGUCGUCUUCUUUUUGUAAUGGGGCAGACCCGGAUUUCUCUGGUGUCUGCGUGGUGUCAGGAUGGCUGCCGGACGACGAGGCUAUAUGGAUAGGAGACCUGGCUGGUGGCUCUGUUUUCAGCAAUUCCCUUGACUGGCAAGCUUCCUGUUCUGUCUGGGGAAGUGUUUCAGGAUUCUUUCCUUUCCCGGCAGAACUGGGUUGUGAACGUACCUGCGUAUUAUCUUGGCUUUUAAGAUAUGUGCAGUAUUGCCUCUGGAUUCUUCUUUUCUGGGUUCUGGUCAGCUCCAGAGUCGGUCUACCGCUUCUUCCUACGGAAUACCACCUCCCUUCUAUGAUCGUUGCCAAGGGUCUUUCGUUUCCGGGCGUCUUGACUGGUAUUUCCUUCCUGGGUUGCUCCAUCCUCCUCUCGCCGUAGUGUGCAGGCCUAAGACAGCUUUUCUGCCUUGUCUUGUCUCGGGAUAUAGUUCCAAUUCUGUCAAAGACACUAGGUGUGGGCUGAUUUUUCUUGUCUAGGACCACCUCUAGCUCUGUUUCACACUUGCACCUACUGCAGAGCACUACCCCAGCCGAGAUGGUCGCUCUUGGUAUCUGACUGGUCUCCCUUAUGAUUCUUCUGCCUCUGCUGCAACCAGCAUCUGUGAUAGGGUCGGUUUUCCUCUGUUCUGGCCAAUUUAAGUUGACCAUAUUGACUUGCGGUUGAGGAAAAGGAUCCGUUGUGACGGAUGGUGGUUUUUCUGCCAGCUUCAACCUUCCUGCCGUUAUUCCUUCUUGUACUACGUCCCUGAAAACGACACAGCUAUUGGUAGAAUGGUUCCAAGAGUUGUGCCACCUGCAGUACUGUCUGCCUUUGAGUUCUUCCGGCUUGGGUAUUCUGUGAGGCGUCUCUAUUGCCUUCUGCAGUAGCAUUUCGUCGAACAAGGCAUCGACCUUGGUUAAGUCAAAAGAGUAAACCUUGUUCUGUGUUGGUUUGUUUGGAACGAAUCCUCCUGUGAAUGGUGGCGGUUUUUGGUCUUUGGGUGGCUUUGUGAGGGCUUUGCAACUGAUGGGAUGUUUCAGUUUUGCCAUUUCUGCCACUGAAACCUCUUUCUCCUCUGAUUCCUCUGUAUCUUCUUGUGACUCCACCUCGAUCAGGUGGAUUGAAGAAGAAGGGGUUUUGUAGUAUGUACCUUUGGAGGAGUUCCUCCUUUGCUGCUCUUCCCUGAGUAGCUCUUCAUACUUGGAUGCCUUAUCAGCCAGUUCUGCCAGAUCUCCGAACACUAUCCCGUCGAACCUUUUCCUGAGAGAAAUUUUAAGGGCGGCUUGGGCCAUCUGGAUGAAGUGUCUUUCUUCCAUUGGGAUUCGGCACUUCAUCUUGAGCUUUCUGAAUCUGGUUAUGAAAUCUUGCGCCGGUUCAUCUUCACUUUGCUUGAGGGCAGCUAGAUCACUGAUGGUGACUUCUGGCUGAAUCCUGUAAUAGUAGUCAUGGAAGACAUUUUCCAUCUGUUCCCAGGUUUGAACAGAGUUAGCUGGCAGGCUGGUGUACCAGGUAAAAGCUUGCCCAGAGAGAGAGUUGCCAAAAAGCCUUAAUUUCAGUAGAGGGUUGUUUUCUAUAGCUAUGCAUUGGACGGAGAACCUGCCUAUGUGUUCGACUGAGGAAGCAUGGGGAUCUUCCCCGUUAAACAAAGUGAAGUUUGGCACUUUGAAACCUGGAGACAACGGUAUUUGAUCGAUGUAGGCUGGGUAUGGCUUUCUGUAAGUAGGCCUUUCCCCUCUUCUAGCCUCGGGUUCCAUGAUCUCUCUGAUCAUUCUUCGCAAUGCCCCUACGUCAUUUAAAGCAUUGACUGGGGGAGCAAUUUGUCCCUGUUCUGGCUGAACGUAAUCAAACCUGGGCUCUGUCCUGAGUGGUCUGGGUGGAACUUCCUCCCUGUGUUCUUCCUGCUCUUCGACUUCUGGAUGAUUCCUCCAGUUUGCCCCCGGUCUAUUCCUGUCAUGAUUAGCAAAAAGGUUGUUUCCCCCUCGGCCUCUCCUCCCUCUUGCAGGUGGAGGGAAUGGAUUAGGGUCCAUCCUUCUGGGUCUAUAUGGCAAUACUGCCGGUGCUUCAGGCAGAAGCGCCAAAGGUUGAUCAUGCGGGGCUGCAUGAUGUGAAUUGAGCUGAGGUCCUGGCUGGUUCUGAGCCAGCGCCAGGUUAUCUGGUUGGGUCGGGGCCUGAUGUUCUUGAUUAGGAAGGGCCCUCUCCCUCGGACCAGCCUGAAUUUCUGUGUGGCUUGGCACUCCAGCUAUCUGUGCCACUAGAGGAUUUUCCUGGUAUGGCCAUAUUAGUCCUGGCGGAGGGCCAUAAGGAAGAUCCAACUGCUGGAUUACAGGAUCUGGGUUCGGAUUUCUGGCCAUGGCGGAUUCUCGGUCCUUCCGGAACUGUCUGUUUACCUGCCAUUGCAUCAUGGCUGUCAUGUUAUCGAGAGUGUCCUGGUUCCUUUGUACUGUGACCUCUUGUCGGAGUACCGACUCCUGUAUUUGACUCACCCUUUUGGAGCCAGUCCUGGAACGUCUGCUUCCUGUACUGCCGUGGGCAGACUGCCUAGCGUCGCUUUCUUCUGAUUCGAGGCCUUCUCUGAGAACCAUCUUGUUUUUCUCCAUGUCUGGUGUGGGUUCUGACUAGAUCUUCCGGCUUUUGUAAAUCUGUGAAUGAUUCUGUCCGAGUUUGUAUACUGAGAAGUCCCACUGGGCGUGCCAAAUUGUUCACCCGUUUUCGUGUUUAACUCCCGAUAUGGAAGGGCGAAGUUCCCCACUAGCUUGGAGACCACUUGUUGGUCAACAAGUCAGCUUUCUUUGGUGUGCGAGCGUGCCACUGCUAGCAAUGUAAAUUCUAGCAGACUCAUUUUUAGAGUGGAUAACCUGCGCCUCAAGUUACUGACUUCUAAAACAAACGAUUGUGAAUUUGGGUGAGGAAUAUCUCCCAAGUAAGUUCUUUUCUUGCCUCAGACUGGUGAGGACUUUCACAAUUUAUCUCAGUAUCAAGAUGGUUGUUCUGGCCAGAAUAGAUAAUAAUAAAGUACUGUUUCAGGCAGAACUGCCUUUUACAAAAUUAAGAAUGGAGAAAUCAACUCUAGAAAGGCAAAAAGAUGGCUGGAAUCUCAUUUCUGCCUGGGUAGAAACUUCUGAUCCGGGCUGGACUGGGUAUGUCUAUGCUGGACUGUACUGUCAACAACUUUAGCUGCUUGGCUUCAGUUGUAAAUCGAUACCAAAGUUCAAUUUUGGCAGAGCUUUAAUCUACUUCAAGCCUUGGGAGACUUUUCGAGCGGGCAGAACUGCGACUUCUUCAGUUUGAAAGGACAGAAGUGGCUAUUCUCGAGGAUUUAACAAGCUGGAACUAUGCUAUAAAAUUUGUUGAGGUUUUCAUAUUUGUGAAAACUCAAGCUGUGUUUGUUUUGGCUUUUGCUGAACCAAAUUUGUAACGAGAGGGAUCUCGCUUUCAGAGGACUUAUUUUCUAAGUCUGAACUUUGGAAUUCUGAUCUAGAGCUGUUUUCCUGUUUGUAUUUUUUGAUUGAUUGAUGAAAAGAAUGUCCCUUUUCUUUCUUGCCUGUUUCUGUUUUUAUAAGAGACCCUCCUUUUGAAGGUGGUUUUAAAUUUUAAUAAUGGGCGGCAAAAGAUUUCUCAAAAAACGUAAAGCAGGAAAGAUUUUUAUCAAUUAUGGCAGAUAGACUCCCAGUGGUCAUUUCCUAUAGCGAUCCCUUCCCUGGUUUCCUGGCUGACGGUUUUUUUUUAUUUUAAUGCCACCGUCUGUGUGAGCUGAUCCUAUGGCGGUUUUGAUUUUUCUUUUGUAUUUUCUGAACAACUCCCUGUCUCUUGCUCUUGAAAACGUGAUUUGCGAAAUCUUUUUAGAAGACGGUGUGUUGCUUUGGAGCAAAAAGUCUCUGAUCAUAGACGCCCCUUUGAUUUUUCUUUCUCGGCAGUGUUUUCAGAAACGUCCCUUCUCACAUAAAAACUCUAGUUGGAUUUGCUGACUUUCCAGAGAGGUGAGGUAGCCACGUGAAUGUGUCUUUAGUCUCUUGGGCUUGAGUUUAAACAAUAUUUUGUGGGCUGAUUUUCAAAGGCCCAAUAUGACAGCUUUGGGUCUUUUUGGGACUGGAUAAGUAUUUCACCACGGGCCUGUUUCUGGAUCUCUUUGGUGUGUCGAAUUUAGGCCCAAACACAAGGCUUUGAGAUUUGAUAGAGGAGGUGAAUUUACAUCAAAAGAAUUCCAAAAAUUUUGUGAAUACCAUGGGAUUCGUUGUCACUUGACAGUCUCUUACUCCUCGCAGCAAAAUGGAGUGGUGGAGAGAAAAAAUAGAUCAAUUCUCAGUAUGGCUCGAAGCAUGAUGAAGAGCAAAAAUAUGCCAAAAGAAUUUUGGGCUGAAGCUAUUAAGUGUGUUGUUUAUUUGUCCAAUCGGUGUCCAACUAGAAGCCUUUGGAACAAAACACCCAAGAAGCAUGGAGUGGAAGAAAGCCCGGCGUGUUUCAUUUAAGAGUUUUUGGGAGCAUUGCCUACACACAUGUGCCAGAUAAGAAUCGUUCCAAGCUUGAUGACAAAAGUGAGAAAUUCAUUUUUGUUGGCUAUGAUGCUUCCUCCAAAGGGUAUGUUAGUAUGAAAUUUGUAUUUUCAUUUCCUAUACUUUAGCAUAGAUGAAAAAUUAGUGUGUGAAGAAUUGUUACUGGACGUUUUGGCACAACUCAUUCAACCUCAUACUUCCGAGGCAUGACUUAACCGAUAUGAGAAACUGAUUUCAAGUAAAUCAUGACAUAAUUAUUCAUUCAUUAUAGGAUUCCUAGUUGGAGUUAUUUUUACUCAAGCACUUUUAUAUUAGCCCUAUUUUUAAUAGGAUUAGAUUUUAUCUCUUAAGAUUGCUUUCCUAAUUGGACUCUAUUUUGAUUCAAGUUAAAAUCUUAUCUUCGUUUGGUCUAAUUAAUUUGUUUUAGGAGAUAUUGUUUCUCCCUAAAAAGAGUGGCUAUUUGGCAUCAAUCACUUAGAGUCCAUAUUGGAUCAAAUAUGAUAUUCAUGAUUGAAUAGAAUUUGUGGUCUCCUGUUUGGCGUGAUUACUUAGAACCAUAUAGGAAGUUUGGCAUUUGUCAUUCAAAAUGCAUCUAAAUCUUAUAUUGAUGAUAGGAAGUUUGCAUGGACUGACGAAUUGAGGUAGGAUUCUAUGUGAAUCAAAUAUGAUUAAUGGCAAGAGAUUGAACACGUGGCUUUGUGCUCUUCUCUUGCAAAAAGGAGAUUGUGGUUUGUAUAAGGAUACGACGUGCUUUUUUGUUUUGGUGAGCUUUCCCAUAUUUAGUUUGAGCAUCUAAAAUUUUUAAGAAAGCUAUUGUGCAUAUAUUUGAGAUAAAUCAUCAAGUAUUCGACGUUUAUUUGGUGAUUUAUCAAACACUUUAAUCAUUUAUAUUGCAUUCAUAUGCAUGUCGAUGACUCAUACGGUUGAGGGCACCAAGAUCGUAGUGGCAGUUUUCCUCCGGCGAGCUUAAAGCAAUCGUGGCUGCGUUCAACAUAAGGAGUGUCAAAGAUCAUCCUGUGACAGAAGUUGAGUUACAAAGAAGUCGGUAAACAUUAUCUAGAACGUGUCUAGGAUAAGUGUGUGAAUACUUCUUGUAAUCAUCGAUCUAUAGUGGAUUUGUGUUGGACUGAGGAGUCCCGUGGAUUUUCCCCAGAGGUGGGGUUUUACCACGUAAAAUAAUUCUCUGCGUGUUCUUUUAUUUUAUGCUCAACACGUUUUAGGAUUGAUAAGCCAUAUCAAUCCUGCUACCGAAGUUUAUUUUUAUUUAUUCGAUUAUAAUCUUAAAUUGGCCUAUUCACCAUCCUCCAGGCAUUUUUAGUCAUCCUACAGGUAUUUUCAGGGUACAAGCUUUAUAAUCCAGAAAAGGAGAAAAUUAGCAGGGAUGUUCAUUUUGAUGAAGAAGGCAUAUGGAAUUGGGAGGCUCUAGAGAAAGAUUAUAACUUUUUUCCUCUCUUGGAAGAAGAAGACAAUGUUGAGCAAACAUUUGAAGAGCAUCAACAAACUCCACCUCCAUCACCACCAUCAGUUCAUAGAGAUUUCUCAUCCCCAUCAUCCUCAUCAAGUGAAAGCUCAAAUGAAAAAACGCCACACUUUAGAGACCUAAGUGAAAUUUAUGAUGUCACAAGUAAUCAAAAUGAUUUGACCUUGUUUUGCUUAUUUGCUGAUUGUGAACCAAUAGGCUUUGAAGAUGCAGUGCAUGACUCGAGAUGGAGAAAAGCAAUGGAUGAAGAGAUAGGUGCAAUUAAGAAGAACAACACAUGGGAGCUUGCUGUCUUGCCUAAAAGCCAAAAAAUAAUUUGAGUGAAAUGGGUUUAUAAGGCUAAGAAGAAUGCUAAAGGAGAAGUUGAAAGGUAUAAGGCAAGAUCGUUUGCCAAGGGAUACAACCAAAGGGCUAGAAUUGACUAUAGAGAGGUGUUUGCGCUAGUUGCGAGAUUGGAGACCGUAAGAUUGAUGAUUUCUUUGCCAGCCCAAAACAGAUGGAAGCUUUAUCAAUUGGACGUGAAGUAUGUGUUCUUGAAGAAGAGGUCUACAUUGAUCAACCUAUGGGGUAUGUUGUGAAAGGUCAUGAGGAUAAAGUUCUGAGACUCAAGAAAGCUUUGUAUGGGCUUAAACAGGUACUGAGGGCGUGGAAUAAUAGAAUUGGCAAGUAUUUUCAAGAAAAUGGUUUCAAGAAAUGCCCCUAUGAGCAUGCUCUCUAUCUAAAGGUGAAUGAAUAUGGUGAUAUGUUAAUGGUUUGCUUGUAUGUCGACGAUUUGAUUUUUACAAGUAAUAAUCCAUAAAUGUUUGAGGAGUUCAAGAUUGCAAUGACAAGAGAAUUUGAGAUGACUGACAUUGGGCUCAUGGCAUAUUAUCUUGGCAUUGAGGUGAAGCAAAUGGAAGAAGGAAUUUUUAUCUCACAAGAAAGCUACGCAAGAGAAGUCCUUAAGAAGUUCAAGAUGGGUGAUUGAAUCCAGUGAGUAGUCCAAUUGAAUGUGGAGUGAAGUUGUCCAAAUUUGAAGAUGGAGCUAAAAAGGAGAAUCCAACUAUUUUCAAGAGUUUGGUAGGAAGUUUGAGAUAUUUAACUUGCACAAGGCCAGAUAUACUUUUUGGAGUUGGCCUAGUUAGUCAUUACAUGGAGGAGCCAACAAUCACUCAUAUGAAGUCAGCUAGAAGGAUUCUCCGGUACAUCAAAGGUACACUUAAUUUUGGUUUGUUUUAUCCAGCAUCUAAUGAAUUGAAGCUUGUGGGUUAUAGUGAUUGUGAUUGGACUGGAGAUAAAGAUGACAGAAAGAGCACUACAAGAUUUGUUUUUUACUUGGGAGAUGCUGCUUUCACAUGGUCCUCAAAGAAGCAACCCAUUGUGACUCUUUCAACUUGUGAAGCUGAAUAUGUUGCUGCAACAUCUUGUGUUUGUCAUGCCAUAUGGCUUAGAAACUUGUUGAGUGAAUUGAAUCUACCACAAAAGAAAGCUACUGAAAUUUAUGUUGAUAACAAGUCUGCAUUGGCCUUAGCCAAAAGUCCAGUUUUUCAUGACAGAAGCAAGCAUAUAGAUACAAGAUAUUACUACAUAAGAGAGCGCUUAAGCAAGAAGGAGAUAGAGCUGAAGCAUGUGAAGUCUGAAGACCAAAUUGCAGAUAUUUUCACCAAGCCUUUGAAGUUGGAGACAUUCAGAAGAUUGCGAGGAUCACUUGGAGUUUGUUUCAAACCAGAAAAUCAUGUUUAAGGGGGAAUGUUGAAAAUAAACAUGCUUUAUUAAUUAGAUUCAUGUGUUAUGUAUUUUAGUUAAUGUAUAAGCAUUUGGAAAGACUCUAGAAAGCAUGUAUUCACGACUAGGAUGUAGUGGGGCUUUAUUACCUUCAGUGGUUGUAAUUGCUAUAUAUGCCAAAGUCAUGCAAUCGGUUGGCUGCACCCAAGAAAUAUGAAAUAAAGUAUCUUCUCCCAAAUAUUGAUUAUUGUGAGUUUUAUGAGUGAGGGUCUAUCUCCUUCCAACAAGCAUGAAGGAUCUAACUUGCCAUAACAAAAAUCAAACAAUGAAGAACAAGACUAGAGCGAAAUCGCAGAGAAUGCUCGAACAUAAACAAACACGAGCGACCAAUUGAGACGUUGAAAAAAGACAAAUACAAGCUAAAUAGUAAAAAGGGCAAAACGUCAUUCUAAGAAUAAAUUAAACAAGCCCUAAUGCUUUAGUUUAGGCCCAUUGACCUUUAACAAAACAAAUUUUAAAAAUCAUUGACCAAGCCCAAAACAGAACUACUUCAUUGACUAUAUCCUUAUUAUUUUCCAUUUUAUUGAUUGUUAUCAAAUUAGUCUUAUAACUCUUUCCAUCAUAUCAAAAGUUUAGGUCAAAGGGAGUUCAAAUUCCAUGUUGUCUAUUAAUUAUGAAACUGAAUCAACUUUGAAAAAAUCCAAUAAUAUGCAUACGAGUCCAAAUGUGAAGAUCUUUAUAUGUACAGAAAGCUUGGGAUGUUUAGUUUCUUAAUAUCAAAUUUAGAAGGAGAAAAGAUUGUUACCUUCUCGAACCCUCCUCUCUAAACUUCAGUCGUCAAUUUGCCUCCAUAAUUUCUUUUUCCCUUUUCUGAACUCUCUCUCCUAUUUUUGGACCUUUUUUCCUUUGUAGCUAGCUGAGCUAAACCCUAGCGGGCCUCUUAAAACGUAUCGGAGGAUUAGCCCGCUCACACUAACCUGCUUGGGCUUUCGUAAAUUAAAGUAUAUUGGACCUAAAACUUAGAAUAAGCUUAGAUAAAUCAUUAUGCUCGACCCUAUUCACAAACAUACCAUAAUAUAACGGAAAUUAUAAGCAAAAAUCUUAAUUAAACAUUUCGGGGCUUACAAGUGUGCUAGAAACCAUGGGCAUCAUAGUGUUCAAAACACGACGAACAAAAUGACAUGCGGGAAAAUGCACCAACUAUAAACGCAAAGACUCGGAAUCCACACACAGUGAUUUGUCUUAUUCAACACACAAAUACACAUUAUAGGUAGGAUAAUAGUAUGGUACAAGCUAGCCCGUGUCUGCAUACGUGCAAUACUAGUGCCCAUGGAAUGCACAUCAAUUACUUUUGUGCCAUUAAUGUAAGUCGAUAGAUGUCUUCAGUUACAGCCUUUGAAUCUUUGAAAAUCCCUGGCAGUCCCUUCCCUGUUAAUCCAACACAAUAGACACCUUUCUCGCCCUUCCAAUGGUUUGGGUACUUCCCUUUAGGCUUUCCAUCAUCUGUAAGAAGGAACUUGUAGUCCUGCAUCCACAGUUAAAUACCAAAUUCGUUAACAAUUACAGAAUAUAUAAAAUCUUUGCUCUCGGUUUAAUAUUCAAUAAUAAAUAUAAAAUUACCUUCAACCAUUUAUGUGCUACGCUUCUGUAACCAGUUGCCAACACAAUAGCAUCAAAACACCGUCGUUUACCAUCUUUGAAUUCCACAGUGUUCUGGUUUAUACUCACCACAUCUGGAAAAACCUGUCAAAACAAAUAUUAGGAAGAAAUUCUGUUAAGUAUAUAUCCUUUAAUUAAAGAUAUAAUAUAUGUACAAUAUUUACCUGAAUCUUUUUGGAGCGAAUUUUCUUGAUGGUUCCACGAUCAAUUACUGGAGUCUUUCCGGUAAGGGCUUUAAAGAGAAAUGGCCCUUCAACUGGGCGAUGAAUGCCAUAGCUGGACAAAUCACUGUAGCUCAACUUGGCAAGCAGUGACACAAACUUGUCCACUAUUUUCAGUGGGAGGUAAUUCGACAGAAGCAUGCCAAUGCCAACCAUUUCUUUGCUCAGCACAUGAAUCUGUUCAAUAAUAAAAUCGACAUGCGUGCAAAUGUUAUUUAAAAAUAAAUAACUUAUAUAUGUAAUACUUUUGAGAAUUACAUUUAUAAGGGCCUUAAUUAACUAGUUUUUAUUAUUUUAUUUUUUCCUUUUGUACAAAUGUUAUUCAGAACAAUAACCAAUUAUUAUAUGAGGAACUUUAACCGAACAUAGUCUAGUCCAAUGGAAAAGAGCCCUGAUUUGCAGAUCAGUGGUCACAAGUUUGAACUCCCAUAAUACCUUAGUAAUGUAUGUGUGUGUGAGAAACCUCCAUCUCUUUAUAGUUUAGACUAUCGCUUGCAUUAAAAAAAAUUAAGAAACCUUAAAAAUGAUAAAAUAAAUUUGCUUGGACUAAUCCUAACAAAUUUAUAUGCUAGAGAAGGAACCGGACAUACCACCCUUCCUUUUGGUUUUAAUUUUGGUAAAUCAAGGAGAUAAGUGCUAGUGGAAAGAAAACGAGACAUACAAUUUUUUUAUGGAAAAUAAAAGUGAAUAAUUAAUAUGGAAUAAAGAUCAAAAACAAAAAUAUUUCUUAUCUUCUCAAAAAAAAAAAAAAAUAAUAAUAAUAAUAAUUAAAGAAUAAAUAUUAUCAAACAUAUUGUUUAUCAUUCUUUCUUCCGGCCUCUCUGGACCUUUUUAGUUAUUUCACCACAGAUUCUCUCCAGAUCUUUAAUUAUUUAAAAGAAAAAAACCACAAAAAGUUAACCUAAUAAAGAAAUUUAACAUCAAAGAGGUGAAACGCUUAAACUUGACAGUUGUCGUGCCAAGUACCUCAUGCAAGCAUUCAAAACGAGAGAGAGAGAGAGAGAGAGAGAGAGAGAGAGAGAGAGAGAGAGAAAGACGUUUCAGCUUAUAUACCAGAUAGAAAAGAAGAAGAAGACAAACACAUGCAAGAUAGACAAACACAUGAAAUAUUAGUUUACCUCAACGCCCGCUGCAUGCAAGAUAGAAAAGAAGAAGACAAACACAUGAUAUGCACCCUAUAGCUUAAUUAGCCAACUUAUUUUCUAUAUGUGCGGAAAGAAGUGAGAAAUUAAUUGCUACACUGAAAUGGUAAGUAGAUAGAAGAGAGGUGAUGUGUACUCUUACUUGGCUUCUAACAACAAUGGGACGUGUGUGCUCCAUUAUCUGCAAGAUCGUUGCUGAUUUCCAUCCCAGAAUUGCCACAGCCAAUUACCAAAACCUUUUCAUCUUUAAAAACGGCCCCGUUUUUAUAGUCACUGGAAUGAACCACCUUUCCUGUGAAGGUCUCCAUCCCAGGCAAGUCGCUGGGGAGAAAAGGCUGGCUAUUUUCUCCAGUUGCAACCACCAAGAAAUCCGAUGCGAUCUCAUACACCGUCCCGGAAGCGGUGUCUUUCACUGUCACCCUCCACUUGCCUUCCUCUUCAUCGUAAACAGCCUCCUCCACGUCAUUGCAGUAGCGAGGGUUCACGUUGAACCUGGCCACGUACUCGUCCAGGUAACGAAUGAAGUCGUCUUUCGACAUGAAAAUGGAGGUUCGGAAGGGAUGGGACAUCAUCGGCAAACUGCAGAAGCUCUUUGCCAAGUGAAGAUUCAGACGGUCGUAGGACCGCUUCUUCCAGAGGGACCCACAACAGUCUUCCUUCUCAAGCACAAGAUUUGAAACUGACAGAGAAUUGAGCAAGGCGGAGGUAGCAAUGCCAGAAGGACCAGCUCCUACUAUCACCACCGACACACUAAUAUUAUUAUUACUAUUACUAUUAUUGUUAUUAUUCUCAUCCUCCAUGAUCAGAAUCACCUCCUCCGCCAUUUGAUUAUCUCUUAGUUCUCCUCCUCACUACACUGAGACUCACUCAAUUGAAUAUGAACCAGCUGAGCUGAUAUAUUUAUACAGAAUAUAAAUAUAAAUAAUUAAUUGAGAGCAGUAGACUGGUUUCUGGAGAUGAACGCAUGUACCUGAUGAGAGCAAGUUAAAUUAUUAAUAUAUUAACAAAACCCACCGUUACUUGUUCUGCAACCAUCCGACUGUUGAUGUCAGGUGUGGUUUUUAACGCUUGCCAUGACGAAAUCUUCAUUGGCGCUUUCACUGUAAAACGAGGGUUUGCUGACAACUCAGUCUGGAUAUUAAUUUACAAGGGUUAAUUCACUGCAUACGCCCACCCAUACAUGCAUCUUGACAGAUAAUCCUUCCUUCCAUGGAGAUGUGGAGUUUCUUUCUGGAUUUCUUUCCUCAUUUCUGUUUUCAUUCAAACUAUAUGAACACUUCUGGAGACAUCGAAUUAUGAUGCUUCGCUCAAUCGACAUCUUAAUUUCAAUCUUCUCCUCGAUCGACAUCUUAAUUUCAAGUUUCUUGUAUUAAUUUUGUACUAGCUUGCUCUAAAUGUACUUGCGAACAACCAUAUUUUGAACUAGCUAGCAAACUCUAAAGCUUUUCCCUUUGUUAAAGUUUUUUCCUAAUAUUUAAAUAUUACAUUUUACAUUUAAGUUAAUUAUUUUUAACCAUAUUAGAUAUUAAAGAUUUUUCCCUAAGUUCUUAAAAGUCAUUUUAUAAAUGGGUAAAUUUAUCUUUAAAAUUUUGAAGAUAAAGUGGAUAGGGAAAUAGAACAGGGUAGCAGCACUCCUUUUUAAUUAGGUAUGAAUCAUUAGGUAAAUCAUUCUAGCUACAUAAAAUCAUCUAGGUAUAUAGAAAAAUAGGUAUAUUAAGCAUGUGGUAAUUAAACAAAAGGUAGGUUAACCAUUCGGUAAAAUGAGGAGGGCUUUUAUUUUGUUUUAUUUUUUUUCAGUCAAGAAACAAACAUUACAAAGAAGAUCAUCGAGAGAUCUUAACACCAUAUAUAAAUUACAAUAACAUAUGUAACAGGCUUUGUCCUUUAAAUAAAUUAUGUUUUGGCUUUGAUUAUAAAAAAUAAAACAAUCAUUAACUACGGGAAUUUUAUUUUAUUUGUUCAAAAAACUACCAAAAAAUUAGAUCCUUGAUUGAUACCAAUAAAAUUAAUAGAAAAGUAUUUAUUUGUACAAAUCCCUAAAAAAAUCGUAAGCAAGUCAUCAAAUAAAAUAAUUAAUUAACUGCUCAAUUGACUAAUAUAGCCGCAAAAUUACCUGCAACAUACGACAAGACAUGAUUUUCAAUACUUGUUUUAAAUUGUAAUGAAGGUUCUCGAAUGUCUGGUGACGACAACAUACAUGUUUUUCAAUGUUUUAUUUUUUAUUUUUCUGCGGAAAGGUCACCUGGAUGUCUGGUGACGACAACAAUAGUAUUCCGAGCCUUUACACAUUUACAAUGUCUGGUCACAACAACAUGCUUUUUUUAAUUUUAACAAUUUUUUUCUCAUGGAAGGAAACCGGAAUGUAUGGUCACGACUCACAACAACAUACAUGGUUUUCGAUUUCUUUUCUCUCUUUUUAGCCACGAAGGUUACUCAUGAAUGUCUGCUCACGUAUACUUAAUUCUUGUUUUGUACAUAUGUCAAAGAAGGAAAUUACAAAAAAAAUUUACGUCAAGUAAAAUGUAUUUAGCCACUUAAAUUCAAAUAGCACACAAUGAUCUAAAUUGACUCUAAUAUCCACACACAUAAAGGGAUAAGCCCCGUUAGUUACUGAUAAGUCAUAAAUUUACACAUUUAUGUACUCUUUAUACUUAGAUUUUGUAGAAGAAUUGGAUUUAAAAAGGAUUUAUUACUUUAUUUUCUCAAUUUUCAACUUUCCCGAGCAAGUAAAUGAUUUUCUACGGAAAUACGAAUUUUUGGUGGAGUUUUUGUACAAGACUAGUUGGAGAUGAAAGCUAAGAUCUUGAAGAUGAUUGUAGAAUUUUUCUAGAAUUUUCAAAGAAACCAAUGAGAGCAGUCUUUGAAGUUAAGUUAGCAUCAUGCGCAAUCUCGUCAAAACUGUGCUACCGUGGAAGAAUGAUUAUUUGAAGACUUUUCUGAUUUUUCCUCAAGAUGUAUCAUAUGUGGCUGGAAAGAUAAGACAAGGACCUACAAUUUCCAUACUUUUCCCGAAUUUGCGGAGGAGGAAAGACCUCAAACGUGUGUGCAAAGUAACUGACGUGUUAUCCUAGUCAAAGUAGGAAGAGAAGUCAAUUACUUACCCAUUUUGGAAUUAUUUUUUGAUUAGGUUUUUCUUUAUUUUUGGGCGGCUUUAGGAGUUACGCAAAGACUUGGAGAGAUUGGAGACGCCAGAAGAAUACCGCAAUUGGCUAAGUUUUAUUUUUUCUUCCUUAUGUUUUUGCUUAUGCCGAAUUCUAUGAUUAUGUAUAACUAAUUUUUUGUUACUAGGGCAUGAUGUAGCCCUAGUAUGAUAAUCUAGUUUACUUAUUUUACAUAUCUAUUGAUUGCCGUUUGAUGUUGGAUUCUUAAUCACCGUGCUUAAUAACUUGGUUGAUUAUCUUGAUGCUUGAUCAACAUCUAGACUUUUAAUUGAGUUAAUCAGAUGCAAAUUAGAGUAAAUACGUACUUAGUUUGAGGCUUGCUUCUUGUGAUUAUGAUUUGUAAUUCGUCUAGGGUAAAUACCAUACUUCUAGGGUUUACAUGCUUGUUGGAGGUUUUCACUAAUCUUAAUGAGUUUAGAUGUGUUCAUAUUCGACCUAAAUACCAUAGGCGAAUUGCAUGUAGGAAUAUACGAGUUAGCCUAAAUACCAUAGGUAAUUCAUGAAAAAGGAAAACUAAGCUGAGACAUCCAAUGGUUAGUUAAUAGGUAGGUGAAUAAUUGGUUAGAUCGGAUUAAUUACUAGUGGUGAAUUCAUUGUCGUAGUGCUUUUGUCAAUUUGAAUUUCUCAUCUUUGUGUUUCGUGACUUUCUACUUGUUUCGUUUUUUAAUUUCAUUGUUAAUUAAAUCAUCAUUUCAAAAACCCCUUUUGUGUUUACGUGAGUAUGCUACGUGUUUAAUUUCUUGUUUAUAUAAUUAGAGUAGUUGAAGUAUUUUGUGAAGUAAAUUAGGUUAGACUAAUUGGAAGUUGAACUCAAUCCUCGUGGGAAUGACCUCGUAUUUGCCAUACUAAAUUACAAUUGACCUUAUACACUUGCGAGUAUAAUUUGUGUUUAGACAAAUCUUUAUAAUCUCCAUUUUAUAGGUUGUCUAAAAUUCACAAAAAUUUUUUGGCGUCAUUGUCGGGAAUUGUUGUCGCCAAACUACUAUUUAGUUCAAUCUUAAUUUAGCUUUUUAGUUUUCUUUUUGUUUUUAUUUUAUUUUUUUAUUUCGUUUUUUAUAAUUAAUUUCUGUUUUCUUAGUUUUAUUUUAUUUAUUUCGUUUUUUUUUUAAUUUACUGGAAAAUUUCAGAGCAUUGGAAUUGAUUUGUGUUUCUUGUUUGUCUUGUUUAUUAGGUUCAGCUCAGUGUAUGACUAGUAAAAGCUCUCAAGGUCAAUACCUCAUACCAUUUGAUCCUGAGAUUGAGAGAACAGUUAGGAAAUGAAAAGACAAGUUCACUCACUCACUGGAACAUCAAGAAGACAGAGGUUCCGUUGAAAAUAUAAACGAGAAGAGUGACAAGAACGUUAGGGAACAACUAUUAGGGCAAGAGGAAGCAAUGGAACGAGCACAGCCUGCUCGAGCUCUGAAGGAGUACUCCAUCCCAACUUUUUCCAACACUCCAUCAUGUAUUGUAGUACCAAAAGUCGAAGCAAAUUCAUUUGAACUCAAGUAAAAAAAUGAUUCACUUGUUACCAUCGUUCUAUGGCAAGUCGAACGAAGAUCCUAACAUGCAUAUUCGGGAGUUUUUUGAUAUUUGUGGCACCAUCAAGAUCCAAAAUGUCUCUAAUGAAGUGGUUAGGCUGAAAUUGUUCCUGUUUUCAUUAAAGGAUAAAGCCAAAGCUUGGCUUCACUCACUGUCUGCUGAAUCCAUUAAUUCAUGGGAGGGAUUAGCACAAAAAUUUCUCCAUAAAUUCUUCCCUGCGUAGAAAACGAAUUAACUUAGAAGAGAUAUCAUGUAUUUUACUCAAGGAGAGCAAGAGCCAUUCUAUGAAGCUUGGGAGAGAUUUAGAGAGUUGCUGCAAAAAUGACCUCAUCGUGGCAUUAUUGAUUGGAUGCAGAUGCACUUCUUUUAUGAAGGACUUACUACUGCAAACAAACGAAUGGUUGACUCUGCAUGUGGAGGGGCAUUGAUGGAGAGGACACCUCAAGAAGCGUUUGAUCAAUUUGAUUUGCUUGCCAAUAAUAAUCAACAAUGGGGCAGUGAGUGGACAAAGAAGGUAGGAGUUCAUGAAGUCGACACCAAUACUGCAAUUGCUGCUCAAAUUUCAAGCCUUGAGAAAAAACUCGAAACUCUUAUGUGUGCUAUUAUUCCACAUUCCCCACUGCAAGUUUGCACCAUUUGUUCUGACCCUACUCAUCCAAUGGAACUUUGUCCAUCCACUACUCAAGGUUCUGAGCAAGUUCUCCAAGUUAAUUUGUUUCAGUGACCUCAGAAUGAUCCAUAUUCGAACACCUAUAAGCAGGGGUGGCGUAACCACCCAAAUUUUUGAUGGAGCAACCAGCAACAACAAGCUAGUUCUAGCCAUCCCUUCUAGCAGCAAAUGCAGCCUUCGAGUGAGCCUAAGAAACCAGCGUUGGAGGAUUUAAUUGCUCAGUUUGUAUAGACUUCUCAACAAAAUCAGAAUACUAUGCAAGCGUCUAUCACUAAGUUAGAAACUCAAGUAGGCCACUUCACAACUAUUGUGCAUAAGAGGGCGCAAGGCACAUUCCUAAGCCAACUCAAAAUUAAUCCUCAAAAUGUUGAACAAGUCAAGUCCAUUAGAACUCUAAGAAGUGGCAAGUCAUAUGAUAUACAAGAAGAACCCAUGACAAGUGCUGGAAAAGAAGGGAAGAAACUAAAGGACAACUUCCAACACCUACCCAAGGCAAACUAGGUGAUUCCGAAAAAACUGAUAAUGAUGAUCGAAUCGCCCCUAUGAAAGAAUGGAUUUAUGUUCCCCCACUUCCAUUUCCAGCAACCUAACCAGUCCAUAAACAAAAGAAAGAUCAAAUGGAUAUUUUGGAGAUGUUCAAAAAGAUUCAUAUCAAUAUUCCAUUAUUGGACGCCGUCAACCAAUUUCCUUCUUAUGCAAAAUUUUUGAAGGAUGCAUGUAUAAACAAGAGGAAAUGCGCAGCGCAUGGAAAAGUGUUGUUAACUGAAGAGUGUAGCGCGGUGUUGCUCAAUAAAUUUCCUCCAAAAUUAAAGGACCCAAGGAGUUUUACAAUUCCUUGUAUUGUUGGGGAUGUGCAAUUUGAUAAAGCAUUUUUAGAUUUAGGUUCAAGCAUUAACCUUAUGCUUUUGUCUAUUUUUUAGCGAUUAGGUAUUGGAGAGAGUGAAGCAACUUGUAUUGCCGGCUGAUUUCUUUGUCCUUGACAUGGAGAAAGAUCGCGACAUCCCACUCUUGCUAGGCCGACCCUUCCUUGUUACUGCCAGUACAUUAAUUGAUGUACAACAAGGAACUUUAACUUUGAGAGUUCAAGGCGAAUCCAUUGAGUUUAAGGGGUAUGAGGCUAUUAAAAAACCGAGGGACUUGGAAGAGUGCAGCCGCAUAGAUCUCCUUCACCCAAUUGUACAUGUCAACUACUUGGAAAACAGCUCUAUGGAUGUGUUGAAAGCCAAAUGGCCACCCCCUCCAUACGUGAAACACAUGCACUAUUCCCAUGGACAUACCAGAUUUUUUCAUUGUUUUAUCAGACACUUUUCCAAGAUGAGCCUUCCCUGUGGCAUCUCCUUGCCAAGGAUCACACCAAGACUUGGAUGACAAGGCUAUUGUUCGCAAGGAGUUUGGACAACAGCCCAAGCACUACAUGGAAGAAGUAGCAUUCUUUGCUACUUCUGCACCACCGCAGACAUUUGAAGUCUAGCUCAUGAAUAUAAAGAAGCGCUUCUUAGGAGGCACCCAAGCAUUCUUAACUUUUGUUUUUGCUUUUGUUUUUAUUUUAUGUGUGAUUUCUUGUACAUUUUUCAUGUUUUUGUUUUUGUUGUUUUUGUUAAGUUUUGCGUCAUCAAACAAAGGAUUUUGUGUUCCAUAGAAAAAAUUUGCAUUUUUCUAGCCCUAAGAUGUUUGCAGCAUGUUUCAUAUGUGUUACAAAAGUUUUUUCGGUCAUUGGUUGAGUUUUUUUUUUGGGACGAAUUGGUUAAGUUUAAAUGCUAGAAAAUAGCCACAUAGCUUAGUAGGUUCUGAUUUCGGUCAAAAUCAAAAUUUAUGCCUAAUGUCUUUUUUGUUGUUUUUCAGGUCAAUUUGUACCAACCAACGUUUUUAGAAUGGUUAUUAUGAUGAUUUGGACCGGGUUUGGGGGUCUUAGGUGGCCUACAUUAUGUUUUAGGACGAUUUGAAGCUCACAAUAGGACCUGAAACCCAAAAACCCAACUUUCGUUUUGCUUAGAAAUUUGAAGAUUUUUUCGUCACCAAAGGUUUUUAGCAAUGGCUGUUCAUCAAGAUUUUUCGUGGCUAAAAGGUUUCUGCGAUGGUGUUAUUCAGAGUUUUCGUCACUAAAAGUCAAAAUUUCAGAUCAAAUUCAAACCAAAUAUCAUCACGAUCAGAGACAUCUAGGUGUUAUUCCGGGUCCGUUGGCUUUCCAAGAAACAAGUUGUGGGUGUUUGAGUUUGUUGCGUUGUCUAUUCUCUCUCACUUCAACAUAUUCUACGCUUCGCUCAUCCAUACACCUACACAAACCCGAGAAGUUCUCACACCCUCUCUCUUUUUAAUUGAUUUUGCAUGCCUUAGUUUUCUUUGUUUUAAACAUUGAGGACAAUGUUUGUUUUAAGUUGUGGUGAUUGCAUUCUUUCUUUUUUUUCGUUCUGAAUCCAACCAUAUAAAGAACGAGAUCUUUGGCCAAGUAUUUUGUGAGAUAAAUGUAAUUCUUUGCGCCUGGGUUAGAAGUGCAGUUUUGUUUAUUGGUUUUUAGUUCCUUUCAACUUUUGAUUUUUAUUUAAUCAGUUUUUAUUUUGUUGUUUUGUUUUUGUUUUUGUUUCUUUUAAAAAAAUAAAAUAAAAUCAGAAAAAUGUCAUAAAAUCCAAAAAUAUUUUCUUUUACUUUGAGUAUUGUUUUUAUUUGUUUGUGGUAGUUACUUCCCAACUCUAUGGUGAGAUUGAAUUUUAUUGACAAUUAACUUUCAAGAAGUUUCGAGCAUGACACUAAUUCUUUACAUUGUCUUUGUGUUAGCCUUAUUUUUGUGAUUAGACUUGGGAAAUCCUUAUGCACAUAGCCAUAUUAAGAUGAGUUUCGAUUGGGGAUUUCACAUGAUUUAAAUGGGUAAAUAAGAGUUAGUGUAGACUUAUAUAACCCUCAUUAUGUGAAUUUUUGAACCUAUGCCUUCCUUUCUUGAGUGUUAUAUGAUAUUCUAUAAUUUUCUUGUCUACGUCGUUAUGAUCUCAUUAUUCUUUGUUUUGGUCAAGUACUUGAAGAUGUUUAAAUUGUUUACUAGAACUACUUUCAUUAUCUAUUUGAGGCAUACAUCGUGAACCACAUGGAUUCUAGGAAGUAAAAUAGGCCUUAUUUCUUUCGUUUGAGCCUUUCUAGCCAACAUGUAUUUACUUUUAACCCUAGUUAACCCCUGGUGCCUUUGAUAUAAGCCUUUGUCGUUAUUUACCCAAUUCUCCUCACCUUCAUCUUUCAUAUGUUUAUCCUACACCCUUCUAAGGAGUUUUGAAGAGUAUUUUCAUUGUUAAGGGAGAAUUGCACAAAUUGUUCAAUCAUGUGGAAAGUAAAGGAUACUAUUUCAGAAAAAGAAAAAGAAAAAAAAAAAGAAGAAACUAACUUCAAAGUCUUUUCAACUCGAGUUAUUAAGCCCAAGGAGUGUUUUACAUUUAAUGCCUUUAAGCUAUCUAGCUUGGGAGUCAUUGGCCUAACACUCACUACAUGGGUUGAUUAGAAAGCUAAUGGAGUUAGAAGAAGAAAAAAAGAAAGAAAAGGGCUAACGUCAAAAGACCCCUUGAAGGUUUGGGGUCAUUCUCAAUAUGGGUCCAUGAGUUUUAAUUUCAUCAAUUUACACCUGAUGGUUUUCAAAUCUGACCAAUUUAAGCCUUUCGUUAAGUUUACCGUUUGGUCAGACGUUAAUUAAUGACGUGUCCACUGUGGGAUCCACCAAUUCCUUAAAAAAAAUUAAAAAAAAAAAUUAUAUAAUAUAAUAAAAUAACAUUUGAAAAAAAGCUUAUAAAAAAAAAACCCUCUGUUUCUUCAUCCCUCUCUCUCCGCCCCUUUCUCCUCCCAUCUCUCCCAGCCGCCUCACACCUCCUACAUGUCCAGCCAGCCACCCGCACAUCCUCUGACUUGAGGUUGGAGAAAGCGGCAAGGGCAAUGAGGCAGCCCAGAUUGCCCUAUCGGUGUAAAUGAGUGAGGCUGGGAAGAAAGAAAGUGGCCAUUAUCAUCAGUACAGGACAGUAAGAGUAGAGAGAGUAGCCAUGAGGCCUCAGAUCAGUCGAAUCAGAGAGUUGUUAAUUAAUUAAUUAGUUUUGUUGAUUUAAUUAAUUACUCUUUUUGGGUGCUUAGUUCAUGUUUGUGGCUUUUUGAUAAUGUGUGAGUUUUUUUUUUCAAUUUUUUUUUUCUUCAAGGGAGCUGUAUAUUAAUUUGAGAUGAAAUGGAAGAAUUCCCUCUUCUCCUUAUAACAUUGCCUUUUUCUUUUUAUUCUCAACUGCUAUGCACUUUAAAUUCAGUAUUUUUAUUGGUUUUGAAGCACCCACAAAUUUCUAAAACAAUGCAAGACCACAAAUUAAAAUUGGGAAUAACAUUAGCUUUUGGGGUUAAUGAACUAAAUGGUCCCCCAACUAUUGCUACAGUAUCAUUUUGGUCCAUCAACUAAAAUUUUCAUUUCAAACAUCCUUAAACUUUUUGUUUUGUACCAAAAUGGUCCAUCCGUGAUAGAUUCCGUCACUUCUGAUCACGCGAUGACCACGUGACUAAGUUUUGAAAGGUAUAUGCGACUUUUUGAGAAGCUUUAUUGAAGGGUAUGAUUGAAAUGGUCCCUCAACUAUUGCUCCAGUAUCAUUUUGGUCCACCAACUAAAAUUUUCAUUUGAACCAUCCUUCCACUUCUUUUUUUUUGGUAUCAAGAUGGUCCUACCGUCAAAGUCCGUCAAUUUUAUUGUUAUUUAUUUUUGUAUUUAUCUUAUUUUAAAAUUUUUAAUUAAUUUAACAAUUGAGAAAAAAAAUAUUACUUUUUAAGUCCAUGUCAUUAAAAAAAAAAGCCAUGCUGGUGGUGAGAUUCAAUUUUUUCAAUUUUAAAAAUACGUACAAGUUCCUAUAAUAGUUUUCUUUAAUUUUUAAUUAUUGUUUACUCUUUAAAAAAAAUUUUAUUUUAUUUUUAUAUUUAUGUGAUUUUAAUUAAUUUAAACAAUAGAGAAUUUUUUAUUAUUAAUUGUUAGGUCAGUCUCAUGAAAAAAAAAGCCACGUGGCUAGUGAGAUUCAAUUUUUUAAAAUUUUCUAAGUUUUAUAAUAGUUUCCUUUAAUUUUUAAUUAUAUAUUACUAUUUUAAUUCAUAGAGACAUUUUUACUCCUCAAUUUAACAAUAAAAUUGACAGACUUUAACAGUAGGACCAUCUUGAUACAAAAAGAAAAAAGAAAAAAAAAAGAGUUGAACGACGGUUCAAAUGAAAAUUUUAGUUGGUGGACCAAAAUGAUACUGGAGCAAUAUUUGGAGGACCAUUGGGAUUAAAACCCUUUUAGAGGAGGAUACUCACCUAAAAAUACGGUUUUGUCCACUGAUUUCACGGAAUAAUACACAGACUUUGACGUAUGGACAAUUUUGGUACAAAAUAAAAAGUUUGAGGACGUUUGAAAUGAAAAUUUUAGUUGGUGGACCAAAAUGAUACUGGAGCAAUAGUUGGAGGACCAUUUAGGUCAUUAACCCUUAUUUUUGUUUUUGGUGUUGGUUAAUUGUGUUGAGGCUGGUUUUUGACAAACCCAUAAACCAAUUUUGAGAAUUAAAAGACUAAAAAAAAACAUAAAAAUAUGAAGAUGUAUGUGUGUGGAAUUUGGUAUUAGGUGCAAAUGAGUAGUAGAUGGCGAAGCUCUUUGGAGAGGAGGUGCGGGUGACUAGAUUCGUUGGAGGGGGAGGGGGAUGGGGUGGGGGAGCUGGGAGGAGAAGGGGACGAAGAGAGAGAGAGAGAGAGGGACGAAGAAAUGGAGGUUUUUUUAUAAGCUUUUUUUAAAUGUUAUUUUAUUAUAUUAUAUAAUUGGUUUAUUAAUUUUUUAAGAAAUUGGUGGGUUCCACAGUGCACACAUCAUCAAUUAACGUCUGCCCAAAUGGUUAACUUAACGGAAGGCUUAAAUUGGUCAGAUUAAAAAUCAUCGAGUGUAAAUUGAUGAAAUUGAAACUCGAGGGCCCAUAUUAAGAAUGACACCAAAUCUUUAGUGUGUCUUUGACGUUAGCCCAAAAAAAAAAUUGUGUAAAAAAAGAAAAGAAAAAGAAAAAUCAAGACAAUAUCAAGAUGAAGUUAUGUGCUAAAGCACAAGACGUUAUAAUUGUAUGGAAAGCUCUACUUAGUCCUUAGACUUUGUUUGUUCAUCCAUAUCUUUUUCUAGUUUCACCCAUCACCCUAAGCCCAUUAGAACCUUAAUGAAAGUCCUACUUGAUCCAAGGAGAAGUGUGGUUCCUCAUGUGGAGAAUAGGUGAGGAAGGACUAUGGUCGGAUGGUUUAAAUGUUUUCAAGUAUGCGAUAUCUUUCUAUGAGAUCUUUUAUUCAUGUCUUGUUCUUUUAUUUCAAUUAUGUGAGUACAUCCUAUUGCUUUGAUUCCUCUCACAUAUUUAUGAGUGACAAUAACUAGUCAAAUUUCAAGUGCUUUUAUUGGAGUGAACAUCCUUGAUGAGAUUUGAAGUUGAAGCUUGUUCUUAUUUCGUUAUUUAACUUGUGUGAAGCUUAAGUCGUGGGUUUUAUUAAUGUUGGCUAUUUAACACACUACACUCCAAGUUGUUCAAUUAAAGUUUGGUUAACCCUUCGAUAAUGUCUUGAAUUAUCGUUGCUUAUUUCUUGGAAGUUAGCUAAUGGGCGGUGAUUAUCUCUGAGAUCAAUAUUGGGAAGUUAGUCGAUCGCUUGUUUGUGUUGAGUCUUUGUUCUUUUGUUUUUAUUUUCGUUUUGUUUUGUUCAAGGACUAGCAAAAUCUAAGUUGUGGGUAUUUGAUAAGUCCAUAAAUUUACACAUUUAUGUACUCUUUAUACUUAGUUUUUGUAGGAGAAUUAGAUUUUAAAAGGACUUAUUACUUUAUUUUCUCAAUUUUUAGUUUUCCAGAGCAAGUAAUUGGUUUUCAACGGAAAUACAAAUUUUGGGUGGAGUUUUUGUACAAGACUAGUUGAAAAUGAAAGGUAAGAUCUUGAAGAUGAUUGUGGAAUUUUUCUAGAAUUUUCGGAGCAGCUAAUGAGGGCAGUCUUUGAAGUUAAGUCAACAUAAGGUUCAAUCUAUUCAAAACUAUGCUUCUGUGGAAGAAUGAUUAUUUGAAGACUUUUCUGAUUUUUUUUCUCAGGGAGUGCGAUAUAUUGAUAGAAAUGUAAGACAAAGACCUACAAUUUACAUAUUUUUCCUGAAUUUUCUUGGAGGAGAAUGACCUCAAACGUGCAUGCAAAGUAACUGACGUGUUAUCCCAGUCAAAGUAGGAAGAUGAGUCAAUUACUUACCCAUUUUGGAUUUAUGUUUUAAUUAGGUUUUUCUUUAUUUUUGGGCUACUUUAAAAGCCUAGAUAGGGUAGGAAUAGACGUGUGGUGUUUUAUUAAAGGAUGAGAAACAACUCCUUUGGAGUUACGCAAAGACUUGGAGAGAUUGGAGACGCGGGAAGAGUACCACAAUUGACUAAGUUUUAUUUUUUCUUCCUUAUGUUUUUGCUUAUGCCGAAUUCUAUGAUUAUGUAUAACUGAUUUUCUGUUGCUAGGGCAUGAUGUAGCCCUAGUAUGAUAAUCUAGUUUUCUUAUUUUACGUAUCUAUUGAUUGUGGUUUGAUGUUGGAUUCUUAAUCACUGUGCUUAAUAACUUGGUUGAUUAUCUUAAUGCUUGAUCACCAUCUAGACUUUUAAUUGAGUUAAUCAUAUGCAAAUUAGACUAAAUACCAUACUUAAUUUGAGUCUUGCUUCUUGUGAUUAGGAUUUUUAAUUCGUCUAGGGUAAAUACCAUACUCCUAGGGUUUACAUGCUUGUUGGAGAUUUUCACUAAUCUUAAUGAGUUUCUAUAUGUAUUCAUAUUUGGCUUAAAUACCAUAGGCGAAUUGCAUGUAGGAAUAUACGAGUUAGCCUAAAUACUAUAGGUUAUUCAUGAAAUAGGAAAACUAAGCGGUGACAUCAAAUGGUUAGUUAAUAUAGGUGAAUAAGAGGCUAGAUUGGAUUACUAGUGGUGAAUUCAUUGUCCUAGUGCUUUUGUCAAUUUGAAUUUCUCAUCUUUGUGUUUCGUGACUUUCUACUUGUUUUAUUUUUUAAUUUCGUUGUUAAUUAAAUCAUCAUUUCAAAAACCCCUUUUGUGUUUACGUGAGUAUGCUACGUGUUUAAUUUCUUUUUAUAUAAUUAUAGUAGUUGAAGUAUUUUGUGAAGUAAAUUAGGUUAGACUAAUUGGAAGUUGAACUCAAUCCUUGUAGAAAUGACCUCAUAUUUGCCAUACUAAAUUACAAUUGACCUUGUGCACUUGCGAGUAUAAUUUGUGUUCAGACUAAUCUUUAUAAUCUCCAUUUUGCAGGUUGUCUAAAAAUCACAACUGCUACAUUUUCUAAUUUCCGAAGAAUACCCCUAAUAAUUGACUAUAAGAUGUUAGAACAAAGAAUUAUAAUAUAGUAGACCGAGGGGUUUACCUCAGUGGUGAGGUCCCUUUCCUUUCCCCCUUGGUCACCAUUCGAAUCCUAGGAAAAAUGCCUCCCUCCCCAAUACAAUGUAUCUAUCGUUAAUUCUAAAAAUAAAUAUAAAAAAAGUAUUAUAAUAUAUUAAGGUAGUAAAACACAACAACUUGAAAUAAAUUGGUGUCAGGGUCUUUUUCCGUUCGAAGGCUUGUUCGGGCUUGUUGAUUUCAAGGAUGAGAAAGUAGGAGACAUGGUUGUGAUGGCUGCUGAGAGCUUGUAACAGCCAAGAGAACGAGUCAAUGGGAUGCUUGCAGCAGCCAAAGGAUAGAGGAUGAGGGCUGAGGAAUAAUUGUUAUGGUUGCUGGAAUGCUUGCAGCAACCGAAGAAAGGUGCUCUGAUGGUUGCUGGGGUGCUUACAGCCACUCAGAGAAGUUGGUUCUCAUGGUUACUGAGAGGCUUAUAGCAACUUAGAGAAGCUGGUUUUUUCAUAGGCAAUGCCUACCAAUUUACAGAAGGUGAAGGCUCUCUUUGGUUUCCAAUAGGUAAAAGGAAGUGUUGGAACCAUCAUAUUUUCAAAGGGUAAAAGGGAGCAUUAAGACAUUAUUAUUUCCAGAAGGUAAAGCUAGACAUUGAAAAAUGACUAUUUCCUAUGGGUAAAAGCAAGUGUCGGAAUUGGCUUGUUUACAGCAGGUAAUAGAGAGUGCUUGAAGAAUAUCUCAUUUGCUCACCACAUUGGAGAACUCCAAGUAAUAGGGAGUGCUCCCAAGUAACUAGCCCAAAGUCUCCAUUAUCCAAGAGCUUCCGUGAGCCUUGUGGACCUCGUAACCUUCCAUGCUACAACCCCUCGUGCAAGCACCUUGAACCACAUGACUUAGGUUCAUGUGAGCUUGGUAGGUGAUUGUCGUAAGAAAAAUGUAUUAGCCUUGGAUGAAGUUAUUUGGCAUGUGCUUGGAAUGUUUGGGCAUGUGUUGCUGUGGCUUGGACCUCUUGUGAUCAAGCUUAGAGAUAUCAUAUGUAAAUGAAUAGGUUUGGCAUGGCUUGGAUACUCUUACAAUUUGUAUAAAAACAUGCAUAUAUAUAUAUAUAUCCUAAUAUUAAAUCCUAAAAUAUAAUUGAAAUUAGCACAUAACCAAUUUAUCCCUUUAUUUUGAACGUCAUAUUGAACUUUAAAUUCUUUUGGGCUUCUCGUGAUUUUUUGAACAUCAACAAUUGGCAAUGGCUAGAGAUUCAUAUUAAAAUCUUAAUAUCUUAUGGCGCAAGUUUUCCACACCAUGGGCACUGGGUAAGUCCCAUUAGCCAUGCCACAAUUUGCUUACGAUAAGUCUCUUUAGGCUUGGAAUCAAACAACAGAUUGAUUUAUUGUGAGCGUGCUUCUAUGAACACUGCAAAAGAAUCUGACAUAUCAUAUGAAUUAUGUAUAACUUGAGUGCCACGAAAUUUAGCCCUAACUAAGCCACUGUGACUUGAGUGGGGAUUGCAGUAACCAUGGUUCACCUUGAAACUGGACACAUACUCGUCCAAGUACCAAAUCGGCUUUGGACUUGAGAGAGUGGAGGAGGUUGUGACAUCACAGUAUGCCAGGGAUGAAUGAACGUAACUGAUGAAAACAUAUUAACCGUUACUUUUUCUACUACCAUGCGAUUGUUCAUGUCAGGUGCAGUUUCAACUCCUGCCAUGACGAAAACUUCAAUGGCUCUUUCACUGUUUACGAGGGUUUGUUGACGACUCAAUCUGGAUAUUAAUUCAUUACAGGAGUUACCCUACACGUACGCCCACUCACACAUGCAUCUUGACAAAUAACCCAUCCAUCCAUGCAGUGGCGGACCCAGAAAUUUUUUAACGGAGGUGCAAAAUUGAUUAAGUAUGAAAAAUAGUUUUUCGGAAUAAUCAUUUUCUCAAGAUAAUUUUUUGACGGCUUUUAUUCCUUACACAUCAAAUAAGAAAACUUGAUUUUAUGGGAUUUUAGUAUGAAGUAUAUAUUGACUUAAUGAGCCAUUAUUUUUAGCCUAAAUCGUAUUUUGCACUAAAACCGAUUUUUCAUAUUUUGAUUUGGUAGGAAUUUGAUUUUCUAGUAUUUUUAUUUGAAUCCAAAUAGGGGGUACUUCCUUAUUUACAUUGUAAACUUAAGUAAAUGGAGUAAUAUAAAAAUAAAUUAAAGUAAAAGGACAAAGACAUUUACUUUAGUAAUCUGUACACCAGUUGAGCAAAGGGGCAAUUUGAAGCACCUACAAUAGUUUUUUCGGCGAGGAAAGGUGCAGCUGCACCUCCUUGCGCCUUAAUGGAUCCGCCUCUGCAUCCAUGGAGUAGAGAUGGUUUUUUUUUUUUUUUCUUUCUGGAUUUCUCUUCUCAUUAGUUUCUGUUCAUAUUAUAUAAUUCCUCAACCCUCUAAUUUUUGUUUCCUCCUCCACAUCUUUUAAUUUUAUUGUAUUAAAUUUGUACUAGCUAGUUCUAUAUGUACUUCAAAACAACCAUAUUUUGUAAAGGUAUAUGUAAUUUUGAAGCUCUAAUAUAUGUGCUUGUGGUUGAGAGUGUUUGUCCCACAUUAAAAAUUUAAGGGAUUUAGUGUGAGUUUAUAAGGAGUUGGGCUACUCCCCCCAUUGCCAAUUGGUUUUGGGGUGAAACCUCAACUUUCUUCACUUGCAAGCAACCAUAUGUGUCCAGUAUCAUCUCCUCAAAGAGUUGAUCCUCGAUUGAUACUGAUAAAUUAAUAGAAAACUAUUUAUUUGUACAUAUUACAAAAAACAAUAAGUAGGCCUGUUUGGUAUUCAACUUAAAUUCAACUUUUUAUACUCAAAAACAAAAUUUGAGUAAAAAAGAAAGAAAACCUGUUUUGGUAGCCCUAUUUUUAAAAACUCAAACUCAAGAACAACUAAAAAACACCCAAAUUAUUAAAAACAAAAAAUAUCUGUUUUUUUCAAUUUUUUUUUAACAAUCCACAAGUUCUCAAAUUUUUAAGAUUUGAAAACAGUUUUCAAGUUGCAUACCAAACAAGUUUUCGAAUCUUAAAAAUAGAUUUAAGAACUCCUUGUUUUUAAGAAAAAUUAAAGUUUUUGAGUUCCCAAUUUGAAUAGGAUACCAAACGCCCCCUAAAUUUGUGAGGGUUUUUUUGUUGAGAGCUGCAAUGGGCUUAUUGGACUGUUGCGAGGUCCUGAAGUUGAAUAUGUGUUGCAGAUUUUGAUAUGCAGCGGGUACUGGAAUGAUUUUGCUUGAUUUUGUUGUGUUGGAAGUGCUUUUCCUGAAGUUGAAUAUGCACUGCAUGUAGUGGAAUAGUGUUGUAGAAGAUGCUGUUGGAAAUUUAAUAUUAAUUAAUAUUAAUUUUCCUAUUUGAAUGGAAAUUAAUAAAAUUCAUUGGGUUAAAGACAUGACCCUUGGGUUAAAGACAUCUUCACAUGGAGGGUAACAACUCUUCAAACUAAGGGAUGCAUUGUUUGGGAUGACAACUCUUCAGACCAAGGGAUGCAUUGUUUGCCUUUUUAGAUUGUGAUACCUUUUUGGAAAUGGUAUUUCAUCAUCUAUAAAUAGAGCAAUCCUCCUGCAGUUUUAUUCAUUCAGUUUAAUUUUCUACAUAAGACUUUCACAUAUAGAAAGCAUUAGAGUUUUCAUAAAAAGAGGUUCCUGCAUAAUUUGGUUCAAAGUUCCUUGUGAAUUGCAGUGCUUCUUUCACAAAGAGGGGAGUCGUUGUAUCCUGGGAGGCGAACGCUAGUGAACCAUAAGCACCAUUGUGGGGCGUAAUUCGUCUUAAGGUCAAAGUGUCCAACACUUGCCUCGACUCAAUUAAGAUUCUUUUAAUUCAAUUCUGCUGUUGUAAAAAUCUGUUUUGUUUGUAGUGUUUAUUUAUUUAUUUUAUAGCAAUUUAGCACUUAUUUCCUACAGAUGCUAGAGGUGGUCUAUGGUGAAGAGCAGCUACGUACAAGCUUGGCAUGAGAGCUUGUUUCAAUGAAUCAAUAUGAAGCUUGGCUUGAGAGGUUCAUGGUGUGGGAGCUAAGUCUCCAUAUAAGUUUAGCAAGAGAGAGUGCUUUUGCAGUUUCAAUUAGAACAGGCUGCUGGAGGUAAGACGCAGGGGUUAAGGCUUGGGUCUUGGGAUGGUUUGGGAUGAUUUUCUGAGUGAUGUUCAGAGCUUGGAGUGGUGUUAUGAAAGAAGAGGAGAAUGAUGGAGGGGUUAAGGCUUGGGUUUUGUGUGUGUUUACGGCAGGUGGAGGAUAAGCUUGCCUCCUCUGCCAUUCUCUACUUCUUCUGGGUGCCUUACAAAUGGGUAAAGGGUCUAUUUAUAUGCAAAGCCUUGGCUCUGUUUAUGCAUCCGUGAGUGUAUAGUGCACAAUAGUUGGUUUCUCCGUGAGUGUGCUGUAAUUGAUUGUGUGUACAGUAAUGAAUAGUAAUGGGUACGUGACCGUAAUGACGACUGUGUGCACAGUAAUGAACAGUAAUAGGUAGUUGUGGUUUAAUGCUGGAGGAAGAGGCUGGGAGUUCUCUCUUUGCUUACCCGUGUAAUUAGGCUCAGGAAAGUGGGCAUGAGUUUUGAUACUCCCAAGCAGCCUCAAAACUUCUACUGUUUGAUCCUUCAAUGAGCCUUAUGGACACUUGUAAUUAUCCACACAACAACCCGCUCAGCAAGUCCUAGGCAUAUGUGUGGCUUGAGUCCACUUAAGCUUGCCGGUAGUUUAGGAAAGAAAAUUGAAUUAUUUGUUUGGCAUGGCAUGACAUGUGCACUAUUUCUAUAUUUAUUUAAUGAAUUAAUUCCCUAAAUACAAUUUGGAUUAGCAUGGCAACUAUUGUAUGUUAUAUUGGGCUUUAAAUGUCCUUGAAUUUCUCGUAACUUUUUGGUCCUUAACAUUAUCAAACAAAAUUAAUUAAUUAAAUGUGCUUAAUUGACUAAUAGGGGCAACAAAUUUAGCAACAUAGGACAAGACAUGAUUUUAAUGUUUUUAAUUUUAUUUAUGAUGUUGGUCACUGGGAUGUCUGGUUAGGACAACAUACGACAAAACAUGUUUUUUUUUUUAAUGUUUAAUUUGUUUUUUCGCAUGAAAGGUUAUCGGGGAUGUUUGGUCCCAACAACAUAUGACAAUACAUGUUUGUUUUUUUCUCCGAGCUUAUUGCAUUAUUUGAAAUCAUUUCGGGCCUUUAGUAUCAAUGGUGAAAGCAACAUUAUUAUUUGCACAAUUCAAACGAACCAUUAGACAAGGAGCCAUUGCCCACUUAACUUUUAUUGAAUUCUGUUGGGGUCUUUUUCAGUCAGAAGGCUCAUCCGGACUUCGUUGCCCUUUUUUUGAGUUAGCGAGAACUAGGCCCAAAGUAUCCCGAGGGAGAAGCAAGUCCUAGGGGAGUACUUUGUUCUUCUUCCAGCGACUGCGUACUUUGUGCGGAUAUUUCCGGCAGCUUGACGAAGAGUCGAAGAUGGUGCAUUGAUGUUACACAGACUUGGCAUGAGAGUUUGGAGUGUGGGAGUUAAAGACCCACAAGUUUAGCAAAUGAGAAUGCUUGUGCUUAGUUGGUGUUUGAUAUGCUUGAGUUUGGAUGUUGAGAAUUUAUUGUUUAAAGCUAUGGCUAUGGUGGUUUGAUUGUUUGGCUGUGAUGGUUGUUGGGAUGCUUAUAGCAGUCAAAUGAAUGGGGUGGUUUCUAAGAGCAUGGCUGAGGAAAGAAAAGCUUAAGACUAGGGUAUGGUGUUUGUGACAAUGAUUCUAGAGAAAUUUAUGAGUUUUAGAGGUGGGAGGAUAAAAGGAAAAGCUUGAGGCUUGAAAGCUAUGGUGUUUAUAGCUUGGAAGGGUAUGCGAAUGAAGGAAAAGCUUGGAGUUAUGGUCUUUGUAGGGACAAUAGAGGAUUUCAAUGAUAGGAAAAUAGAAGAAAUGGUUGUGAUAGCUGAGGAAUGGCUGGGAUGGUCGCUGGAAUGCUUGCAGUGACUAAAUGGAGGAAGGAAGGUGGUAUGGUGGUUGCUGAAUGAGGUUGAUGGCUACUGGGAUGCCUGACAAUCGGGGGUAAAGGGAGGUGUUGGAACCAGCCUAUUUCCAGUGGUUAAAAGGGAGCACUAGGACAUGCUAUUUUGCAGCAGGUAAAGCUAGGUACCAUAAACUGAUUAUUUCCUAUGAGUAAAAGAAAGCACUGGAAACUGCUUGUUUCCAGUGGAUAGUAGGAAGUGCUGGGAAAGGCUUGUUUCCAACGGGUAAAGCUAGGUAUUUGGAAAAUGACUAUUUUCUAUGGGUAAAAGAAAGUGCUUGAAAAAUAUCUCAUUUGCUCACCCACAUUAGAGAACUCUAAGUAAUGGGCUUGGACUUUGGUGCUCCCAAGUAGCUAGCCCAAAGUCUCCAUUAUCCAAGAGUUUCCGUGGGCCUUGUGGACCUCCGUAACCUUCCACACCACAAUCCCUCAUGCAAGCCUCGUAAACCACAUGACUUGGGUUCACGUGAGCUUGAUAGGUGAUUGGCAUGAAAAAAAUGUAUUAUUAGUUUGACAUGUGCACUAUUUCUAUAUUUAUUUAAUAGAUCAAAUCCCAAAAUAUAGCUUGGAUUAAUGCAUGACCGUCAUUAAAUGUUAUAUUGGGCCUUAAAUGUCUUUGGGCCUCAACAAAUUCAAAUCAAAUCCUACAGAAGAAAAAAAAAAUUACAAAAUAAAAAAACGUGGCUAAAAGUUUCAGGUGACGAAAAUUGAAGUUCGUCGCCAAAACCUUUAAGUAACCAAAUAUUUUCGUCGCCUAACUUUAAUUGGUCGUCUAUGAAGGGUUCCCUCUAAAACACCAAAUGUUGGUGUGUGCUUAAAGGGGAUUAGGCAACCAUAGCUAUUUGUUCAUCGCCUUUAGACUCUGACAACUAAUGGAUUUUGUCGCUAAAAUCUGCACUUGAUGUUUUUGCUUUUUUUAAUUUUGUCACAGGAAGAAGUUUUCUUACAAACAAUAAAUAAACAUAUUUUAAUUUUAGGAAACAAUAGAUUUAGGUAAACUAAACCAAUAGAAAUGACAUUAAAGUUUUUCACAUUCAAAGGUACAUGAGCAUAGUAGUCAUUUUAAGUACACAUAAAAGGUAGUACGCUAUAUCCAAAAAAAAUAAGCAAAAUGAAUAAAGAACUCUCCACAUUAUUAUUGCCCUUUGUAACCCCAAGUUUUGCAUUCAUUAUUUCUCCACAUGAAGACUCUCCCGCGCGGAGGGGGGGUGGGUGUGGUCGGGAUCUGAUCUCUUGGAAGUUCUAAUCUCUAACAAUUAUUGCUUCACCUCAAACUCAUCCAUCAUCUUCCUCUACAAAAGAAACAAAAUAAAGCGACAUCAAUAUGUUCACAUAUAUAAAUAUGUAUAUACAUAGUACUACAAAAGACAAAUUGGUAUAAUGUGGUACAUCUUUGAUCUAUUCCAUUGGAACCAUCACUUCUUUUAUUGCUAUAUAUGCAGAUGUGCAGAAGUACAAACAAGCCCAAUUUAAAAUUUCCAACUUACAUACAUAUACAUACCAUCAAGAGAAGACAAACUUAAACUCAAAGCAGACUAAUUUCCUUAUAAAAAUGGAGUUCAUAUAAGUUAAUGCACUUUAACUUAAACUGAAGAAAGAAAACUUACUCUUGCGUAUCUUUGGCCCUGCUCUCAGUGAUCUCAGACUUAUUAUUUUUGAGAGGCAAAAAACAGGAAAGUUAUAACCAUAAGGAUAGAAAGAAUAGUGAAAGUUUUGGUGCCUAAUCAUAUUCCUUUUGCCAGUCCGAUAUAGCAAUUCAUAUUCCUUUCCAUUGAUGGUGCUACAAUAUGCAUCUCCUGUGCCAUCAUCAUUGACUAGAAACUCUAAGCAUACAGAAAAUCAGGGGAUAAAACAAACAAGAAGUACAUCAAAAAAAGAAAAAGAGAAAGAAAAACUCUCUACAGAAUUCUGCUGCAAAAGGUAGCCCUCUGGUCUUAAAAUCAUGGAUGCAUUACCAGCUAAUGUAAGUAGUAAUUUCAACCUUUCUACAUAUUGCCAACCUAAAAAUGUGAGAACUACUUGAACAAGAUUAAAAUUGACAACAAAAAAAUAAUAAUAAUAAUAACCUGUUAAACAGCUGUAAGUGAUCUUGUUGUAUGAUCAAAUUAUUUCUCUCUGUUCAAAAAGACAAUAAAAAUAAGAUAAGAUCUCCUCUCUCCCCAACAAAAAGAAAUGGAUCUAUAUGGGAAUGUUUAUGCACAGUCUAAACCAAGAAAACUAAUUUUAGAAAAUACAAACAUAGCAAAUCACUUAAUUUUGAGAGAGCCCAAAUAUUUUGGAUGCAUUUAAUUUUAGAUUUCGUGGGUAACCAAAAUUCAAAAAGGGGCAACCAAAAUUGCAUUUGGUCUCAAAUUCAUUGAACAACGUCGAAAUAUUUUGGUCACCCUUCGAAAAGAUUUUGUCCUCGAUCAGUUGGUUGAAGUCUUAAUCCAUGCUUGAAUCUCACAAAACUUUUGGUGACGAAAUUACAAAAUGUCCUUGCUAAUAACCCUAUUAGGCGACCAAAGUUACGUUGGUCACCAAAAAAUUGGUCGCAUAAAAGGUUUUUUCUUGUAGUCAUCUAACUAAUCCUACUACAUGUACUGGAACUCUCUUUCCAAUUCCUACAAAGACAUAGUCUUGAUCUUUACUUGUUUUCUUCUAGCUUACGAAGUCCUACAAGGAAUUAGCAAUAUGGAUUGAUGAUCCAGUGUAAUUCCGCUAGGAAUUAGAAGGAACAAUGACAUUACUAGACUCAAAACAAACUAGGACAUAGAAAUUUGGUUUUACAUUUAGUUUUCUUUUUCUCUAUCCAAUGCUUGUAUCUGGUGCAAUCUCUCUUAAGAUGACCUGUCUAUCCCAGAAGUAACGCUUAAAAACAGUAAUUUUAUUUGCAUUCAAAGUGUUAGACCCUUUAGGAGGAGGAUAGGCCUUUGAUUUAUCUUUAUUAGUCGUAUAGUAUGACGGUAUUUUGGCUUAGAAUGAUGAUGUUUAGGAGCAUGAGCGGUUAGUUGCACAAUGUUGACUUUUCUUUCUCCUUCUUAAUCCUAGCUUCUUCUUGGACCCAAACUGAGGUCAGGUCAUUGAGAUCCCAUUUGUCUUUCUAUGCAUUAUAAAUCACCUUGAGUUUAGCUUACUAAGAAGGAAGUGAAUUCAAUGCAAGGUGAACUAAGAAAGGGUCAGCAAUGGGAAUUUCCAGGACUUGAGUUCCUGGCUACUUUAAUCAUACUCAGAAGAUACACCCUCAUAUCCUAUAUCUCGUCUUAUCUCAUAGUUACCAGCUUGCUCAUCAAAUUUCCGAGUUUCAGCCUUUUGUAAUUCUUUGAACUUUUUACUCACAGCCUCAAGUACUCCUUGGAAUUUUCAUAUUCUGGAAUUCCUCCACAGACAGCUUCUAUCAUAGAUUUCUUCAUGAUCAGCAGACAGAUCAUGUUAGCCUUCUCCAUUUCUCGAACUUCAACUUUUGUUUAGCAGUAGUGAUAUAUGGUUUCUCUUCCCUUAGAGCCUAAUCAUGAUCGAGAAGACCUAAAGCUAUCUCUAAAUCUUGUUUCCACAUCUUAAAAUUGCUACCAGGCAGUGGUUCAAUUGAAUUGAUAGCAGAGGGGGAUUCACAACUGAAAACAUGGAAUUAUGUAAUAUGUUUAAUCUUUAUCCCCGAAUCUCUUUAUGCACAUGUGUGACAUUUGUGGACAGAAUAUCAAAUAUGCAUUUUGUUUCCCUCACAAGUGCAACAACAUGAACUGCUAUGCUAUGAUAAGCUUGUAUCAAGUCAUUGGAGGAAGUAAGCUUGAAAAAGAAGAAAAAAUAUCUAAUUUUAGGCUCACCUCCUUCCAGCAUUGUUAGAUUCUUAUGCUUGAAUCAACUGUUUGAUAUAGACAAAAAGAUAGAGAAUUAGAUGCCACACUUGUCAUUUUAGAAUAAAGGCAAAACAUUUCUGUCUAUAAAUUGAAGCUUAAUGCUCCUACUACUUUCAACUUGUGAUUGUAGAACAAUGAGCAGAAGCCACAAGUACCCAACCAAGCACCAAAAUGGCUCAGAUUAUUAUUCUCAUGUUCAAAGGAUGGCAAGAGCCCCUAGUGUUCUCACUGAAGUCCCUCACUAUAGCCAGACACUUUUCAACAACCAGACCAGUGUAAGAGAGGACAAUGGCGAGUAUGAGCACCAGCAAAAGCAGCACAUCCCUGAGGCUCACGAGUCAGUUGAAGUGACUGAGAGAGUCACACAGUAUGACAAGAACGGGAACUACGUCAUUUUUGAGGAAACCGUUGAUGUUGAAGCUGACAACUUCAUCGAGGGCAAGCACAAGGGAUUUGAAUUGUGCAAGUGGAAGACCUUCAAGGGGCAUUAAGGCUUUCGGAGAGCAUUGGUCAUGGAUGACUGGCAGGCAAAGUAUCUCAUAAACUAGUGUGCUACCCUACACUAGUGCCUGUCUUUUAUAGAUGUUGAAGUUCCUUGGCUUUUAGUAGGAUGCCUGUUAACACAGCUUUCCUUUCCUAGCCUACACAGAAGUCAACUUCACAAUCUCCUCCUAGCAAUUAGCCUUUCCUGCUGUAAAUUGGAUUGUAUUCAUGUCUAUAUUAUUUCAUACCUUAAGUAGAUAUCCUGUACUAGUAUAAAUAGGGACUUUGUGUAAAAUGUUAAAUACAAGGAAAUACAUUCUCUACAUGGUAUCAGCCUAACCUCGGGUUUUCUCCCUCUCCCUUAUUCGAUCCUCUUCUCCUUUAGGUCCACCUCAUGGCUUCGUCUGAAUCCACCAUCUCCCUCCCAAGCCCCAACUCUUCUCAUUUUAUCAAGAUUACUGACUCCAACUAUCUUCUUUGGCUCAACCAACUCAAACCCUUUUUAGUCAGUCAUGACCUCUGGAAAUUUAUCGAUGGCACUCAUGAACAACCUCCUGCCUACACCUCCACCUCUACCACCGAAACACCCACAACCACCACUCUUACCCAAACCAAUCCCGCCCAUGCUCAGUGGUACCAACAAGACCAACUCAUUGUUAGCUACAUCACCAGCACACUCUCUGAGUCCAUUCUCUCUCUCACUGUUGGUUGCACCUUUGCCCUGGAUCUCUGGGAGUGUCUCCAACACCACUUCUCUCAAUCCAGUAUGGCCAGUGAAUCUACUCUUCGUUUUCAACUCAUGGAUUUUCAAAAAGGCUCUCAACCAAUUGAUGCUUAUCUUCGUCAUGCUAAGUCCCUUGCCGAUUCAUUGGCUGCCACCAAUGAACCUGUCUCCCCAAAAGAACUUGUCACUGUUGUGCUUCGGGGUUUAGGACCCGAUUACAAAAUGCUCGUCAUGACAAUUCUCAAUUUUCCUCCACUUCCUGACUUUGCUGAUCUUCGUACUCGUUUGUUAGCUUUUGAAGCACAGUCUCCUUGAAUCUCUCCUAAUCAAAACACAGUGCUAAUGGCCACCUAAUCCUCUCCUCACAUUACCGGUCAUACUUGGCUCUUCCAGCAAUAGGCGCGGUGGCCGUAGUGGGUGGCGCGGUCGCGACCGUGGUGGAAUGGCUUCCAGCAGCCCCAAUGGCCUAAUCAACCGUGGCUUUCUUUUCCUCCAAGUUCUGGAUCUCAAAGCAACUGGCCUUCCUUUCAGCCUCCUUGGGCCCAAUCUGCCGCUCCUAGCAAACACUCUACCCAACCUAACUCAGCUCCUGGUGUCUUGGGACCCGCUUGGUGCACCACCUGCAAUACCAAUCAACAUACUACUGCAACAUGUCCCCAUCACUACAAUGGCCCAGAAUCCUUUCCUUCCUUUGCUGGGGCUCAAUUCAUGCAGCCACCUGACUCUAAUUGGUACCCUGACACAGGUGCCACUCAUCACAUGACUGGUAGUCCUUCUAAUCUCCAAAAUCAACAGCCAUAUCAGGAUAAUAAUUCUGUAUUUCUUGGUAAUGGAGAUUCUCUCUCUAUCUCUCAUACUGGCUCUCUUCCUCUUCCUUUAGGUUCUCACAAAUUUUCUCUUCACAAUGUCUUUUGUCUUCCAUCUAUUCGUACUAAUCUUCUUUCUAUUGCUCGUUUUACCCAUGAUAAUUUAGUUUUCUUUGUCUUUACUCCUGCCUUUUAUCAAAUCUAUGACUUACGUACUGGUUCGUUACUCUUUCAAGGCCCUUCUAAAGAUGGUCUUUACCCACUUUCCCUCUCAUCUCACUCAUCCAUAGUCCCCCAUGCCCUUACCACCGUGCACUCUCCUGCUUCGCCUUGGCCAUCCAUCCCAUCCUGUGCUCUCUCAUUUAGCGCCAUCUCUAGGCCUUAAAGUGUCUCAUGCUUUCUGUAAGGAUUGUGCACUUAGCAAAUCCACCAAAUUGUCAUUUUUUAGUAAUAAAACCUUUGCCCCAUCUCCCUUUUAUUUAAUUCACUCUGAUUUAUGGAUGUCCCUGGUCAUUUUUGUCACUGGUUAUCGCUAUUAUGCCUUGUUUACAGAUGACUUUUCUUAGUACUCCUGGAUCUAUCCUCUGCACCGUAAAAAUAAGGUCUUUUCUCACUUUCAAACCUUUCUUGCCAUGGUUAAAAAUCAAUUUCACACCACUGUACAAAUCCUUCAAAGUGACAAUGGCACUGAAUAUGUUAAUAAUGCUUUCACUGAUCUUUGCAAUCAACUAGGCAUCGACCAACGUUUCUCAUGUCCCUACACUCCCCAACAAAAUGGCCUAGCUGAACGUAAACAUAGACAAUUUCCACCAUGAUCCGUACCCUCCUUACCACCUCUCACACUCCCUACAAUCUCUGGGUCGAAGUUGCCCUCACUGUUGUCCAUCUCAUAAACCUCUUACCUACUCCUAAUCUUCAAUGGGACACUCCAUACAAUCGUCUCUUCCAACAUCCUCCUUCCUACUCUCAUCUCCGAGUGUUUGGGUGUUCUUGUUUCCCUUACCUUGGAUCAUAUACUGAAAAUAAACUCACCAACCACACCCUUGAAUGUGUUUUCCUUGGAUACAGUUCUCACCACAAAGGUUACCGUUGUUUACAUCCCUCCACGGGUCGUGUUUACACGUCCCGUCAUGUUUUAUUUAACGAAAUGCAUUUUCCAUUUGAGGAUUUGUAGGUAUCAUCUUCUUCAGAGUAUGUGGAUAUUGAAUCCUAACCAAUUUUCACUACUACAAAAAAGCAAAAAGACGACGGUAAAUCACCGUCGUGUAUUUGGUUUUUCAAUGGUCGUGGAAUCCACCGUCAUCUUUUCCCUCAUAAACCACGACGCUAAAUAACCGUCGUUGUUAAACAAUACAACGUCAUCAAAAAAUACAAAACGACGUCUUUGUACUGCAAAAGAUCUAAAAAAAGCAAUCGAUGAUGAUAAUAGACGACCAAUUCUCUAAAAAGACCGUCGUUAAAAAGGGAAAAUAUGACACAUAUUAAGAGAACAAGGCCGCAAGAUAGACAUACAACGACGACAAUAAAAAUACGCCGACGUUAAAUAUAAUUUUCACGACAAUAAAAAAUAUGACGUCUUUAAAUACAUUAGAAGACGACGUUAUUGAUACCUACUACGUCGCACAUAUAAACACAACCGUCGUACAAUUAAUUUUCCACUUCGAUUUUUUGAUAAAAGAUGACGUGGAAAUAGUUGUCAGUGUCAUUAUUUACGACGUAUGUGUUUCUAUAGUAGACGUUGAAAAACUAAACAACGUCAGUUACAAAUAUAUGAGAGUCGUAUUAAAAAAUUUAUACGUCCUAUUUUCAGAAACAAACAACGACCAUAAAUAUUAGACGUUGUUAAAUACAACAACGUCGGAAAACAAUAAAAACAGACGUGUUUAGUCUGCUAAAGUUCUACAACGUCUCUUAUUUACAAAAAACCGUCGUGAAAUAAAUUUUCCACUUCGAUUUUAUCUAAAAAAGAUGACGUGGAAAUAGUUGUCAGUGUCAUUAUUUACGACGUAUACAUUUAUAUAGUCGACGUUGUAUUUAUAUGUAUUCAUUACUCACGACGCACUUAAUAAUAUAGACGACGUUGAACGUCUAAACAACGUCGGUUCCAAAUAAAUGAGAGCCGUAUUACAGAACAUAUAGACGGCGUAGAUUAUGAUGGGAGCCGUAUUACAAAUAACGUCGUUUAAUUGUUAUUAGACGGCGGUUAUAAUGAAUUUCCGUCGGAAUUAAUUUCGUUCCUCUUCGUUUAUAAAAGAACUUGCGACGUGGAAAAUGUAUGAUGACGUCGUAUUUUUUAACGUUCAGAUUACAUAUCUCGUUUUUUAGACGUCGGUAUUAUGGGAUUGGAGUCGUGUUAUUUUGAAUUACAUGGCGGUUCUUUAUCCUUCACCGACGUGAUAUCCUGAAUAAUUGCUUCACAAUAGCGUCGUGGUUCUUCAUUGUUACGUUGCUUUAAGACGUCGGUAAAUAUGCUGAAUAACUGAUUCACAAUAACGUCGUGUUUUAUUUGAACGUAGAAAGUGAAGAAAUCACAUUACAAUAUAUUACAAAAUUAAUGUCAUACACUGCCAAUUACAUAAGCAUCAUUCAAUCCAUAUAUCUUCACACCCAUCUCGAAUAUUUUGACCGCCUAACUCACCUACCAGUUCAUCAAAUGUGUCAACAUUUGGCAUCCCUCUAGUAAAUGGCUCACACUCAAUUAUCACAUCACCUAAUACUUCAUCACCAAUAACAUCAUUAUAUUCUCUACUAGGCAUUGAUAACACUACCGACCAACCACGAUGCAUCGGGUCGUCAACAAAAAAUAUUUGUUUGACUUGAGAAGCCAAAACAAAUUGGUCAUUCCUAUGUCCAAUUUUACUCAAAUCUACAAGGGUAAAUCCAAGUUCGUCGACUACAAGACCAGAACUAUCUAUCCAAUCACACCUAAAGACUGGGAUUGUAAACUUUUGGUAGUCAAGGUCCCAAAUUUCUUGAAUGACACCAUAGAAACCCAUAUUUGAGAGAAUUGGGUUUUUAUCCUUGGCACUAGCAACUUGCAUGGUAUGUGCAAGUAAAUAAACUCCACUAUUUUGAGUUGUCCGCACAUCAUCUUGUGCCUUGAUAUUGAAUUUAAUACCUUUAAUAAGAUAGCUCCUAUAUAAUGGCACUGACAUGUUUGGACCAGCUGCUAGCCACCUUAAAUUUUCUGAUACGCCAUGAUUGUCUUCCUCAACUUCACUUUGAACCUGCAAAUUAAUCAUAUCUUAAUUCAUCCUAACAUAUAAAUAAGAAGAAAAUUAAAAGAGAAAUACGUUAUUCAACAACAUAUACCUUGAAGCGUAGCCAUUGAAUGAAAGUGCUAUUGUGCUUAUCCUGCAGCCACUUUGUUCUCUUUCUAAAUUUUGGAUAAGCAGUCUUGAUGUGGAUCAUAUGUUGCCUACAUGACACGAAAAAUUCAAGCAUUACGGUCCCAAAUAUAUAAGAUAAACAUAAGAAAUAAUUUUAAAUGGAAACUUAAAGAAUAAAACUCAUACGUACUCGAUAUAAGGUAGGACUUCCUCCGUAUUCUCCAAGACAUAUAGAUGUGCUUGAUUCAACAGGUCCUGAUCAACUACGCUCACUGUGCAACCUGAUAAUGGCUUUGAAACUCCCAUCUUUUGGCUUGAAGGCACUCCAACUGUACUAACAUCAGAUAAAUGCUGAGUACAAAACUCUACCGCUUCUUCAGCUAUAUACCGCUCAGCAAUGCAACCUUCGGGACGAGUACGAUUCUGAACAUACCCCUUCAGCACUUUCAUAUAUCUUUCAAACGGAUACAUCCACCUAAAAUAUACUGGCCCACAUAGACGAACUUCUCUGACAAGAUGUACUACUAGAUGAACCAUGAUAUCAAAGAAUGAAGGGGGAAAGUACUUCUCAAGCAAACACAGAGUAACUACUACAUCUUCUUCCAACUUAUCUAGCUUGGAAACAUCAACAGUCUUUGCACAUAUAGCAUUGAAGAAGAAGCACAAACGAGUUAUUGCAUACCUUGCAGGCUUCUCCAAAACAGAACGAAUUGCCACAGGGAGCAAUUGUUGCAUUAAGGUAUGACAAUCAUGUGAUUUAAGGCCAAGAAGUCUUGAAUCUUGUACAGAUACAAGAUUUUUAAUAUUUGAAGAAUAACCUUCAGGGACCUUCAUACCAUAGAAAGAAUUGCAAACCUCUCUCUUCUCUGCUCUUGACAAAUUCCAAGGCCCAGGAGGCAAACGAGUACGUCUUUCUCCAUACUCGGGUUGCAAAUCAGUUUUGACCCCCAUGUUCAAUAAAUCUAAUCGAGCAGCAAUCCCAUCUUUAUUUUUUCCAGGGAUCUCCAGCAAUGUACCAAUGAUACUAUCGCAAACAUUCUUCUCAAUGUGCAUAACAUCUAGGGCAUGCCUCACAGGAAGGUAUUUCCAAUACUCGAGAUCAAAGAAUAUUGAUUUCUUCUUCCAACAAACUCUGUCACCAUUUUCAACCAUAUGCAGCACUUCUUCUCCGGUUAAUGGCUCUGGAGGUAUGCCAUAUUCAGGUUUCCCAUUAAAAGCUGCACGUUGCCUCCUAUAUGGAUGAUUGAUUGGUAACCAUUUUCUAUGCCCAAUGUAACAAAUUUUGUGGCCAUUUUUCAACCUGUGACUAGGUGUAUCAUCGCCGCAUAUUGGACAAGCUUUAUAUCCUUUAACAACACAACCAGAUAAGUUUCCAUAGGCGGGGAAAUCAUUAAUUGUCCACAUUAAUGCAGCUCUGAGUGUAAAGUAUUCUCCAUUAUGUGCAUCAUACACUCCUCUAAUCCCAACCCACAAGGAUUUUAAAUCAUCAAUCAAAGGCUCCAAGUAGACGUCUAUAUCAUUUCCGGGUUGUUUAGGACCGGAAAUCAAUAAGGUUAACAUCAUGAACUUUCGUUUCAUGCACAGCCAUGGAGGGAGAUUAUAUGUAACUAAGAUAACCGGCCAACAACUAUAUCUGCUACUUAGAGAACUGUGGGGAUUGAAUCCAUCAGAUGAAAGAGCCAAUCUCAAGUUUCUCGGCUCAUUACCAAACUCAGGCCAUUUAUCAUCAAGAAGUUUCCAAGACGGGGAAUCCGCCGGAUGAGACAUCUGACCGUCAAUUGAUUUUCUAGCAACAUGCCACCAAGUCAAACUCUUAGCUGUCUCAUGUGAUUGAAACAUCCUUUUAAACCUUGGAAUUGGGGGAAAAUACCACACCACCUUCGCUGGCACACCCUCUUUCAAGAUUGCAUCUUUGCCUUCCUUCCACCUUGAGAUACCACAAGUAGGACAAUUAGUUGAAUCCUCAUACUCCUUCCUAUACAAGAUGCAAUCAUUGGGGCAUGCGUGCAUUUUCUCAUAACUCAGCCCCAAUGCACACAAAGUCUUUUUAGCCUCAUACAUGGAGGUUGGUAUUGUAUUUCCUUCUGGAAGCAAAUCGCCUUGAAGUAUCAAUAAUUCUGUAAAACAGACAUCACUCAUCCCAUGUUUUGCCUUCAAAUUAUACAACUUCACUAAUGCCGAUAACUUCGUGUACUUUCUACAACCAGGGUACACUGGUUGAUCUCCAUCCCCAAUCACAUUGGCAAACUCAUACGGAUCCGAACCAAAAUCACCAAAAUCAUUAUCAUCCAUAUCAAUUUCUUCAGACACAAAACUGUACCUACUAUGGCCAUCAUCUUCUUCAACAUUUCUGCUAGCAUUAGUAGUUGCUUCCCAAGGUUCUCCGUGAAAUGUCCAAUUCUUAUAGCUUUGGUCAAUUCCAUUAAAGUAUAAGUGAUCCCUUAUAAUUCCAACCCCAAACAACUUCAAAUUAACACAUUUAACACAUGGACAACGGAUAUGUGUUGUAGUUAGAAGAUUUUCUACAGCAAAGUUCAAAAAUGCUUCCACCCCAAACUCAUAUGCCUUCGAUCUUCUAUCCGAGUGCAUCCAUGACUUAUCCAUCUCCGACACUAUAACCUAUUAUCUAUAAUAAAGUGAAAAUACAGGCAAUGACCAUCACUAUAGCAGAUUAUACAAUGAUCUAAUCGCAAGUAAUAAACAACAGAGACGACGGGUUUUAAUCAAAAACAGACGUAUUUGGCAUAUAUAGACGACGGAUUUUCAACAGACGUCGUCUAUUAUACGUAAUACAAACGACGGUUUAUGAAAAAACCGUCGUGUAUAAGUAAUACAACGACGGUAGUUUAAAAACACCGUCGUGUAAUCGUCGUCGUACGCCUUAAAAUUCGUCGUGUCUCAGUUUAUUUUCAAGAACACAAAACCCAUUAAGAACACAACAUAUAUAUGAAACCAAGCAAGAAACCAACAUAUACAUGAAACCAAGCAUGAAAACAAUAAAUCCAUUCCCAAUUCAACAUAACAUAGGGUGAUUAAAAGAUACGACAAAAUUAAAUCCAUUCCCAAUUCAACAUAACAGAUAAUGUAAUCCAUGAACCCAUUAAACAGAAAAUCCAUGAACCCAUACCUAUAAGCAUUGGUGCACUUUGCACCUUCUCCAGAGCGGAAAAUGACAAGAUCAAAUAAAGGUGUCCUUUUGCUGGAAAUCAUUUGGAAGUUGGUGAUGUGUCUUUUUGUGUUGAUUUCCAGCAAAAGUACACCUUUAUUUGAUCUUGUCAUGAACCCAUUAAACAGAAAAUCCAUGAACCCAUACCUAUAAGCACAUUAUUAACAGAUCGCAAAGCAUAUACCUAAAACCCUUUAACAAAACAACCUAAUAUCAUUCAAUGAAUUUACAAGGGAAGAUAGGGUUUGUACUUACAGGUUGGACGAGCUCACAGAUUCGACGAGCCUGGAGAGUGCAACUUUUAAUUAGAGCAGAGUGAGAGAGCGAAAUGUUAUGGNNNNNNNNNNNNNNNNNNNNNNNNNNNNNNNNNNNNNNNNNNNNNNNNNNNNNNNNNNNNNNNNNNNNNNNNNNNNNNNNNNNNNNNNNNNNNNNNNNNNNNNNNNNNNNNNNNNNNNNNNNNNNNNNNNNNNNNNNNNNNNNNNNNNNNNNNNNNNNNNNNNNNNNNNNNNNNNNNNNNNNNNNNNNNNNNNNNNNNNNNNNNNNNNNNNNNNNNNNNNNNNNNNNNNNNNNNNNNNNNNNNNNNNNNNNNNNNNNNNNNNNNNNNNNNNNNNNNNNNNNNNNNNNNNNNNNNNNNNNNNNNNNNNNNNNNNNNNNNNNNNNNNNNNNNNNNNNNNNNNNNNNNNNNNNNNNNNNNNNNNNNNNNNNNNNNNNNNNNNNNNNNNNNNNNNNNNNNNNNNNNNNNNNNNNNNNNNNNNNNNNNNNNNNNNNNNNNNNNNNNNNNNNNNNNNNNNNNNNNNNNNNNNNNNNNNNNNNNNNNNNNNNNNNNNNNNNNNNNNNNNNNNNNNNNNNNNNNNNNNNNNNNNNNNNNNNNNNNNNNNNNNNNNNNNNNNNNNNNNNNNNNNNNNNNNNNNNNNNNNNNNNNNNNNNNNNNNNNNNNNNNNNNNNNNNNNNNNNNNNNNNNNNNNNNNNNNNNNNNNNNNNNNNNNNNNNNNNNNNNNNNNNNNNNNNNNNNNNNNNNNNNNNNNNNNNNNNNNNNNNNNNNNNNNNNNNNNNNNNNNNNNNNNNNNNNNNNNNNNNNNNNNNNNNNNNNNNNNNNNNNNNNNNNNNNNNNNNNNNNNNNNNNNNNNNNNNNNNNNNNNNNNNNNNNNNNNNNNNNNNNNNNNNNNNNNNNNNNNNNNNNNNNNNNNNNNNNNNNNNNNNNNNNNNNNNNNNNNNNNNNNNNNNNNNNNNNNNNNNNNNNNNNNNNNNNNNNNNNNNNNNNNNNNNNNNNNNNNNNNNNNNNNNNNNNNNNNNNNNNNNNNNNNNNNNNNNNNNNNNNNNNNNNNNNNNNNNNNNNNNNNNNNNNNNNNNNNNNNNNNNNNNNNNNNNNNNNNNNNNNNNNNNNNNNNNNNNNNNNNNNNNNNNNNNNNNNNNNNNNNNNNNNNNNNNNNNNNNNNNNNNNNNNNNNNNNNNNNNNNNNNNNNNNNNNNNNNNNNNNNNNNNNNNNNNNNNNNNNNNNNNNNNNNNNNNNNNNNNNNNNNNNNNNNNNNNNNNNNNNNNNNNNNNNNNNNNNNNNNNNNNNNNNNNNNNNNNNNNNNNNNNNNNNNNNNNNNNNNNNNNNNNNNNNNNNNNNNNNNNNNNNNNNNNNNNNNNNNNNNNNNNNNNNNNNNNNNNNNNNNNNNNNNNNNNNNNNNNNNNNNNNNNNNNNNNNNNNNNNNNNNNNNNNNNNNNNNNNNNNNNNNNNNNNNNNNNNNNNNNNNNNNNNNNNNNNNNNNNNNNNNNNNNNNNNNNNNNNNNNNNNNNNNNNNNNNNNNNNNNNNNNNNNNNNNNNNNNNNNNNNNNNNNNNNNNNNNNNNNNNNNNNNNNNNNNNNNNNNNNNNNNNNNNNNNNNNAUACUUUAAAAAUAAACCCCAAUAAAUAACAACCCUAAUCUCUAAACCCUAGACUCUAAACCCUAAACCAUAAAACUAGAAGUGAUUUUAUGACUCAUCAAAACAAUUUUGUUUUGGAUGGUCAUUUUAAAUUUUUGUUAUUCAAAAUGAAUUUUUUCAAGGUUUAUGUGGAAGAAAAUAUAUCAAUGACUUCAUAGGAGUUGACUUUUCAAUUUUCUGAUUUAUUUUAUAUUUAUUUUGAAUAUUUUGAUAUAAAAAUAAUAAAAUAUUCUUACCAUACAACAAACCACGUCGGUGUUAAAUAAAUUGUAGACGUUGUAAAUUGUAAUAGACUACUAAGUCGUUAAAAUGACGUCGUUAAAAUGAGAAACCAUGGCGGCUAUUUAACUAUACGACGUAAAAUAUAUAUUUUACGACUUAACCGCAGUCGUUACAUAAACGUCGUCGAUUAUACCCUGAACCCUUAAGAAAUUGAAGAUAUUGUAAACCAUUAACGACUCAAUUGUUCAAAGAACGUCGUCUAACUAUUUUUUUACGUCGUAUUUGUUUAAAACACGCAACAACAAAAUACGACGGUUAUUGACUUUAUUAGGUCGUUGGAAAAGUAUUACACGUCGGUUAAGCAAUUUGUAUGUUUGUUUUUUUUUUAAUUUAAGAAAACCUCAACAAAUUUUUACAUUACAUAUUAUAGAGAAAAUUGGUACAUUAUACAUAA
rnacentral:lncRNA from 1 species